UGGAGAACAUCAAGGAAAAGCUCUCUGGUGGCCAUGAUGACCACCAGAAGACUGCUGGCACCUACGGACAGCAGGGACAGGUCGGCACGGGGACACAUGGCACCCCCGCCACUGGCGGCGCCUACGGGCAGCAUGAACACACCGGAGCGACCGGCACUGAAACGUACAGCACCGGCGAGAAGAAGGGCGUCAUGGAAAACAUCAAGGAGAAGCUCCCCGGUGGCCACGGAGACCACCAGCAGACAGGUGGCAUCUACGGGCAGCAAGCACACGUCGGCACGGGGACGCAUGACACGCCGGCCACCGGCGGCACCUACGGGCAGCACGGACACACCGGAGUGACCGGCACUGGGACGCACGGCACCGGCGAGAAGAAGGGUGUCAUGGAGAACAUCAAGGAGAAGCUCCCCGGUGGCCACAGUGACCACCAGCAUACCACUGAGACCUACGGGCAGCAUCGGCACACUGGAGUGGCCGGCACGGAGACGCAUGGCACCACGGCCACUGGCGGCACCUACGGGCAGCAGGCACAGACCGGCACGACUGGCGCUGGCACACACGGCACCGACGGCACGGGCGAGAAGAAGAGCCUCAUGGACAAGAUCAAGGACAAGCUGCCUGGACAGCACUAAGCUUGGUCCGCCCGCCCCGGCUACCUCUCAAGAAUAAUAAGAUGGCGAAGUUCCACCGUAUGCACAUUCACCUAGCUCACUUUCGUUGGUGGAGCGAAUGUAUCUUGGCUUAAGUUUUCACGGACAACAGUGUGGCAACAGUUUUCGUUCGUUUACAGUUUGCAUACUGUGAUGUGCAGAUUUCCUUUACUUCAAUCCGUGUAUGUAUGUUAUGGCAUCUAAUAUAUAUAAGUGGGGUAUUACCUUAGAUGAGGCAAAAAGUUAUAUAUCUGCAAGUCUGUUCUUAUCAACUUAUACUGUAUCAUGCAUUACCAACUUCUUGUACCUAGCAGGUAAUUAAUUUGCUUGCAGUUUUCGGGUAGGGUAAUUACUUCGGUACAAAAUGAUUGGGACUGGCUACUGGACUGUCGCCUGAUUAUUUUAGGGAAUGGUCAGUCGAUUCCUAACCAAUCGACUGAACCAAAAUGGUCUCACCCUUCCAGAAAAAUAAAAUGAAAAAACAAACCAAAAUCAAAAUAAUGAACUUUUAUAAAAAAAGAACGAAACCUUUUAAGAACAAAGAAAAGAAAAACAUGUCAAAACUUGCAAACAACUUUGGGAAAUAUGCAAAGAAUAAGCAUACAAUAGUGUAAUAUUCACAUUCUAGUAUUGCUUACACACAUAUUAUUUAGUACUCCCUCCGUCCCAAAAUAAGUGACUGAAAAAUGAGUCAACUUUACACUAACUUUACUAUAAAAUUAAAUCAUUUUUGAGUCAUUUUUUUGGGACGGAGGGAGUACAUGCAUAUAUGCUUAUUCUUUGAUUUUGUACAUGCAUAUAUACCCGUUAUUACACUUUUGCGUAUAUACUAAUUCAUAAUUUUUAAAAUAAUAAUUUUUUCAAAAAAUGUAUUAGUGGUAUUAUUAUUACACUUUAAGAAAAAUGAAAAAAAUAAUAAUAAAGCAAAUAAUGAAAAAAAAUGCACACACAUUACAGAUAAGUUGCGCUUAUAAUGUUCAAGAAUAAGCACAUAAUAGUGGGAUUUCUUAGAAAAGGAUUAAAAAUUAAAAAAUGAUCAAAAUAUUUAAUUUUCUAAUGAAGAAUGAAUUGGUGACAUUGAUAUUUGUCUUUAAGAGAAAAUAAUAUGAAAAGCUUUGAAACAAAUAAUGACAAAAUUUGCACCUAAUAUACACAGAAAUUGCGCCUUCUUAUAAUGUGCAAAAUUAAGCAUAUGAUAGUGAAUUAUCCCAAAAAGGAAAUUUACUAAGAAGGUAUGUUAUAGUGGCAUUGGUAUUACAUUUUAAGGAAAAAUAAACAAAAGAAAAUAAAAAAUCAAAAUAAUAUUUUUUGCUCAGUAAGAAUCGAAGAAUGAAUUAAUGGCUUUGCUAUUACCUUUUAAGAAGAAAGAAAAUGAAACAAAAUCAAAAUAAUGGAUUUUGCUAAGUAAGAAUGAACUAGUGGCAUUGGUAUUACCCUUUAAGAAGAAACAAGAUGAAACAAACUAAAAUAAAAUCAAAAUAAUGAAAGUUUUUCUAAGAAAGAAUGAAUUAGUGGCAUUAAUAUUACCAUUUAAAAAAAGUAAAAUGAAAGAAAAACUAAAAUAAAAUCAAAAUAAUGAAGUUCUUUAAGGAAGAAUGAAUUAGUGGCAUGUGUAUCACCCUUUAAGAAUAAGAAAAUAAAAAGGAUAUUUAGCAAAUAAUGACAAAAAUUGCACAUAGUUUACACAUAAUUUGUGUUUUUAUAAUAUGCAUAUAAUAGUGGGAUUGUAGCAAAAAGAAGUUCCCGAGGAAGAAUGAAUUAGUUCCAUUGACAUUGCCCAUAAAGAAGAAAGAAAAUAAAACAAACUAGAAAAUAAGGAAGUGGAAUUAAUUAGUGGCAUUGGUAUUGCCCUUUAAGAAUAAAGGAAAUGAAACCAAACUAAAAAAAUGAAGAAUUGGAAUUAACUAGUGGCACUCAUAUUAUCCUAAGAAGAUAAAAAAUGAAACCAAUGUAUAAAAUGAAGAAGUGGAAUUAAUGAGUAGCAUUUGCAUUUCCCUUUAAGGAAAAAAGAAAACAAACAAAAAUACUAAGAAAAUAAUGAAAAAAAUUGCACACAAUUUAUACAGAAAUUGCUUUUUUUUAAUAUGCAAGCAUAUACAUAUAAUAGUGCUAUUUAAGAAAUAGGUUUCAUAAGAAAGAAUGAAUUAGUGGCAAUGAUAUUACCCAUAAAGAAGAAAGAAAGUAAAACUAAAACUUAAAAAGAUGAAGAUGUAGAAUGAGUUAGUUAUAUUGGUACUAUCAUUUAGGAAGAAAUAAAAUAAAACAAACUUGCACACAACUUUGCACUUUUUUAAUAUGUAAGAAAUAAACAUAUAGUUGUGUUAUUUUCAGGCACUAGUAUAAUUUAUACACAUAUUAUAUAGUAUUUGCAUGUAUACAUUUUACGCUUAUCCAACAUUCUAAAAGAUGCCCAUAAAAACCUACUAAAAAGAAAAUAAAAUAGCAAAAAAAAUCAAUUUUUACCAAAAAAAAUGCAUACAAACAGAAAAAGGGAAAGCAACGCCGGGCCAUAAACAGGAAACAUAAAAUGGGCUUCAAUCCAAAAAGAAAUUGACUCAGCCAAAACAGUGUCCAUUCGGAAUUUUGGCCGAAAACAUCACACUAGGAACAAACAGAAAAAAAUAGAGAGCAUAAAUCUUGAAGCAGAAAGCAACGCAACAAAAUAUUGAGUCACCGAAAUUUGAGUUUAACGCAACUUACAUAUAGCUAAAUUGAAAAUGAUUUGUACUCUGUUGUAUAUGUUGUUCUUUUUCUUACUUCUUGUAUAGGACGUGUAUAUUUUUUCUUUUUCUUUUUCUUUUUUCUAACCUUACUUUGUAGUAUUUAUUUAAAGUUUAAUAAAUCAUAUUGAUAACUUAUAAGUAUAGCGGAUCGUUUAUAGCCUUUUUUGACAAGUAAAAGUGUCAAACCUAACGAGGAGCUAAAGGUAGAAUUAAUAUUUUCUCAAUCUCUAUCAUCCAUCGAUACAACUCUAGGGGCAACAAUGUUUCCUUUACCUAGUACAAGAAAUAAACUACUUUGCUGAAAUAAAAGUAGCAAUACUUUGUAGGUGUAAUAAGAUAGGUUUGAAAGAUAAUCAAGAACACGGAAAUGAAAGUUAGGGAAUGACCAGGUAAAAUAAUAAUUAAUUCAAUAUAAUUAGUGUGGAAAGUGGUGGAAGGAUUUGUGAUAUUGUCUUAGGCAAAUGAUAACAAGAUCGGUAAUCAUUAUUGCAUUUUUAUAUGAGGAAGAGAUAUGAGCUAACAUACUUUCCAUAUUUGGAUCUUAUCAACUUAUGAUUAGAAUUUUAGUAAGCAUCCGCAUCUAAUAAAGAUCAUUAAGAUAAAACCAAACCAUAUUAGUAAGUAAAAAGUCCCUUUUACUCACAUACGCAACAACCCCUUACUCGGGUAUAAGCUUCUGUCACUAUCGAUGCUCACUAUAAGCGAAUCAUGAACAUAUUGCAACAACCCUACAACGGGAAUACGUCAUGUUUGUGUGGCAUGGAAGACACCAUAGGACAUCACCAAAAUAAAACACGCAACUCAAACCAAUCACGAUCGUCAAUCAACCCAUAGGACAAAAGGAAUCUACUCAAACAACAUAGAAUGGUAACACAUCAUUGGAUAAUAAUAUAAAGCAUAAAGCUCCAUGUUUAAGUAGGGCGUACAACGGGUUGUGGAAGAGUGGAACACUAAUAAUAGAUGAGGGAAGGUGAUAGUUGUGUUGAGGAAGACGACGAAGUUAUUGGUGUAGGUCGUCGUCACGAUGGUUCCCCCCGCGGUGUUCCGACGACACCGGGAGAGAGAGGAGAGAGCCCCCCUUCUUCUUCCUUGGCCUCCCCCUAGAUGAGAGGAGGAUUUGCCCUCUUGGCCCAUGGCUGUGAUGUCUCCCGAAGGGCAGAAGCCCUCCGAUAUUGGAUCUCUCUCUGUUUUGCAUUUCUAAUUUCUGGUAUUUCACUGUUUCUUAUAUUCUCAGAGAUCCAUAACUCUGAUUGGGCUAAAAUUUUGAGGGGAUUUUUUUGUCCACAUAUUAUCUGCCUUGCAAGAGAAGGACAACCCCAACCAACCUCCGAGGAGGCCACAAGAUCAAGGGGCACACCCUACCCCCAGGGCGUGAUACGUUUCAAACGUAUCAACUUUUCCAAACACAUUUGCUAUUGUUUUGGCCUCAUUCUUGCAUUAUUUGAAUGAAACUAACCCGGACUGACCCUGUUUUCAGUAGAGCUGCCUGUAUGGUUUUCUUGUGUGCAGGAAAAUGGAUAUUUAGACGUCCCGGAAAUUCCUAUAAAAAUAGAGAAAAUUCAUUCACCGGGAGGAACCUUGGGCGAGAAGAUGGGCCAGAGGGGGCCACCAGGGCUCCAGGUGUGGCACCCCGAUUCACAGAACCGGUUUACCAGUGUUUCCAACCCAGAGAUCAUGUCUUCUGGAAACACUCAACAACUUGAUACAGAAACAAGCCAACUUUAUUAAUAGCGGUACGUACAAAGCUUACAAUACUGGCGAGGCCAAAGCACCCUCGAUGCUGCAAAAGUAUCUACAUUAUUUAUGUAACAUCAACGUGGGCCUCGAAACGACCAAGUACUUCUACGGCGUAGCGGAAUGUAGCGGCGACUCCACACACACGGACAUUGAUGUGGACACUUCCUAGAACGGACCAUCGGGACCUCCGUCCGCGGCUUCUCCUGCAAUUGGCAUGAUACGCCAAGUGUGUACUUUGAAUGUACUCGCAAGCUCACAAUAACCAAGUAAUGCAGCAAAGAUAGCAUAACAACCAUAGUCAUGUAUCAAAUGAACCAAAUAUCAGCUUAUUGUCUUCGGGGUUGUCCCACAGCCCUCGAUUUACUUACGAUCUCAACGGAUCCCUGUCACAUCACGUGGUUACCAAACCACUCAUCAAAUAGCCUUCUCUCGGCUAGUAUGAUACCAACAUCCUCUGAUGUUCUCGUGAGACGAGUUCUUCAAUCAUUACUAUCAUAGACACGGUUGAUCACUUGCUGAGGUCUGUUCCAGUUGUCCAUUACCGUGGACACGGCUAUUCGAAUAGAUUUGACACUCUGCAGAGGUUGCACACUUUACCCACACUCUGGAGUACUGACCUCGUGAUCCCAUUCGGGUGGACCAGCAUUACUCCACUAGAAUUUCCUGAACUGCGAUCCUCUCAUCGUACCUCCGGCAACCACUCCCUCUCUGAAGUCCUGCCCUAGGUGGCCCUGUGUCCUCAUGACACCUGCCACCGUCGUGGCCAAACUAAACUUGUCCCAAUUGGGGACGGGCCCUAUCAUCCCAACUGGGCUCACAGGGUUAUCACCGCCUACCUGAUCAGGGUAGCAUGCGUGCAUAACCCUCCCUCUUUGGAGGUACCGGUGAGAGCGAUCACGCGAUCAGCUCAAGUCACGGCCGUCCCAUAUCGGCAAAAUGUGGUCGUACGAUAAUGCCCGGACAGGUGACUCCGAUCAACCACUAGAUGAGAUCAACUCAAGAAUCAUAGUAAUAGAUAUAUAUCACCACUAACUAAAUAAGCAAACUUUAAUAAUUAAAAGAAUAACCAUCAUCAUUAUCAUUAAGAUGAAGAUAUAUGCCAUGCUAUGCAAUGCUUGCACCAUAUGGAAAUAAUGGCUUGCCUUGGUCAGUGGGGUUGUUCAAAUACUCCUGAUCUCCAAAGUUUCCUUGUGAAAUCAUAUUGAAAAUGGCAAAAGGAAGGAAAAGUCAUUUAAUUUCCUUUUAUUAGCCAGAAAUUCUAUGUGUGUGGGAAAAAUAAUAAAAUUUACCAGGUUGUAAAGAAUUUCAAUACCAACCCAAUGCAAAAAGAAUCAAGUGAUUCGAACUUGUGGAUAAAAAGUUAUAAGCAUUCAAAGUUUCUGUUAAAAACUGAAAAUAUAAAAAAGAAAAAGGAAAUCGUGGGGAGGGCCACAUCGAAGGCGUAAAGUGGAGGGGCGCCUCCACUUAACGCUUCGGUCGCGGGCCGCAGUCCCUGGCAGGUGGGACUUGCCUGAUAUGAACACAAAGGAGGGGAGGGAGACACAGGCGAGGCGGCCGGCCGGCGAUGGUCGCCGGUGAUAGAGACGGCGGCGACGCCAGGGAAUGGGCAGAAUGGAACGGGUAGUCCACGACGAUCACGUACGUACCCGUAGCUCGGCUAGAGGUGGACAAACGAUGUCGUCCCCUUCUUCUCCGGCGGCGGCAGCUUUGGGUGAUCGUCGGAGACGGUGUUCCAGGGAGGAAUGGGCUCGGGCGAGAGGUCGAGGAGCACGAGCAGGACUCAAUGGACCUGUCGGAGGGAUCAAUUUGGCUCUGGGGAUAGGGGAGAAGGCUGUCGACGGAGAGGGGGCGGCGGCAGAACUCCGAUGAUGCUCCGAGGCCAGAGGGCCUCCGGGCCUUGGCUCACUCUUCGGGGGCUUGACCUAGAUGAGCAGGAGGGGGAUGGAGAGCUCGGAGGGGUCGGGCUCCUCCUUAAAUAGGCCGACGACGAGCUCGGUCGAUCUCUCCCGAAGCGACGAAGAUAAGCUCGGGCACGGUCGUCGGAGCGCUGAGCUGGUCGUCGCGGAGCGCAUGGAGGUGACCAAGGAGGGCAGAGACACGAUGGGAUGGGUCCUCGCCAUAAAUGGCUUGCGGACGGGCACAGUGGCCGGAGGCGACAAUUCGGCACUGUGCCGGAGCUUGGCUGGGAGCGGCGGCGGCGCUCUUCGGUGGCCCAGCACCUUCCAUGGGUACCACGCGUCUGCUAGGGGGUUCACUGACGCUCAGGACAAGGAGGGGACAGAGUGUGACCGCUCGAGACAGCUCGACUGUCACUGGGGCUGCGCAGAGCGCGCUCUGUGGCAUGCCAGUGCCAUGGUCACCAUGGUUGUGGCUGUCCUGGUGCCACACCAGCCUGGCCACCUUUUCCCUAGCGUCGACAUACCCUCGAUUAGUCACUCACCAUUGUUGGCUUGAUCACCCAACAUCACCAUCGACUUGGAACAUCAAAAACAGCUUCUGACAGCAAAGUUUGGGAGGUUCUGGAGCUCAAUUGGAUAAGGAUUAGAUCAAGAGGUGAUGUCUGGUGGAUUCAGCAUAGGAAAGACUCCAAACAGGCAAAAUUUGGCAAGGUUUGGAGAUCAAAUGGAUAUAGUUCCUUUGUAAAGCACCUUUUUGGUCCAGAAUACAAAUGAGCUCAUAGCACUCAUUUGGAAGCUUUGCUACCAGCGAGGUUUGGUAGGAAAGUGUCAUUUGGCAAUUCACACAUGCUCAAAAAAAAUUCAGCUCCAUUGUGCACUCCUAGCUAGCACUUCCUUCACAAGGGUUCACUUUAAUAGAAACUUAGUAGAGUUGUUUUGCUCAAAAUUUGUAUUGAACCAUGGGAUGUUUUUACAUAUUGGAACUAUAUCUGAUCCCUAUUAACUACAGGAAUUUAUGGGGAAUUUUUCAAAGCAGGAAUCAUAGGGUUGCUUCACAAAGGGGUAAUUCUGGUUAGAUAAUAAACAAUUAUUCUGGCCAUAAUUAUCCAUUGGGCAAAGGAAUAUUUUUGCAUAUUCUGAAAUCAUAUGGCAAUGAGAAGAUGCAGUAAAAAGUUUGGGGUUUAAAGCUCAUCCAAGCUAUGGGUUGCUUUACAACCCAUAGGGUUGCCAUAAUUCCCAAAAAUAGGAAAAGAAAUUGUUUAGGCAAAUAAAAUAUUGCAAAUAAAUCCCAGAAACAUUUUGGCAAGAUAAAAAGGUUUUGGAGUGGUUGGUGGCAAGAUAUCAAGGGUUGAGGAUCCCUCUUGGUUGAAGUGGUUUGAAAAACCCAUCAAUUUGCCCCUGGAACUCCAAAAUAUUUUGAAAAGAAAAAGUUUGAAAAAUCAGGGUGUUACAAACCUACCCCCCUUAGAAUGAAUCUCGUCCUCGAGAUUCGGUUGCUCGGGGAACAGAUAUGGGUAUGGUGAUAUCAGGAAAUCUUCCCUCUCCCAAGUAGCCUCUUCUUCGGUGUGAUGAUCCCAAAGAACCUUAUAAAACUUGAGAACUUUGCUCCGAGUGAUCCUUUCUAUCUCGUCCAAAAUUCUAACUGGUUUCUCCUCAUAUGUCAAGUCCUGGGCUAGCUCUACCUCGCUCAUGUCUGCCUGCUUUACGGGUGGUGCAAUACAUUUCCUCAGUUGCGAGAUAUGGAACACGUUGUGCACAUCUGACAGUUCGGCGGUAAUUCCAAUUGGUAGACAACUCUGCCUCUCUUUGCGAUCAUAGGAAAGGGACCGAUGUAUCAUGGUGCGAGCUUUCCUCGAGUGCGAAAUUGUCUCACUCCCUUCAUAGGAGUUACUCGCAGAUAGGCAUAUUCUCCUGGCUCAAAGGUCACUUCUCGAUGCCUUGGGUCAUAAUAACUCUUUUGGAGGGAUUUGGCUGCCUUAAGGCGUUCCUGAAUAUCUUUGACUUGCUUCUCGGCCUCUAGCAUCAAAUCGGUUCCGAAGAUACGACUGUCUCCUGUCUGUGACCAGUUUAACGGGGUCCGGCACUUUCUGCCAUAUAAUGCCUCAAAGGGUGACAUCUUCAAGCUUGUUUGAUAGCUAUUUUUGUAGGAAAAUUCCGCAUACGGUAGGCUAUCUUCCCAUUUGGGUCCAUGGGUAAGAGCGCAUGACCGAAGCAUGUCUUCCAAUAUUUGGUUCACCCUUUCCGCCUGCCCAUCAGUUUGAGGAUGGUAUGCUGUGUUGUGCUUUAGCAUGGUUCCCAAGGCCUGAUGCAGUUGCAGCCAGAAUGCCGAGGUAAAUAGAGAGCCUCUAUCAGAUGUGAUGGACUUGGGUACCCUAUGCAGGCUUACUAUUCGAGACAUGUAUAGCUGUGCCAGUUGGUUGGCAUUGAGAGUGGUUUUCACUGGGAUGAAGUGGGCUACCUUAGUGAGCAUGUCCACGAUAACCCAGAUAGCAUCAUUGCCCCUUGUGGACUUAGGUAAUCCGACGACGAAGUCCAUACAUAUGUCAUCCCAUUUCCAUUGGGGAACCGGUAAAGGUUGUAGUAAUCUGACGGGCUUUUGAUGCUCUCCUUUACCUUGUUGCAAAUAUCACAGCAGGCGACAUAAUAUGCUAUGUCCCUUCGCAUUCCAGACCACCAAAAUGUUUUCCUCAUGUCUUGGUACAUCUUUGUACCUCCCAGGUGAAUGGAAUAUGCAGAAUCAUGAGCUUCCCUGAGUAUCUGCUGUCUCAGGUUAUCCUGGUCAGGGACGCAUAUCCUCUUUUCGAACCACGGGAUGUCUUGCUCGUCCACUCGCAAGGAUUUGUCCUUUAGCUGAGGAAGUGAUGCUUUGAUUCUUUUGAUGCCCUCAUCACUUGCAUGUGCUUCUUUGAUUUCCUCAAUGAGGGUGGGGGUAAUCUCCAUGGUCUCCGGAAUUGCCGGACCGCAAAGUAUCAUGUUGAGACUUGCAAGCUCUUCUUGCAACCUCGGGUGUACAUUCGCCAUUAUCGCAUUCACUGUGGCUGGUUUUCUGCUUAAAGCAUCUGCGACCACAUUGGCUUUCCCUGGGUGGUAGUUGAUUCCUAGGUCGUAAUCUUUUACGAGCUCAAGCCAUCGCCGUUGCCUAAGAUAUAGAUCUGGUUGGGUGGAUAUGUACUUGAGACUUUUGUGGUUGGUGAAUAUCUCACACCAUUGACCAAUGAGGUAAUGCCUCCAAAUUUUUAAGGCGUGUACCACAGCUGCUAGUUCCAAAUCGUGAGUGGGAUAAUUUUCCUCAUGCGGUCGCAGCUGUCGAGAGGCAUAGGCCACAACCUUUCCUUCUUGCAUCAGUACACAUCCGAUUCCUCUUCGGGAAGCAUCACAGUAGAUGUCAAAACUCUUGUGAAUGUUCGGGAGGACUAGGACAGGGGCGGUUGUAAGUCGAGUCUUCAACUCCAGAAAGCUGCUUUCGCAAGCGGUCGUCCAGACAAAUCUCUGAUUUUUCUUUAGCAGCUCUGUUAGUGGAUUGGCUAUUUUAGAGAAGCCAUCUAUAAACCGCCGGUAGUAUCCUGCCAAUCCCAGGAAACUACGGAGUUCGGUCACUGAGACUGGUGUCUUCAAAUUUAAUACCACUGUGACCUUACUGGGGCCGACUGCCACACCUUGCUCUGACAGAAUAUGCCCCAAAAAUCCAACUUCUUUCAGCCAAAACUCGCACUUGCUGAAUUUGGCAUAUAGUUGAUGGGAUCUUAGUUUUUCCAACACUGCUCUGAGGUGUUGCUUGUGUUCUUCCUCAUCCUUGGAGUAUAUCAGGAUGUCAUCGAUAAAUACUACCACGAAUUUGUCUAGAAAGUCCAUGAAGACUUUGUUCAUCAUGCCCAUAAAAUAGGAGGGAGCAUUUAUUAGUCCGAAUGACAUGACCGUGAAUUCAUAUAGGCCAUAUCGGGUGGUAAACGUCGUCUUGGGUAUAUCUUCUUUCUUAAUCUUUAACUGAUGAUACCCUGUUCUGAGGUCGAUCUUGGAAAAUACCCGUGCUCCACUCAGCUGGUCAAACAAAUCGUCGAUGCGUGGGAGUGGGUACUUAUUUUUAAUCGUGACCUCAUUACGCUGGCGGUAGUCUAUACACAUCCGCAAGCUUCCAUCCUUUUCUUGACAAACAACACUGGUGACCCCCAGGGUGAGAUACUAGGUCGAAUGUAUCCUUUUUGUAGUAACUCAUCCAACUGCUUCUUCAAUUCGGCCAACUCGGGCCGUGGCAUACGAUAGUACUUCUUGUAGAUCGGGGCCGUGCCGGGAAUCAACUCAAUAGCGAAUUCCAAUUCCCGAUCGGGCGGCAUGCCGGGUAAUUCUUCUGGGAAUACGUCCGGGAACUCACAAACUACUGGAAUCAAAUUCAUGUUGGUGGCUUCGGCAUGAUAUGCUAUUCCCUUCCUCGACCUCAUAUUGUUGGCCGUGAAUUGAAUAGUUCGUCCGGCCGGAUUAGCUAGUGUGACGGCGCGGUUGGCACAGUUGAUGCAUACUCGAUGAGGUGUCAACCACUUCAUCCCUAAUAUCACAUCCAGUCUGGGUGACUCAAUCGCAAUGAUAUCAGUUGGGAAUGAGGCGCCUUGAAUCUGUAUUUCCAGAUCCCGAUAUACGAGAUUUGUUCUGAGCCGUGAGCCAGGGGAUUGUAUCACCAUGACCUUAUCCGACAGCGAAGGGGAAAAUUUGUGCAAGGCGGAAAAACUCCUUGAAAUAAAAGAGUGGGAAGCUCCCAUAUAAAAUAAGACUACUGCAGGUAUGUUAUUAACACGAAACAUACCGAUCACCACGUCCGGGGCUUCGCACGCUUCCUCGGCUGAGAUGUGGAAGACACGCCCUUGAGUGUACUUGGGGUUGGGACGGCUUCCAAUAUUUUUGACUUGCGGUUUGACGUCCGAGGAUGUCUUUCCAUUGCUGGUGGGGCACUGUCUUACAUAGUGCCCGCUCUGGCCGCAGGAGAAACAUGUGUUGUUGCGGCGACAAUCCUCUAAAAUGGGUUGUUUGCUGAAAGUCUUGCUCUGGCUCCCUGUCUUGGGGGUACUGUUGUUGGGAUUCCAUGCGGGCUUGUAUGCUGUGGUGUUGGGCUGCUAGGUACGCGGCUUCUGCACAACCUGCUCCUUGUUAUCCCUUUUUGGUUUGAAUUUCCGCUUGCAAUCCUCGUAACCAGUCUUAAGUUCUCGUUCGGCUAUAAGCGUCUUGUUCACAAGUGUCUGGAAAUCUGGAAAGUCCAGCAUGCACAGCUGACAGCGGAGGGUAUGAUUGAGAUCUCCUAGGAAGCGGUCAAUCUUCCGCUCCUCAGUGGCCACAUCAUGGGUGGAGUAUCGUGCUAAAUUGUUGAAUUUUUUAGGUACUCUGCCACAAUUAGGGCUCCUUGGGUGAGAGCCAGAAAUUCUCUCUGUUUUACCUUCAUUAUGCUUGUAGGGAUGUGGUAUUUGCGGAAUGCUUCCUUGAAUCUAUCCCAGGCGAUUUCUUCUUCACAGGGCCAUGCUGCCUUUGUAUUGUCCCACCAGAUAGCUGCCGGCCCUUCAAGGUAGUGGGUCACAAACGGAACCUUGUCUGCCUCAUCACAACGGGCUAUUUCCAGUUUCUUUUCCAUAGUUCUGAGCCAGUCGUUUGCCUCAAUUGGAUCUGCUGCUUGGUCAAAAUUGGGCGGUUUGGUGCGUUGGAAGUCGGCCAAUUUGGAUCGUGCACUGUGGUUGUUAUUCUGGCCUACCAUGGCCUGCAUACUUCUCAGGAAUUCCAUGAGGUCCUGGUUCCUCUUUUCUUCAAACAUUCUCAUCAUCUGAUCGGGGGUGGGUGCCUGAGGUGGGGGAGGUGGAAGAUCCUCGGGAGGCUGUCGUGCUUGCCUGGCGGACCGACGGAGGGGGGGGGGUUCCAUCGUUGCCAUGGCUGCAGCUUCCCUUCAUCCUAAAUUAUUGUUCCCAUUGCAAAAUACCGAAUCGAUGAGCAACAUCCAUAGGGGAAAUCAGGGUUGCAAAACACCAAAGGAAAUGUUUACACGAUAAAGUGAACAAGCAACACAUAAUUAUACAAUAAGAUCCAGCAUUAUCCACGACAAGCUAGUAGAGGUAGUAUCAUGACUGGACUGCUCAUACGGCAGUUGACAUAUGCGACGAUGCAUGCUCAACAACUCUAACCUCGACUCUAGUGAUGCGGAUGGCACGUGCACUUGAGGAUCGAAGACUCCUUGUCGUCCGAUCCAGAGUCAGAGUCAGAACUAAUGAUGUUGACCUCAUCCUGCGGACCAAAGGAAACGCGGCGACGUUGACGGGGCGGCCCUCCUUCCGAGGAAGGGGAAGCACGACGCCUGAGCAUUGGAGCAGCAGGGGUGGCAAGGAGUGAGGCCCACUCAGCACGAUUCUCACGGCGGCUUCCAAACGAGGUGCCUGGCGACACUAAGGAGCUAACUCGAAUAUCAUGGCCAGGAGUAGGUGGAACUGUUGGUGCAUAUGGGGGUGGAGCAGAAGACUGGGGUGGAGGUGGCACGGGAGCAGCAAGGACUAAUGCAGCCUGGAGACGGGACAGCUCCUCAGCCAGGGAUACAAUCGUGCGAUAGCUGGCAUUCACAAAGCGAGACAACACAGCAGUCGCACGGUCGCAUGCCGGGUCUACGGAAGCAAAUAUGACUCGCCCCGUCGUAGGCGAUAGGGUGGGGUAGUGGAAGAAACCUGGAUGGGUCUGCAUCUCGACCUCGUGGAACCGCAAGUCGGUGAGAGCCUCUACAGCAGCAAAGUCGAUUGCCAUCUCUGGAGUAGAAGCCCUUCCGCCCUUGGUGGAGCGGGAGUAACUGUCAAUCUCGGAGCUCGCAGUCAGGAAAGCCUCUGCGUGGUACUCGAACACGGACUCCCCUAGCUGCUCUCGGAACACCUGGUACUCUGGUUCGUCUUCAUGAGGGUACAGCCGAAGCCAAACAUUCCUGAGCAGUCCUGGAAAGGUAUACAGUGCAGGCUCAUAGUUGAAAUGGAACGGAACCGGUGCCAUCUACACUCACAAAUCGGAGGUUAGCUAAACCAUGAAUCAUGAUCUAUGCCAUGCGUCAAUCAAGUGCAUCAAUCAAUAUGCAACAAGCAAAUGCUUACUAAAGACUUCAUACUACUUGUUGAACUAGCGCGGCUAACUAGGGUGUCCUACAGUCAGCGUGGCUCUGAUACCAAGCGUUGUGGCACCCCGAUUCACAGAACCGGUUUACCAGUGUUUCUAACCCAAAGAUCAUGUCUUCUGGAAACACUCAACAACUUGAUACAGAAACAAGCCAACUUUAUUAAUAGCGUCACGUAGAAAGCUUACAAUACUAGCGAGGCCAAAGCACCCUCGGUGCUGCAACAGUAUCUACAUUACUUAUGUAACAUCAACGUGGGCCUCGAAACGACCAAGUACUUCUAUGGCGUAGCGGAAUGUAGCGGCGACUCCACACACAGGGACGCUGCUGUGGACACUUCCUAGAACGAACCAUUGGGACCUCCGUCCGCGGCUUCUCCUGCAUCUGGCAUGAUACGGCAGGUGAGUACUUUGAAUGUACUCUCAAGCUCACAAUAACCAAGUAAUGCAGCAAACAUAGCAUAACAACCAUAGUCAUGUAUGAAAUGAACCAAAUAUCAACUUACUGUCUUCGGGGUUGUCCCACAACCCUCGAAUUACUUACGAUCUCAACGGAUCCCUCUCACAUCACGUGGUUACCAGACCACUCAUCAAAUAGCCUUCUCUCGGCUAGUAUGAUACCAACAUCCUCUGAUGUUCUCGUGAGACGAGUUCUACCAUCAUUACUAUCAUAGACACGAUUGAUCACUUGCUGAGGUCUAUUCCGGUUGUCCAUAACCAUGGACACGGCUAUUCGAAUAGAUUUGACACUCUGCAGAGGUUGCACACUUUACCCACACUCUGGAGUACUGACCUCGUGAUCCCAUGCGGGUGGACCAGCACUACUCCACUAGAAUUUCCUGAACUGCAAUCCUCUCAUCAUAGCUCCGGCAACCACUCCCUCUAUGGAGUCCUGCCCUAGGUGGCCCUGUGUCCUCAUGACACCUGCCACCGUCGUGGCCAAACUAAACUUGUCCCAAUCGGGGACGGGCCCUAUCAUCUCAACUGGGCUCACAGGGUUAUCACCGCCUACCUGAUCAGGGUAGCAUGCAUGCAUAACCCUCCCUCUUUGGAGGUACCGGUGAGAGCGAUCACGCGAUCAGCUCAAGUCACGGCCGUCCCAUACCGGCAAAAUGUGGUUGUACGAUAAUGCCCGGACAGGUGACUCCGAUCAACCACUAGAUGAGAUCAACUCAAGAAUCAUAGUAGUAGAUAUAUAUCACCACAAACUAAAUAAGCAAACUUUAAUAAUUAAAAGAAUAACCAUCAUCCUUAUCAUUAACAUGAAGAUAUAUGCCAUGAUAUGCAAUGCUUGCAGCAUAUGGGAAUAAUGGCUUGCCUUGGUCAGUGGGGUUGUUCAAAUACUCCUGAUCUCCAAAGUUUCCUUCUGAAAUCAUAUUGAAAAUGGCAAAAGGAAGGAAAAUACAUUUAAUAUCCUUUUAUUAACCAGAAAUUCUAUAUGUGUGGGAAAAAUACCAAAAAUUACCAUGUUGUAAAGAAUUUCACCAACCCAAUGCAAAAAGAAUCAAGUGAUUUGGACUUGUGGAUAAAAAGUUAUAAGCAUUCAAAGUUUCUGUUAAAAACUGAAAAUAUAAAAAGAAAAAGGAAAUCCUGGGGAGGGCCACGUCGAAGGCAUAAAGUGGAGGGGCGCCUCCACUUAACGCUUCGGCCGCGGGCCGCAGUCCCUGGCAGGUGGGACUUGCCUGAUUUAAACAGAGAGGAGAGGAGGGAGACACAGGCGAGGCGGCCGGCCGGCGAUGGUCGUCGGUGAUAGAGAUGGCGGCGACGCCAGGGAAUGGGCAGAAUGGAACGGGUAGUCCACGACGAUCACGUACGUACCCGUAGCUCGGCUAGAGGUGGACAAACGACGUCGUCCCCUUCUUCUCCGGCGGCGGCAACUUCGGGUGAUCGUUGGAGACGGUGUUCCAGGGAGGAAUGGGCUCGGGCGAGAGGUCGAGGAGCACCAGCAGGACUCACUAGACCUGUCGGAGCGAUCAUUUUGGCUUUGGGGACAGGGGAGAAGGCUGUCAACGGAGAGGGGGCGGCGGUAGAACUCCGGUGAUGCUCCGAGGCCAGAGGGCCUCCGGGCCUUGGCUCACUCUUCGGGGGCUCGAUCUAGAUGAGCAGGUGGGGGAUGGAGAGCUCAGAGGGGUCGGGCUCCUCCUUAAAUAGGCCGACGACGAGCUCGGUCGAUCUCUCCUGAAGCGGCGAAGAUAAGUUCGGGCACGGUCGCCGGAGCGGUGAGAUGGUCGUCGCGGAGUGCAUGGAGGUGACCAAGGAGGGCAGAGACGCGAUGGGAUGGGUCCUGGCCAUAAAUGGCUUGCAGACGGGCACAGUGUCCGGAGGCGACAAUUCGGCCCUGUGCUGGAGCUUGGCUGGGAGCGGCGGCAGCGCUCUCCGGCAGCCCACACCUUCCAGGGGUACCACGCGUGUGCCAGGGGGUUCACCAACGCUCAGGACAAGGAGGGGACAGAGUGUGACCGCUCGGGACGGCUCGACUGUCACUGGGGAUGCGCAGAGCGCGCUCUGUGGCAUGCCAGUGCCAUGGUCACCAUGGUUGUGGCUGUCCUGGUGCCACACCAGCCUGGCCACCUUGUCCCUAGCGUCGACAAAAUCUCGAUUAGUCACUCACAAUUGCUGCCUUGAUCACUCAACAUCACCAUCGACUUGGAUCAUCAAAAACAGCUUCUGACAGCAAAGUUUGGGAGGUUCUGGAGCUCAAUUGGAUAAGGAUUAGAUCAAGAGGUGAUGUCUGGUGGAUUCAGCAUAGGAAAGACUCUAAACUGGCAAAAUUUGGCAAGGUUUGGAGAUCAAAUGGACAUAGUUCCUUUGUAAAGCACCUUUCUGGUCCAGAAUACAAAUGAGCUCAUAGCACUCAUUUGAAAGAUUUGCUACCAGUGAGGUUUGGUAGGAAAGUGUCAUUUGGCAAUGCACACAUGCUCAAAAAAUUACAGCUCCAUUGUGAACUCCUAGCUAGCACUUCCUUCACAAGGGUUCACUGUUAACAGAAACUUAGCACAGUUGUUUUGCUCAAAAUUUGUAUUGGACCAUGGGAUGUUUUUACAUAUUGGAACUAUAUCUGAUCCCUAGUAACUACAUGAAUUUAUUGGGAAUUUUUCAAAGCAGGAAUCAUAGGGUUGCUUCACAAAGGGGUAAUUCUGGUCAGAUAAUAAAUAAUUAUUCUGGCCAUAAUUAUCCAUUGGGAAAAUGAAUAUUUUUGCAUAUUCUGAAAUCAUAUGGCAAUGAGAAGAUGCAGUAAAAAGUUUGGGGCUUAAAGUUCAUCCAAGCUAUGGGUUGCUUUACAACCCAUAGGGUUGCCAUAAUUCCCAAAAAUAGGAAAAGAAAUUGUUUAGGCAAAUAAAAUAUUGCAAAUAAAUCCCAGAAUUUUUUUGGCAAGAUAAAAAGGUUUUGGAGUGGUUGGUGGCAAGAAAUCAAGGGUUGAGGAUCCCUCUUGGUUGAAGUGGUUUGAAAAACCCAUCAACUUGCCCGUGGAACUCCAAAAUAUUUUGAAAAGAAAAAGUUUGAAAAAUCAGGGUGUUAUACCAGGCGACCUGUGGGCGCAGCCUGCCCCCUGGCCGCACCGGGAGGCCGCCUGGGUGGGGUCCACCCCCUUUAGUACCCUACUUUGGCUCCUAUUUUUACCCGUGAUGGAGAAAUCCCAGAACAGAAGUCGUUUUGCAAGUUCUCGACGCGGAGCCGCCGUCACCCUCGGUUCUUCUCCGAGAGAGUUAAUCUGGAGGCUGUCUUGGCCUCUGGAGAGGGGAAAUCAUCGCCAUCGUCAUCACCAUCAUCACUCCAUCACCCUUCCAUGGCUUCCCCCAUCACGUGUGAGUAAUUCCCUGUUGUAGGUGAAGGGGAAUAGGGGAUGGUAGGUAUUGGAUGAUUUAGAUCAUGUAAUAGUUCGUCGGAUUGUUGGGAGCAUGUUUCCUAUCAUCUACUAUGGUGUUUAUCAUCUUUGCUACUACUUGUUACUCUUAAUGCUUGUCACUUUGGGCCCGAGUGCCAUGAUUUCAGAUCUGAAUACCUUUUGUUUUCAUGAAUAUAUUUGUGUUCUAAGAUCCUAUCUAUGAGUAGUAUGCACCUAUUAUAGUCCGGAAGCGGCGAUCCCAAUGGUGACAGCUUGGGACACCAAAGAGGAUAGACUAUAGUUUGAGGAUUCCAUGUAUCCAUUGAUCGUUAAUGCUUUGUUCUGGUGCUCUUUGAUAGGAGCACCUUAAUCUCCAUAAGUUACUUUUGGCCCCGUUAGUAGCGGGAUGGUAGGACAAAAGAUGUUGUGCAAGUUCUUAUUGCAAGCACGCACGACUACCUUGGUAUAGAUGCCUAAUGUUUGAUAUUUGCCUAGAUGAUCAUUACUUUUCUAUGUGCCUUGCCCCAAGUUAAAUACAUGAUAUCUCUCAUCCAUGACCAACCAUACAUCUCCCUAGCCUACAGUGUUUUAAUCCUGCUAGUUACCAGUUGCUCUACUUUCGUUGUUUUACUUUCGUUGCUUUGUCACCAUUAUCUCCGUUGCCACAAUCACUUUCAUAUCACCAUUGCUACUCAUAUUUCGUUUCCAAACAAGUAUAUUUUAGGUGUGGUUGAAUUGACAACUCAACUGAUAAAGCUUAUAAAUAUUCUUUGGCUCCCCUUGUGUCGAAUCAAUAAAUUGGGUUAACUUACCCACGAAGAGUGUUGCGAUCCCCUACACUUGUGGGUCAUCAAGACUAUUUUCUAGCGCCGUUGCCGGGAGCAUAGCUUUAUUUACAAGUCUACUUGGAUUUAUUUUGCUUGCUGCGAUUUAUCCGCUAUGGGUAAGAAAGGAGACUCCAAGGUUCCAAUUUUACCAUCCACUAAACGAAAAGGUACUUUUCUUAGCACUAGCGCUACGCUUGAUUCACCUUCCGUUAUCAGUAAGUUUGCUUCACCACCACGACAUGCUGCUUCUACCGAGUCCGUUACUAUGUCUGAUACUAUUGAUGAUGCUUCUACUACUAUUGAUGAGACUGGUUUACUUGGUUAUUUUACUCAGUCUCAGAUUGCUAAGGCUGCGAAGCAGCCUGGGGUUGAAAUUCCUGUUACAUGUGUCACGCCCAAGAUGCGACCAUAUCCUCAAUUUGGCACGAGGGCCUCGUUAGGGAUAGAAGCGCAUCUCGUCGUGUCGCAAGAAUGGAUAUCGUUACAAGUACAUGUACUGAAAAGAAGAGAUAUAUAUUGAGUUGGCUUACACUCGCCACAAGCUACAUCAGAGUCCCAACAGUACAUUACAUAAACAUCAAGAGUAAGAGCAGGGUCCGACUACGGACUAAAACAAACGAGAAAAAUAAGAACGACGUCCAUCCUUGCUAUCCCAGGCUGCCGGCCUGGAAUCCAUCCUAGAUCGAAGAAUAAGAAGAAGAAGAAGAAGAAGUAACUCCAAAUGAUCAAUCAACGCGCUCGCGUCAAAUAACCUUUACCUGUACCUGCAACUGGUGUUGUAGUAAUCUGUGAGCCACAGGGGACUCAGCAAUCUCAUUUCCAAAGGUAUCAAGACUAGCAAAGCUUAAUGGGUGAGGUAAGGUUAAGUGGUGAGGUUGCAGCAGCGACUAAGCAUAUAUUUGGUGGCUAAACUUACGAGUACAAGAAUAAGAGGGGGAAGGUCUACGCAUAACGGACGUGAACUACUGAUGAUCAAAUGAAUGAUCCUGAACACCUACCUACGUCAGACAUAACCCCACCGUGUACUCGAUCGGAGAAGGAACUCACGAAAGAGACGGUCACGGUUACGCACACAGUUGGCAUGUUUUAAUUAAGUUAACUUCGAGUUAUCUAGAACCAGUGUUAAACAAAGCUUCCACGUUGCCACAUAACCGCGGGCACGACUUUCCGAAAAGAUUUAACCCUGCAGGGGUGCUCCAACUAGUCCAUCACAAAUUACCACAAGCCGCAUAGAAAUCCUCAAUCACGAAGCUCGCGAUCUCAUCGGAUUCCCUAGUGGAAAACCUCAACUCUGAGAUUACCCAAAGCAUCACCGGAAUCCCGAUGCACAAGAUAUUUCGUCAAAGGUAAAACUAAUCCAGCAAGGCCGCCCGACGUGUCGACGAUCCCGAUAGGAGUCAACCAAACCUCAGGUUGCCCCGCUGUGGCCCCGUAGUCUGCCAAUUUGGACCAACACUCAUGAGGAGCACUGGCCCGGGGGUUGAUUAAAUUAUCCUCGGGGUCCGGAAAGUCCCUAUGCAAUUUUAUUAGGUGUUUAGGCAAAUGUAGUACCAAAGUUGGGCCUUGCCAGACCAGUCUUAAUCUAAAACGAAUUAUCAAGGGGGUCCCCAUAACAACCCCGAUCGUGUUAGGAGCGCUCAAUUAUGGAACAUAACACCGGUAGCCGAAAGUAAGGGGGCAAAGGUGGAACAAAACACCAGGCUAGAAAGGCCGAGCCUUCCACCUUUCACCAAGUAUAUAGGUGCAUUAAAUUAAAUAGCAUUUAAAUAUGGUGAUAUAACAAGGAACCCAUGCUUUCGCAUGGAAGCAUCUGCACCUGCAACUAGCAACGCUAACACAGGGUUAAGCAAGCGGUAACAUAGCCAAUCAGUGGUUUGCUAGGUUGAACAGGUUGAAGGUUUUCAUGGCAUUGUUGAGAGGCUGACUUUAACAGGUGGUAGGGAACGAGACAUAAAUGAUAGAAGCGAUAAACUAGCAUGGCAAUGAUAGUAAUGGUAUAUGGGGAAAUGGUCAUCUUGCCUGAGAUCCCGCUUAGAAGAAGAAUGCCUCCGUGAAGCAGACGAACCGACGUAGUCGAACGGGUCCUCACAAUCCGGCACGCUGCGGAACUUUAUCGAGACGAAGCAAACCAGAAACACAGAUCAACACACGGAAUUCACCACACGAUGCACAACACAAAUGAUGCAUGAGCAGCUGAAUACAUGCAAGUCACGGUAUGACAAUUCACACAAUCAAACACUACACAUUAAGUGAAGUUCAAUAUGCAACGAGUUGCAUAUUGACGAAACUCCACGUUUAUUAUUUAGUUCUAUCCCGAUUAGAUACACGACAAUAUUAAAUGUGGUUAAACAUGGCAAGAGGUGAAGCGGAAUUAAACUACCUAUCUAGGCAUUUCAAAUGAGGUCGGAAAUGUCAUAUAGCACCUCCGAAACGACCUCACAUGUUAAUUUACAAUUCUGUCCAGAUCUGAACUAAUGCAUUUAAUUAGUUGUUAAACAGAAAAACGAAUAGGUUCACGUGAUUCUACGCGUCAUGGCAAGCAAUCUACACAUAGAAAUCAUCUCCAACGGAGCUACGGAACAAAAGAUACAAGCACCGCAAGAUAUGAUGGCAUGAAUGCAAUAUGUGUGCAACGGCGGUCACGAGCACUUCAAAACAUUCAAAUAGAAGAGAAAAUGAAACUACACGAGAUUCUAAGCAAGUUUCAUGUAGGACACGAUCAAAUCGGAGCUACUGUUCAACAACUACGAGCAAAACAAGAAAUGACUACAAUCUGCCAAAAUCAGCCACAUAGCAUAUUCUACGCCCCACAACUACGAGCUACACAACUCCGAUAAACUCAAGCAAGGCAUGGCACGAAAGAGGGCAAGACGCACUACUACAAACAACUAACAAAAACUAGCAUGGUAGCAAGGAGCACUAGGAGAAGAAGACACAAAAUGGAUCUCACACACUAUUUCAGACUUAGUGAAAAUUACACCUCAUGAAAGUGCAGUUUUCGAUCUGAAUCAAUAUUGACAGCAGCAAAACCUAUAGCUACAGGACUCCAAAUGGCAUGAAAAUUUACAGCAAGCUAGAGAAACACAAGGGGUAAAACUAACUCCAUUGGACCAACCUCAAAAGAGCUACCUAUCACAAGAUGCAAGCAGGACAAGACAACAACAAAAUAUAACAGAUUCCAGACUUAGAAAUAUUUCAGCUCCUCCAAAUCAGCACUAUUUCUAGCAACUUGAGGGCUAUCAAAACACACCUAAACAUGCAUUUCUAUUGCGACCAAAAAAUACCAGCGGCUAAACAAAACAUCCAAGAUCAACUCUCUAGUUGACAACUCCUUCAAACGAAGCACGGAAUAAAUCCUACGAAAUAAUCAAAAGGGCAUCACGGCAAAAUAUCGCGCGAACUAACUUACUCAAAAGCUAAAACUAAUUGCACAGAAAAAUCCCAUGGAUUUUUCUACCCCGGAAACAUAUAAAAUAUGUGGGGUUUGCAACACAAAGUAAUGCCGCACAUUAAUGCGAGAAAAAUAACCUAUACGCGGGAAAAUAAAUUACCGGCAAUUCUCUACACGUAAAAAUACAAAUGACCGCUCUAAAAUACAUGCAAAAAUGAUUCCUAAAACAUGUGCAUUUCUAAUACGGCAUACGAACAAUUCAAACUCGCGCGGAAAAUAAAUACGGGCACUAUCCUAUCUAGAAAGCACGUUAAACUAGGCGGUUGGCACGUAAAACUACGUCAAUUAAAUAUGCAAGUUGUGAAAACAGAUUCUACGCGAAAAUCUACGCCAAAACCAUAUACUAUAUGUCACGAUGCGACUUACGGAAUAGAAACUACGGGCAUUCGAAUAUACGUUAUUUUUCUGGAAUUUAUAUUAAUUCCAAAAAAUCCCUCAAUUACUAACGGGCCUAAUCAGUCUACCGGGCCGAAUAGCGCACGGGCUGUCACAACUAAUUCACGCCACGGGCGUCAUAUAGCCAAGAGAGAAAAAAAAGGAACAAGCUCACCUUGGGCCGUGGAGAAGGGGUGUUGGAGGUGACCCUGAUGCGUGUGCAUCAGGGAGCAACUAUGCAGCUCCGCCCCUGCAUGGCAGAACCAUUCAACAUAUAAGCUAAUAUUGCUGCUUAUAAACAAAUCAUGCCAAAUGGUCGGACAAAUUUUAGUUAGCAAAUAUCUUCAUACUACAGAAUCUUGUAGACUAAAAUAUGCCUUUGAAGCUAUAUCUUUAUAUGAAGGCAAUGCAUCAGAAACAUUCAUCAAGUUGAUACUGUAAAUUUAAUUUCAUAAUAGAAGCAAAGAGCAACAUAAUUUAAAAUCGAAGGAAGCACCACAUGUCGAGUAUACCUGAUUACAUUAAUAUUCCUGCAAACUGAGAAUCCAUGCGUUAACAUAUCUCCUGGAGCAACCAUUUUGACAAUCUUCUGUUGACCAAUAAUAAUCGCAUGGAAAAAAGCUGCAAAAAGGCUACUGGUCAAGUAUUUAAGGACAAAUAAAUCAAGGCUAGACCAAAAUUCAGGGAGAUUUUAACAAAAAUAAAAUAAAACAAAAGUUGUAAGACCAAUAAUAAUGCACCAUGAUGUGCAACCCUUUAUAAAGAAAAUACAACCAAUGUGUGAAGCCCUUUAUAAAGAAAAUACAACCAACUAAAGUCUUCAUGGAAGCAAGCAUCUCCUCCAGAGACAUGGGAUCUACUCCAUUUGUGCAUGCAUGGCUGCAUAAAUUUAUACGCAUUCGUGGAACAAACAGUACACAAUCCAUUUGGUUCUGGUUGUAUGCAUAACAUUUUAGUUUAACUUAGCACUAAUUUGUACUGAUGUAUCCAUUCUAGAGGCAAUAGCUAAUAUGCAGUAAAGUAGGUAAUGAUUAAUUUCGAAUAAAACAGAAAACAGACUGAAAAUUGAAACUGAAAUGGGAGAAAGGCACUAGUGGUAGAAAAGUUAGCAUUUUUUACCUUAGUGUAAAACCUUGGUUCACGAUAAUGUGUCGGAUUCACUUUCCUUUUUGAGUCUCCAGAUUGAUGGAAGCAUGAUUCUCUAAAGAAGAUAUGCCAUCAACUUUGAGCCAUUUAACCAUUCUUUCUACAAGCUUCUAAACCUACAGCAAGGGAUAAAGCUUAGAAACAAUCACAAGAAAUCAAAUAGAAUACCAGUUAACACAUGCCCACAAAAUUUUAGCUUAGAUGUUAUCAGUUCAGGCUUUCCAGAACCAGGGUUAACUAUUGAUUUGGACAAUAAAGGAUUAGUACUCCUUAAUUAUUCUAGUACUCUGCAUAUAGCAUGGUAAGUCUUCUUAUAUGAUACCUGAUGUAAUAUGCCAUAUUGAUGUUGAAUGUAAAAUACAGGAAGAUGGAUUAUUAUAUUAUUACUAAGGACAAUAUGAAUGGCAAACUUCUAUAAAACCAAAAAAUAAGUACAAACUUCAUAUUGAAGUUGAGGUUUUUGGCAUCAUCUCAAGUAGACGCGAUAAUAGAUCCAGGGAACACUAAAAAUUACGUGUCAGCAUCAUCAAUGAGCACAACACAGUUUGUACACUAAAAAAUACUUGCAGCGAUGGUACUCUCACCUACCAUCAUGGAACAUCCCAAACAAAGAAGCUCUUAUAUCUUUGGUAUGAGCACCUUCAAGGCAUGCCUCAAACAUAUGACAGCAAAGUGGUUGUCCUGUUUAUGAAGGCCAAAUACCCACAGAAACAAUCCGCUGAAAAUCCCUUAAAACUACAAUCAUGUGGAAUAGAUCAGUAGUUAGUUAAGAGUUUGAUCCCACUAGUACAAACAUUUCAACCCAACAACAUAAGGAUCGGAUGAAGCACAUGAAUUUAUUUCCCGUGUUUGAAAGUAAACAUGAAUUCUGAAUGUCUGUCUUGGUACUAUCCUUUGAUUCAAGUCCUUUUUCACUGCACAAGGAUUGAAGAUCGAAUUUCAUCUAGGCAUGACAAAACAAAAACAUGACAAAUCAUGCAUCUACCCUGUGGUAGGCCCACACUCUUGCCCGCUAUCGCACACGGUUUCUAGUGAUUUAUAUUGGAUGCCUCUCUGCCUUUCAGGUUUUUGUUCUGUUUUACAUCCUGAAUCGAAGAAUUUUGAGAAAUAAUCUUGUACGUAAAUGAAUAACACUCUUAACUCUUUUGGCACCAAAAACAGACUAUUUAUUCCAUGCCGCUGCUUAUGAAAUUGAUUUCAUACAUAUCACUGACAAGCCUACACAUCUUCACCCCAACCAUUAAUAGGUGCAUAAAAAGGCAUUUUUGCCACUGAUUUUUGGUUCAAGCAAUGCGAAUAUGCAAUAUGUACUUAUCUGUACUGUUCCCUUUGCCAUCUGCUCCAGAAAAAGAAUUCCAGACAAUUUCAAAUGGAAUGAGAUGUACCAUCCAGAUACUAGGCAAAAAGAGUCUUACUCUACUCUAAUUUCCACCGCCGGCACCACCACAUCGACUAGACAGGCAACUGACUGCAUCGUAAGGCUAGGGUUCCCCGUACCUGCUUACAGGGCCUGGUAGCCCUGAGCGAAGGAGGGCGCGGAGGCUGAAUACGCCCGCUGAGGCAACCUUGAGCAGCACGAGCGGUGAAGCGGCGGCGGCGACGGCCAUGUACACCUGCCUGGGGACGGCGGCGACGACCAUGUACACCUGCAUGGGGACGGCGGCGACGGGGGGAGAUAGGGGUCAGGCUCCAGAUCCGGCGACGGGGGGAGAGAGGGGUCAGGCUCCAGCGCUCGGCGUCGGCGUUGAUGCGGCGGACGAUGUAGGUGAGCAGCUCCGGCAGCAGGCGGGACCACCUCUCCUCGUCGGCAUCCCCCUCCUCCUCCUCCUGGAGGCGGCCAUGGGCGUCCUCUGGGGCGACCUCGGGUGGAGCUGGAUCCAUGCCUGUCGCCGGGUGGAUCUAGGAGCCGCCGGAGCUGCGACGUGAGAGGGGGCGGGCCGGCGGCGAGCUAUAGGAGGAGGAAUAGGCCGACGUGGGUGGUGGCGGCGGCGAGGGAGAGGGGGUCAUGGAGAGAGAUACGAGACAGAGAGGGGGGAUGACGCUGGACUGGUGGGCUCUCUCUCUCUCUCUCGUGGGCUCCUAUUUUUUCUCCUUUUCUCUAUGGAUGGAGGGAGGGGUGUGGGGGUGGAGAGCUAAUGGAUAGAUGGAUGGAUAUGCGCCACAUCAUUGAUCCAUGGAACAAUGUUUCCACCAAUAGGAAUUAAGUUCAUGCAAUUGUGUUCUUCUUUUAUUUUUCUUCUAAUUUUUUCUACCCUCUUGACUGACGAAGGAGGGCAAGUACUAACUGCAUCCACAUCGGUGAAGGUUCCGGCGGCCUCGUCUAGGACCACGUGAACCCGCCCGACUGCUACCACACAUGAAUAUCGGAUGGAUGUGCGACAUGUCAUCUAUCUAAGGCAUAAAUGUUUCCACGAAUGAGAAGUAACCUAUCGUGUGGCUGUUUCCACCCUCAAGUGAAGACGACGGUGCCGUUCAUGAAUAGGGUCACAAUCUGGAGCCACGUGGCGGGCGUCUAAAGCUAUUUUUGUCAUUUAAAGAGUUUUCCGCCAAAUCAGAAGGAAAUCAGAUGGAAUCGGAAGGAAAUCGGUCAAAAAAAUUUGCACAAGGGUGCAUCUUGGAAUUGCAAACAAUGUUGCUAAAGGGAGUUUUCAUUUUCUUUGGAUGUAAAAUUCAUUUUCCAUUUGUGGCCUUGUCGACACCUAUACAAGACACAUAGGCGAAAUUGUUGAGUUUUCUGCCAGUCACCUCUGUUUAAGCCUAUGACCUCCUUAAUUUUGUCAUGGAGGACCUACAAUGCGGGCAUAAAUAGAGCUACACAUGCUAGUGACCAUUUUGGACAAUGGGAUUAUGACCUUCUUGAUAGAGAUGGUCAAAAAAUUCUACGGUUUGGACCCUAUUAGACACCCCAUGACCUUUUUGUAGAUUUUAGUCAUAGAUCUAUGACCAAUAAAACCGCCGUCAAUAUUUUUUGUCAUAAACGAGCUUAUUUCUUGUAGUGGCGGGAGGUGCACCGAAGGCGAGGCGGCGCGCCAUGGGGGCUGGGCAGAGGUUGCCCCGAGCCCAAAUGGGUUUCGGCGGGCCUAACCCGGGCUCGGGCGGGCCCGGCGGCUGGAGGAGGGAGACAGGGAGGUGGAGGUUAGGGUUUGGUGGUGUUAGCAUGGGAAACGAGGAGAGGGUUAGGUUAGCCUAAAAUUUAGGAGGGGUGCCUAUUUAUAGAGAAAGGGGGGGCUAGGGUUAUCCGAAUUCGGCCACGUUUUCCCCAACGCGAUCGGAAUCGUACGAACUCGAACGCGGGGUCGGCUAAGUGAACGUGUAGAGUAGGCUAGCCGGGGAAGAGAGGGAAACGGUGCGGCGCGGCAACGCGAUUUAAAACACCGACAGACGUCCGACGGUAGACCGAAUACGGUGCCGCUACGGUCGACCGUUCGGGUACCAGACGAACUCCGAUCGCGAUGAAUUUCGACAGGCGGCCUAGCUAUAACUAAUCACGACCGCAUGCCGAGUUUCAUCUCGAUCAGAGAAAGUUUUAAACGCACUUUUAAAACAGGGUUUCGAACGAUGCUGCGGGCGCGUGCGAGUGCGGUUGGACUCGGAACGGACAACGAUGAGAACCGGCAACUACUAACGAAUGCAAGUUUUGAAAACUGGCGGCAACGGAGAUGCCGAUGCAAUGCAGAUGAUGCGCAUGAUGCGAUGAUGAUGCGACAAAUAAAAUAAAUCACACGAUGAAAACGGAAUAGAAGGGGAAUCUUCUGGGGCGUCGGUCUCGGGUUGUCACAACACGCUACCCCAUUGGUAUAUCCUUUGGUUACCUAGACUUGAAUGGUCUCAGGGAAAGAAUUAUUGAUGAUGGUUAUAUUGAACUUGAUGAUGAUUUAUGCAGGGAGCUUACAGAGUGUGCUGGCUCUGACCCUGCUUCUAUUAAGAAGCUGCUUGAAAAGCAUUCUAUGAAGAACUAAUUUACUACUGAUCCUAAAUUUGCUUCAUCUCUUAUUUGCAUUGAGGAUUUUGAUUUCUGUGUUGAUCUUUCACUUAUAUCCACAGUUGAAGCUGUCCCCUUUUAUGGCAGAGAAAAUGGCGACGCUAUUGCACACCUUACCAAACUCACUGAGUUGGGUGGUUUAUUCACUACAGAGGACAAGAAGAGAAAUUAUCAUGUUACUAAGCUACUUCCUUUAUCUUUGAAGGAAGAUGCUAAAGCAUGGUGUGAUGCACUACCAUGUGCUUCCAUUAAGAGUCCUCAAGAUUUAGCUCAACCUUUUGUAGCUAAAUAUUUUCCUUCUCAUAAGCAACAUGCUGCUUUGCAAAAAAUAUAUAACUUUAAACAGUUGCAGGAUGAGCAUCUCCCUAAAGCUUGGGGGAGGUAUUGCACUUUACUCAAGGCUAGACCGGGACAUGGAGUCCCUAAGAAUGAAUUGCUUGAUAUAUUUUAUGCUGGUCUAACCGAUGAAUCUAGAACCUAUCUGGAUAGUUGUGUUGGUUGUGUUUUCAGGGAAAGAACACCAGACGAUGCUGAAGAACUAAUGGGCAAGAUAGCUAAGAAUCAUGAUGAUUGGUCCAUGCCUGAUACCACCAAAGAAGAGGGGUAUGCUUUUCCUGAGCCCCGAAGCUAUGCAAGAAGCAAAGAAGUCUAUUAAAGAGAAAGGUAUUAAAGCUGAAGAUGUGAAGAAUCUAUCUCCUAUUGAGAAAUUAUGUGAGCCUACCACUCACCCACCUAUGGUAGAGGUACACUCUCCUUUAGAAUUCAAUGCAAGUGACGUCCCUCAGGGUAAGCCUCCCGAUCAAUGUUUAGAUGAGCUUGAUAAUUUCAUCGUCAAGCAAAGUCACUUUAAUGAGAGGAUUCAAAGCCAAUUGCAUGAUAAUUCACAUGCUAUGAAAAGUUUGCUUGAUGUUUUAAGUAGAAUUGUUAAUGAUGUAAAAGGUCUUGUUAAGCAUUUUCAUAUGGUUCAAACUCAGCUUGAACAAAUUUCUAAUGUGCAAAAAUAUUUGCUUGUUAACAAUACCAAACAAGUUGAUACGCAGGCAUACGGUAUAAAGACCCGAGGUGGUACACACACCCAGGACCCCCUCUAUCCGGAGGGGCAUCCAAAGAGGAUCAAGCAAGAUUCUCAAUUGCAGGAAGAAGACAUUGUCAGCUCCCCAAAUAAGAAGAAGAAAUACAAGGACGCUGACAACUCCAAUGAUCCCAUAAUUCAUGAAGAACCUAUUGUUGAUCCUAAUAGUAUGUUUAUUUCCCAUGCUGAAACUGAAGAUGGUGCUAAACCUGAUAAAGAUAAUGAGAAGAAUGAUCCUCCUGAAGUACAAGAAGAAGAAGCACCCGACAAGCGCAAGAGAUAUACUAGAGAAGACUUUGUUGCAAGAAGACAUGGGAAGGAAAGAGAACCAUGGGUACAGAAAUCAAUGCCCUUUCUAGGUAAGUCUUUCAAAACCAAAGAAGAACUGCAUUACAAUAAAUUUUGUGAAUGGAUGAAACCUUUUUUUCUUCAAAUUCCUUUGACUGAUGCUAUUAAGUUGCCUCCGUACUCGAGGUAUAUAAAAGAUAUUGUUACUAAUAAAAUAAAAGUUCCUAAUGAGGAAAUAUCUACUAUGCUUGCUAAUUACUCUUUCAGUGGUAAGAUUCCUAAGAAACUUGGUGAUCCAGGUAUACCCACCAUUUCUUUCUCCAUAAAAAAUAAUUAUGUCAGAACUGCUUUAUGUGAUCUCGGUGCAGGAGUGAGUGUUAUGCCUUUCUCUCUUUACAAAAGGCUUUAUUUAGAUAAACUAAUCCCUACAUAUAUCUCUCUUCAAAUGGCUGAUAAGUCAACGGCCGUUCCUGUUGGUAUUUGUGAGGAUGUUCCUCUUGAAGUUGCUAAUUGCUUGAUCCUUACUGACUUUGUUGUGCUUGACAUGCCCGAGGAUGGGAGCAUGUCUAUUAUUCUUGGUAGACCUUUUCUUAACACCGCAGGUGCUAUUAUUGAUUGCAAUAAAGGAAAGGUGACUUUCAAUGUUAAUGAGAAGGAGCACACGGUAUAUCUUCCAAAGAAGAUUGAUAAAAGGCAUGGCUUUAAUUCUAUUGAGAAUAUUGAGACCGUGAAAGUUGGAGAGUGGGAUUGUCCUCUACAUGUGCACCACAAAUACAAAACCAUUAUGGUGGAGACAAUAUCCAUUAAAAUAAAGGUACCAUGAUUUCUUUGUAAGAAGUGAAACUUUUUGCUCGAUAUAACACCUGUUUGGUAGUAAGACUUGAUUAACCUUACUAACAAAUAUGUUUUAUAUGAGCAAAAAGAGAAGCUCUUCAUGUUUUCAUUUCCUUUCUCUUUCAUUCUCAUUGUUGUGCCAAAGUUUUAUGUUUUUAAGCUUCAUAUGUUUAACCAUUGUUUCAAGCCUUCCGGAAGUUUUUCAAGCCUUUCUCUUUUGUUUCCAGCCAGGGGGGCCACCCCUGGUCCAGGCGGCUAGCUGGCGCGGCCUGCCUCCUCGUCACGCCCACAUGUCGCCUCGGCCCACCUGGUCCCCUUUCCAGGUACUUCUUCCUCCCUCCUCUCUCUCACUCCAAAAACCCCAUUUUUCUCCUCGAGCUCGAGUUCUUGCUGUUCUUGGUGGAAAAUUUUGAUCUCUCUCUACAACCCACCAUUUGCAUUGAGAAUUUGAGCAUUUGCUCCUUGGUAUGUGACUCCUCCACUCCUCAAAUUAGAAUUUUGAUUGCUAGUCUUAUUUGUGAGUAUUUUGGAGUUCUUGGUCCUGUUCAUAUGAGCUUGCAUGCAUGUUUAGGAAUUUAUUUAUGAAGUUUUGACGCAAGCUUAUGCAUCAGGGAAGUGAGUAGAAUUGUUUGCUCCAACUCAUUUUUGCUUAAACCUUCAUUUUUGUUAUGCAUCAAAAAUUUCAGAAUUGAGUUUGUUUGGAAAAACAAAAGGAUGGCUUGGGAAGAAGAGACCCGAGCCUAGUGACAGACUAACUAGAGCUGCAGCUUCAUCUUCCACUGUGAGGACAAGUUACAGUGAUGAUAUCGUGCCACCAGAGUUACUCCACGAGACAGACACGACACGUGCCAUGGCAUACCCGUGUUCAGAUUUCCUUAUGGCAGGUAUUAAGGAUGAGUUUGAUAACCUUUGUGCAGCUGCAGGUUUGACACGUCUCGUAACACCACAUGUACAACAAUAUCCAAAACUCACCUAUUAUUUUGUCAACUGGUUUAGAUAUAAUGAUAAAACUUCCAUGAUUGAAUUCAGGUUAUAUGAGGAUGUCCUUACCAUGUCUUUGACAUAAUUUUGUGACGUUAUAGGUGUGCGGAAUGUCGGGAAGACGACCAAAAUGAAAAUCCAGCCCUACGAGCUGAAAUCCCUAUUCGCUUCCCUUUGCAGCAAGGAUCCGCGAGACAUUCACCGGGGGAAGAUCUCCAGCAUCUUGUUUCCCCACAUCAGGUAUUUCGCAUACUAUAUUGCUCGAGGGGUGUUAGCUCGUGACAACACGAGCAACAUUUCGGCUCCGGAUCUCGCUAUCUUGUCAGUCGCCCUCUUAGGAGAUAACACGUAUAAUAUUGGUGCUUUGAUUGCUCGUCGCCUCGUCUCUAACAGCGGCAAGGGGCCUCACUUUGGUGGCAUUUAUGCCACGCCUAUCCUCGAGCACCUCGGGCGCACUGUAUGCACGGAUGAUAUGCAUUUUUCAUUCAUAAGCUUUGAUCUUACCGCUAUGAAGAGGCAUGAGUUUGUUACUAGGACUUCUGAGUUUGGUAACCUUGUUUAUAUUAUGAGGUUUGGUGAGCUUACUACUCGCGAGAUCCGUCUACCUGCACCACUUUUGUUUGAUUACACUAGCAAGAACGGAUGGUCCUUCACCUCAAUUGAGCUGGACGAGUUCGUGAUCCACCAACAAUUCCACAACCCCAUGGAGGGGGUUGUUCCCGAGGAAGAAGGACCUUCUUCUUGGGAGGCCAUCCGGGCAUCAGUGUAGGUGCCCGAGGCCUCGUAUGAUUCUUGGAGCCACCCGUACCACUCCGGAGCUGAAGGGGGCUCCUUGAGCUCGCAGUAGCCAAGCUCAACUUAGGCCAAAAGCCCAAGCUUGGGGGAGUACGUACCCUUCUCCCCUUUCAUUGUAUCAUCCGUGGUUUCCUUUUUAAUCUUUUCAAAGUUUUUGCCUGUUCUUCUUUCUUCUUUCUUUGCAAAAACAACAAAAAUAUUUCUCUUUUCUUUUGCUUUCGUUUAACCUUUGGAGAACCCAAAAAGAUUUAUUUUCUCUCUUUAGUUUGCUUUGUUUGCAGAGUGCAGCUCAUGUCCAUGGAUGCAAUUGCACUUGAUUAUAUCUUUCUACGUUCGAUCGUGCAAGUGAGGAUGCAAUAAUGACGAAGAUCGACGAAAGGGAUGCAACAAGGAAAGCCGGUAUGAACUCUAUUUGUUUCUACUUUUGUACAUGUGUGUGUACUUAUGAUCUAGAGAUCAGCUUGUAGCGACAUAGUGCUAUGUUUACAAUGCCUUCACAGUAGUUCAUCCUUUCUUUGUGACUAGUCUCAAAUAGAUGGAGUGCAUAAUGUAUUAUCGAAAUGAUUUGCAUGCAUUCCAUUGUUCAUGGUUUGGCAUAUUGGAGUGGUAUUUCCCUUCAGAGAGUUUUUGGAUUGACUUGGCACAUGCUUACACAUGUUUAUGACUAGAAGUCUAUAAAGCCUUGAUGAUCUUUUUAUUUUAGAAUAGUUAUACCGAUUUCAUGGCCGAUUCAAUGUUUCUUUGUUGCUCUGCAUGAUUAUGACCGUUAUUGCUCUCUAGUUGGUCACUUCCUCGCCUUUUUCUAGCCUUCGCCUGUACUAAGCGGACUGACUGCUUGUGCAUCCAAAAUCCUUGAAACCAGUUGCGCCAUAUGAGUCCACCAUACCUAACUAUAUGCGGUAUUUAUGUGUCGUCCUAAGUAAAUUUGCGUGUGCCUUAUUCUAAAGUUUCAAAUAAAUAUUUUGUUUUGUAUGCCUGAAUCGCUCAUGUAGUGACUAGGGGAUAUCAAUAUCCUCCAUGCUAAGUAGGUUAUUCGCAAGAUAUGUGUUGAUUCACUAUCAUUCACGAGAAAGUGGCUGGUAACCGGGAUGCCCAAUUCCAUGCUCAAACUCAAACCAAUUUAAUGAAACAAAACUCCCCCAGGAUUGUUGUUCGUAUGGACGAUACCCGUGGAUUCGGCCCGUUGUGGAGUGUGAUCGACUGGCGGAGGGGGAGUAAAAACUUUUCUAUUCUAUUUGGGAACCGCCUAUAAUGUAUUUAGCAUGGACGAUAUUGAGAUCUCUUAGUUGUUACGUUGACAAUGAAAGCAUACCACCCAAAAUUUUGAUUUAACUCUGUUUUAAAAGUUCAAGUUCUGGCACCUGUGGAAAUCAGUGCUUCCCUCGGUGAAAGGCCUAUCUAUUUUACUUUACUAUUGAGUCAUCAUCUUCUUAUAAAAAACACCAACUAUAGAGAGCAUAAUUGUCAUUCUGAGUGUAAUGUGCAUUGUCCCAAAGUGCCACAUUGUUUUCUGUAUGAUUGUGAUAUUAUUUAUUCUGAAAUAUUUAUUUCUAGUCUCCUUUAAGACUCCGAAGGAGCGUGUGCAUUUAUGUUUUGCUUCACUCUUGGGGGCUAUCGAGAUACAACUCUAGUACGUCCGAGUCAUGUACAUUGUGAUCUCGUCAUGAUUUUCACUUGCAUAUUAUUCAUGCUUAGUUGUUUGAAACUCUUCACAUGAUCGAAGGAUUUCUUCGUGCAUUGUCUUUGUAGCAUUGCUUCAAUACUUGUUGGACUUGUUCGUAGUGCAUACUUAUAUACAUCUGAUGAGGCAAAAGAGUUUGUCAAGUUUUCUUUGCCGCGUCCAGUUAAUUGAACUGAAUUGCUUGAGAACAAGCAAUUUGCUAAGCUUGGGGGGGGGGGGGGGGGUUGAUACGUCUCAAACAUAUCGACUUUUCCAAAUACUUUUGCUAUUGUUUUGGCCUCAUUCUUGCAUGAUUUGAAUGAAACUAACCCGGAGAGACGUUUCUUUCAACAGAGCUGCCUGUAAGGUUUUCUUGUGUGCAGGAAAAUGGAUAUUUAGACGUCCCAGAAAAUUCCCAUAAAAAUAGAGAAAAUCCACGCACCGUGAGGAACCUUGGGACAAAAGAUGGGCCAGAGGGGGCCCACCAGGGCUCCAGGUGACCUGUGGGCGCAGCCUGCCCCCUGGCCGCACCGGGAGGCCGCCUGGGUGGGGUCCACCCCCUCUGGUGCCCUACUUUGGCUCCUAUUUUUACCCGUGAUGGAGAAAUUCCAGAACAGAAGUCGUUUUGCAAGUUCUCGACACGGAGCCGCCAUCACCCUCAGUUCUUCUCCAGGAGAGCUAAUCUGGAGGCUUUCUUGGCCUCCAGAGAGGGGAAAUCGUCACCAUCGUCAUCACCAUCAUCACUCCAUCACCCUUCCAUGGCUUCCCCCAUCAUGUGUGAGUAAUUCCCUGCUGUAGGUGAAGGGGAUGGUAGGGAUUGGAUGAGUUAGAUCAUGUAAUAGUUCGUCGGAUUGUUGGGGGCAUGUUGCCUAUCAUCUACAAUGGUGUUUAUCAUCUUUGCUACUACUUGUUAGUCUUAAUGCUUGUCACUUGGGCCCGAGUGCAAUGAUUUCAAAUCUGAAUACCUUUUGUUUUCAUGAAUAUAUUUGUGUUCUAAGAUCCUAUCUAUGAGUAGCAUGCACCUAUUAUAGUCCGGAACUGGCAAUCCCAAUGGUGACAACUUGGGACACCAAAGGGGAUAGACUAUACUUUGAGGAUUCCAUGUAUCCAUUGAUCAUUAAUGCUUUGUUCCGGUGCUAUUUGAUAGGAGCACCUUAAUCUCCAUAAGUUCCUUUUGGCCCCGUUGGUAGCGGGAUGGUAGGACAAAAGAUGUUGUGCAAGUUCUUAUUGCAAGCACGAACGACUACCUUGGGAUACAUGCCUAAUGUUUGAUAUUGGCCUAGAUGAUCAUUACUUUUCUAUGUGCCUUGCCCCAAGUUAAAUACAUGAUAUCUCUCGUCCAUGACCAACCAUCCAUCUCCCUAGCCUACAGUGUUUUAAUCCUGCUAGUUACCAGUUGCUCUACUUUCGUUGUUUUACUUUCGUUGCUUUGUCACCAUUAUCUNNNNNNNNNNNNNNNNNNNNNNNNNNNNNNNNNNNNNNNNNNNNNNNNNNNNNNNNNNNNNNNNNNNNNNNNNNNNNNNNNNNNNNNNNNNNNNNNNNNNNNNNNNNNNNNNNNNNNNNNNNNNCUUUGUCACCAUUAUCUGUGUUUCCACAAUCACUUUCAUAUCACCGUUGCUACUAAUAUUUCGUUGCCAAGCAAGUAUCUUUCAGGUGCGGUUGAAUUGACAACUCAACUGUUAAACCUUAAAAAUAUUCUUUGGUCAUCAGGGCGCGCCCACCGAGCUUGUGGGCCCCUCGAACAUCGUAUGGCAUUGAUUUUUUCCCCAAAAACUAUAUAUAUUUCAAAAUAAAUCUUGGUAAUUUUUAUCUCAUUUCGAAUUCCUUUGGUAUGGUUUUUGUGUGAAACUAAAAUCAUGCACAAAUAGGAACUGACACUGGACACUGGAUCAAUAUGUUAGUCCAAGAAAAUCAUAUAUAUAUAUAUAUAUAUAUAUAUUGUUGCAAAACGUAUAUAUAAAAGUUGUAAAAUAAUGACAUGAAAUAUUCAAAAAUUAUAGAUACGUCGGAGACGAAUCAGCAUCGUCAAGCUUAAUUACUCUUCGUUCUCGAGUAGGUAAAUGAUAAGAAGAUAUUUUUUGAUGCGGAAUGCUACCUAACCUAAUCUUAAACAAAUAUCUAACCAUGGCAUGAAUAUUAAGAUACGAGUGAUUCAAGACAAUAGUCUAUCAUUCGAUAUAAAGACAUGCCACUACUAGGAAAAGGGCUAUAGAUGAUAUAGAUACUAAUGGCGCACCACACAAGUAGUGCGCCACUAGUAUAUAGUAGUGGCGCACCAUGUGAGGUGUGCCAUUAGUGUGAUGGACACUAAUGGCGCACCACACACUCGGUGCGCCACUACUAUUUUUUUUUUUGCAAAACUACUAAUGGCGCACCAGCAGCUGGUGCGCCAUUAGUAACCAGGGUUACUAAUGGCGCAUCUGUUAGUAGUGCGCCACUACUAUAAAAAAUUUUGGUUUUUUUUGCAAACUACUAAUGGCGCACCACACCUAGUCCACCAUUAGUAACCAGUGUUACUAAUGGCGCAUCUGUUGGUGGUGCGCCACUACUAUUUUUUUUUGCAGAACUACUAAUGGCGCACCAGAGGAGGUGCGCCAUUAGUAACCAGGGUUACUAAUGACGCAUAUGUAGGUGGUGCGCCAUUAGUAACCUGGGACCAGCUAGAUAUUUUGGACAGCCACCUACCACACUCACUUUCCCCACUUUCAUUCUCUCCACCUCCUCCUCCAAGCUUGUCUCGGGUGCCUCCUCCUCCUCACCUCAUUUGCAUCAUAGAUUCACCCAAAUUAAGUGGUUAGAUUACCUUUUUUUGAUAGGUAAGUAAGGGGAAAGCUUUUAUGUUGUAGAUCUACUUUUUUCUCCCUCCAACAACGUGCACAUGCACUUUUUAUGGCCUAGCUAGAUCUACAUAUGUUUGUGGUGUUGCAUAUAUGUUUGUGUUUGCAGGUACCGGUAUUUGAAAUACGAUAGUUGCCAAUAUUUUCCCGGAAUGUUGAUUCAUUUCCGUUUCGGCGAGAAUUUGGCACUAUGCAUUCUUUUUUGUCCUAUGUUUAGGCAAAGUCAUGCCAAAAAAAAUUUUGGUUCUAAAAUAUCGUUUUGCUCUACCCCGCAGGCGACCAUGGUCCGCACAAUGACCGAAGGCAUCGUGAAUAGUUUUUUGAGCUCCGCGAAGGCCGAGAUGCUUCAAAAGAACGAGACGGAGAUAAGAUGUCUGUGUCGAAGAUGCAAGCUGAAGAGCCUCAUGGACCCGGAUUCCGUAAAGGUGCGGGACCACCUGCUCUUGCGUGGUUUCAUGGAUGGCUAUCGGUGGCAAGGUGAUGAAGAUGAUUAUGAAGUCGUCCAUGGGGGCCGGGAAAGAAAUGAGGAAGGGCAUGAGCAAGACAACCGCGGCGAGGGCAGGCGAGAAGACGAAGAAUCUCCAGGACACAGUCAUCAUGUAGAAGAUGUCGGACAUGAUGAUGAGGAAGAUGCCGGAGCAGACGAAGGGCAUGAUCAUGUAGAUGAAGAUGCCGGAGCAGACGACGAUGGACCAUCGAUGGCCUGGGUGCAGGACCCUCAUAUUCAAGAGCUGCUUCUCAAGCAGACGGAUAAUGCAAGAGCUGCCGCCCGAGAGAAAGCCAAGCUGGAUCAACUAGAGAUAGACGCGGUUACUCCAUUGAAUGAAGGAUGCAGGCCCGAGGAUACCCGCCUGAAAGUAACGCUCAUGGCUCUGGAGAUGAAGGUAAAACACAAAAUGACCGACGCAUGCUUCGACGAGAACAUGUCAUUCUGGCACGAACAUCUUCCCAAGGGGAACAAGUGCCCGACCAGUUUCGAGGAGGCGAAGAAAAUCGUGUGUCCUCUAGAUUUACCGCACAUGAAAUACCAUGUGUGCAUGAACAAUUGCAUCAUUUAUCAGGACGAGCACGCGGAGUCUACCAUAUGUCCGGUGUGCGGCGUCAGUCGAUACAAGAAGAGGAAGAAAGCUCCUCGAAAAGUGGUGUGGUACUUUCCGAUCACUCCUCGUCUGCAAGGGUAUUUCGCGGACCCUAAGGUAGCAAAGCUCCUGCGUUGGCACGCGGAUAGGGAGGAGAAAAAGCGAGAAGAUGACGGAAAUGAUCCGGAGAUAAAUAAAAAAGACAAGAUGCUGAGUCACCCUAAGGAUACGAGCCAGUGGCAAGCGAUGAACUACGAAUACCCAGAAUUUGGGGACGAUCCAAGGAACAUCGUGCUGGGUGCGAGCACCGAUGGCGUCAAUCCGUUUGGCAGCCAGAGAAGCACACAUAGCACCUGGCCCGUGUUUGUGUGGAUGUACAACCUUCCCCCCUGGUUGUGCAUGAAGAGGAAGUACAUUCACAUGAGUAUGCUAAUUGAAGGGCCGAAACAACCAGGGAACGACAUCAAUCUAUAUCUGGGGCUGCUGAAAGAGGAGCUAGACACGCUGUGGAAAACGCCAGCCUUUACGUGGGACGCCGCAGAGAAAGAAUAUUUCCCUAUGAGAGCCGCACUGCUCACGACGGUGCACGACUAUCUCGGUUACGGAUAUGUCGCGGGGCAGGUGGUCCACGGAUUUUCUGGAUGCGUCAGGUGCAUGGAUGACACAAUGUAUCGCCAGCUAGAUAGAGAUCCCGGGUCUUCAAAAACCGUGUUCAUGGGACAUCGAAGGUGGCUUCGCGAUGAUGACUCAUGGAGAAAACGCAAGGAUCUGUUCGAUGGUGAAACCGAACCCCGAAGACGCCCCCUUAUGAGGAGCGGCGAGGAAUUAUACGAGCUGUUGAAAAAUUGGAAAGAGUGCCCACCGCCGGGAAAGGCGCCAGAGCCGGGAAAGAUGCGAAAGGCGCCAGAGCCGCUGCUGAAGGUAUGGAAAACGAGGUCUGUUUUCUGGGACUUGCCGUACUGGAAGAUCCUUCGUGUGCCUCACAGCCUUGAUGUCAUGCAUAUCACGAAGAACGUGUGCGAGAUUCUGCUUGGUACCCUGCUCAACAUGCCAGAGAGGGCCAAAGAUGGACCGAAAGCAAGGGCAGACUUGAAAUCAAUGGGCAUCAGGGAGGAGCUUCACGCUAAUAAUGAUGAUGAUGAUGAGGCGAAGCAGGACACGGAAAGUCGUCGCAAAGGCAAAAAGUCCAAGAAGACCGGAAAUGACUUCCCUCCCGCGUGCUUCACUCUAAGUCAGGAGGAGAUCGAUCAGUUUUUCACCUGCCUCGUAGGAGUAAAACUUCCUUACGGUUACGUGGGGAAGAUAAGCAGAUACCUAGACUCAGCGAAGCAGAAGUUUAGCGGGAUGAAGUCCCACGACUGUAACGUGCUGAUGACGCAGAUACUUCGAGUUGCAAUCCGUGGGAUCAUGGACGCGCACGUCCGUGAAACGCUAUUUGGCCUAUGCAACUUUUUCGACGUCAUCUCUCGGAAGUCGGUUGGCGUGAGGCAACUCAGAAGGCUACAGGAAGAGAUCGUGGUGAUACUAUGCGAGCUUGAGAUGUACUUCCCGCCCGCAUUCUUCGACGUUAUGGUGCAUCUGCUGGUCCAUAUCGUGGAGGAUAUCAUUCAACUCGGGCCGACGUUCCUGCACAGGAUGAUGCCGUUCGAAAGGAUGAAUGGUGUCAACAAAGGAUACGUUCGCAACAUGUCACGUCCAGAGGGAAGCAUAGCCAGGGGCUUUCUGACCGAAGAGUGCAUCUCCUACUGCACGAAUUAUCUAGGCAUCGAGAACCCCGUUGGUCUGCCCGUCAACAGGCACCUCGGCAGUCUCGCAGGACGGGGUCACCGUGAGGGUCGCCGCGAAAUGCAUGUCGACUUCGAGGGUCGACUCGCCGACUUUGAAAGAGCAAACCUAGUCGCGCUACAACACAUAGACGUGGUCGAUCCUUGGGUCGUAGAGCACAAAACCUUUAUUGAGAAGACGUACAAUGACCGAGGCCAACAGAGGACGGACAGAGAUAUAAUCAAAGAGCACAACUCAUGUUUCACGCGUUGGUUCAAGCAGAAGCUUCUGUCGUACCCUUUACAUGAGGAUUCUUCCGCGGAAGAACAACUCAUAUUCGCCUUGUCACAGGGCGUCGAGCACAACCUGAUGACGUAUGAGGCGUACGAUAUCAACGGCUACACAUUCUACACCGAGGGAAAGGACAUGAAGAGCGAUGGUUAUCAGAACUCCGGGGUAACGAUGGAAUCCUACACUGGUAACGACAAGGACAGAUACUACAGAAGGAUCGAGGAGAUCUGGGAGCUGAGCUACGCUGGAGAGAAGGUCCCGAUGUUCCGUGUCAGGUGGGCCAAGAGCGUCAUAAAAGAAGACCGGUAUUUCACCACCAUGGUUAUACCCGAAGCCAAAUCCAAGACCGCGGGCGCAAACAUCACUGCGAAAAAUGAGCCAUGGGUACUGGCUUCCCAAGUGGACCAAUGCUUCUUCAUUACCGACCCGCCAAAGCCCAAUCGUGUUGACGUGAGGAGAGGCAAAAGGAAGAUCAUCGGAAUGGAUGGAGUCGCCAAUGAGCAAGACUUCGACAAGUACGGCGACCCGAAGAUGGAACAUGACGACGAUGAUGAAGUACUAGCAUACACCACAAGAAGAAGCAGGACCACCCUACCUAAAGGACGUCCGUUCAAGAGAAGAACUCCAUUUACGAAAAAUAAGGGCAAGAAGAUUGUGAACAAAUAGCUAGCUAAGAUCGAUUGUAUUUAAAUUGUAGCCUUCAUUUCUCGAUUGUAUUUCGACAUUUUCAAAUUUGAUGAUAUUUUUUCAUAUUCAAUAUGAAAAAAUAUUGAAUAUUCAUGAGGACACUCGAUCUCGAUCCCCUCCAUCUCGAUCGCUAUCAGCCCUCGCAAGAUCCCCCUCGCCGCCGAGCACCCCCCGCACCCUCCCCGAUCCACCGCCGCUGCCGUCGGCAUACUUACCACUAGAACACCUAUUCACAAGAUUCAAGUCAUAUUCAUAGGCAUCUACUUGCAAACAUAAAAAAAUAUACUAGGCAGUAGAUGUUGUUGUGAGGGAAGAUAAAUCACCCUCAUGGUGUGAUGCACACCACAGCAUCAACUUCUCAAACCAAGGUGCAACCAGCGCAAAAGAACAAUGCAUAGAAAAAGAUAAAAGGAAAAAAAUCAAAGGAGGGGGGAAGAGGAUUCGAACCCUGUCCCCCUGGUACUCAAUCCUGCAUCAAACCACUAGGCUAAGAAGCAUUUGCUCGACAACAAAGUGCAAGAGGGCAAGGAAUACUCUCUGAUGGCUAGUGUGCCGAAGGAAAAUAACCCCAAAAAGGGUGCUGAGGGGGAUCAAACCCGCCACCUCCUGCUAGCAGGCAAAACCCACGCGCCACUGCGUCAGUCUUUCGGAGAUUAACAAGGUAGAGAAGGCGCACCUCAUAUACAUGCGCCAUUACUAUAUAAAAAAAUUCUAAUGGCGCACCGCUCGGGGUGUGCCAUUCCUAAGCCACCUGCCCUUGCGCGCCUCUACUCCAUCUGCCCUCGCGCGCCCUCGUCCCUGCCCACCCCUUCCCCCACCUUCGUCCACACAGCGGAGCUCUGGCGGCGCUAGGGUUUGUUGGCUGCCCCAAAACCGCGCACCCAACCGCCCCCUCCUCUCUUCUCCCGCGGCCUCCCCCCUACCCCCUUUCCAAUCCAGGCUCGAAGCACCGAACCGGCGUCGUCACCGGUGAGUCCCUGAUCCAAUCUAGGCUCUCUCCCCUGUUUGUCUACAUGUUGGUUGUGCCUGGUCAUGCUUGCCCCUCGAGUUUGUCAUUGGCAAGGAAGCCGCUGGUGGAAGUCCACUCACCCUGUCCAGUCUUUACUCCCUCUCUUCAAUAAAUCUCUGAAUUUCCAUGGCUGAUGCUUGGCCUGCCCUCAGGUGAGGUGGUGCUGGAGUUCAAGGUGAUUGAACGCCACGACGGGGACACAUAUCGGCAGUCGGUGGCCCGCUGAUGCUAACCCCGUCAAGUUCAUGUAGGUGCUCUCUUCUUCUCCUUGCCCCACUUGUUAUUUUCUUUAUCAAGUUCGAUUAGAACAACCUCUUUCUUAAUUGAGUGAAUAUUCUUUGUGUGGCUUCUGGUGUUACCCUUUUACUUCCUUCAGAUAUAUUAUAAACAUUCAGAUAGUUGUUCUUUUGUACAAUCAUAUAACAAAUGCUACAUUUGUCAGUUCACUAACGCUCAUAAGGUGUUUGUUUUUAUGUCUGCAAUUCCUUUUUCUUCAGAAAACACACUACUCGGUUCAUCGUCAUCCUUGGAUCGCUGUUUCAUCUGCUCAGUGGAUCCUCUCUGUCCUUCAGGUACGAUUUGCAUCGAUUUUUCGUUAGAGAGUGCCCGCUCCAUAUGAGGCGGCUCUGGAGAGAUAUUUCUUCUGGCUACAUACUGCAUAUAUCGGAGCUGAGAGGGCAUUGGAUUGAGUGUAUAAAAUAGGUGUAAUUGCAUGAUGCAAAAGUUAGUGGACUUGUACUAUUUUUUAUUUUGAAUAUAUAAAUAACCUAGUGCCAGGUUCAUACUCCAUUAUCUGUUUAAUCUUUCAUUCUGUCAGGGUGCUUCGGGAAACCACAGAACUGCUUGCAUUGGGAUGGGGAAAUCCUUAUCUUACUGCUUACCAAAUUUUUUUCAUGUUACCUUAUCAUAUUCUUGACCUUGUAAGGCAUGCCUUGGACACUGCUUGAAUAAUAUUUGGCUGAGUGCACAAAGUUUCAGCCUUACAGAAAUAAUAACUGCUUAACUGGAACCCAUUAGUUUAACUAUAGAAUUUGCUCACUAGCAAUAUGUUCAGAAUCUAUUCACUUCUUUCUAUUUGUUUAAUACCAGAACUGCCAUUAGUUCAACCAACUAGCAGGCGACUAUCAGUGUCAAAAAAUGAAAAAUACUAGCAGGCAACUAUUCAGCACAAACCUAACUAACCCUGCAUAUUGACUGCAAACAGAAGAUAUCUGGGAAGACACUGAAAUCAUAACAGGCUUACCAUGCCAUGUCUAAAAUCAGCACCCAUGUGCCUGUGGAAACACUUCAUCUUUUCAUCCAAAUGGUCGGCAUAUCUCUUGCAAGAGUCACAAGGUUUCUCCAUCCGGGAUGCUGCUAGUCCAGCCCUGUGAACUGAAAUUUACAGCUAAUGUCAGCUAUCCACAAGCACAAGGGUAAUUUCUCCCUCCUAGAGAGUAAAGAUUGUUUCUGUGUCAUGUCACUCUUCACACAUUCCUGUUUAUUCUACCCUCAAAACCAAAAACUAUGCACAUAAUCUUUCUAUUGGAGACUGUAAAUAGCUGAAAACUGUAAAUAUGCACAGAAUGCUUCUGCAGCAAGGAGACUCGGGAUCAAACAAAUAAAAGCAAGUAAAGAUGCUUAGUACAUGCUGAUACUCAACAACCCGGACUUUUUUUGGCAAAAAAACCUCAGAAUUUAAGUUUUAGAGUAUGAGUGAUGAGUAGGACGCAUGACAGAGGAAACACCGUACAUGUGCAAAGAAGCUCCAAGAGCUAAAAAUAGCGACUGAGAGAGGAAAGCUCGGAGCUACUGAUUACAUAUGUUGGUAAUCGUUCAUAUCAGUCUUGAAAUGGUAGUAAAAAACAAGUAUGUAUUGAGAAAAACCUUGAAGAAAAGCAAACAAUAUGUCUUGAAAUGCAGUAUAUCCUUUGGCGCAGCACAGAUGAACAAUGUUGAAGAAAGGCAGUGAUGCUAGAGAAGUACUCCCUCCGUCCCAAAAUGACUCAGUUUUGUACUAAUUUUAGUACAAAGUAGAGUCACUUUUGAGUCACUUAUUUUGGGACGGAGGGAGUAGAUCGCAAACAUGUUACCUGGAUUUGGAACGAUGUCUGACUAAUGCUUCCCGUUUCAUGUAUGUAGUUUGUGUGUUGUGCUAGCUUGAUGUUUUCUGUGUAUGCUUUUUAUGGCCCAUGAUUUACUGCAGGUUAGCAUUGUCAAAAGGUCAUACUUAACGCAUGCCUAUAUCUAAAGCGGAAGAGGAGCAUCAGCAGCACGGGCAGAGGAGCAUCAGCAGCACGGGCAGAGGAGCAGCAGCAGCUAGUUCUUCAGGUACAAUGGAAAACAAGCAAGCUUAUAUGUGAAAAAUGAGUUAGCUAGGCUCAGAAUUUUGAGUUGGCCCCUUUACAUAUGCUAUCUGAAAAAUGAGUUAGCUAGUCAUCUAAGUUGAGCUGAUUUUGAUUUCCGUAUGUUAUGGGGGACAACAGAUAUUGCUAUAUGUUCAUUCUUGAGGGUACAGACUUGCUAAACUAUUGAUGAUUUUUUGUUGGGUGACCUAUUUUUGUCCAUAUGAAAGCAGAGGACCAUAUGGUCUGUGUCCUUUUCAUCCAUAUGAAAGUAGAGGCACAUUGUGGUGCUAGUUUGCUGGGUUUUGUUUCCGACCAUCGUGUCGUGAUGAUUUUGCAGGUACCCCGAGAGGCCCUUGAGUUUGCUGGAAUGUGGAUUAACUUCCGUUCCGGCAAAUUCGGGUACUCCAUAUGUCCUAUUUUCAGCAAAGGUCAUGCUGAAAUUUUCCGUGAAUUUUAGCAUGACUCUGCUAAAAAUAGGACAUAUGGGGUACUUGCAACUAAUGCAUGGGUCGGGGUAUCUUAGUACUUAAUUAAGUAGGAUCAACUGCCCCUUUAUUCUUGCUGCAUUAAACCAUAGGUGGCAAUAGAGCCAAGUGAUUAGGCCCAACUUAGAAUUCUCCUUCCCUUUUCUUGGCUUUUAGGGUGCCUCGGUGUCGAUAAAAACCUAAAUGAUGAAAGCUUAGGCUUUUAGGGUGCCUCGGCGUCGACAAACCCUAAAUGAUAAAAUCUUAGCUUUUAGGAUGCCUCGGUGUCGACAAACCCUAAAUGAUGAGACCAUGAUCUUGUUCCUUGACAAUAACCAACUUUUUGACCAAACUUUUUUCCUAUUUAGAGCGAAACAUGGCCCACAAAGAUGAGGCCGGCGGUUCGGGCAAGCCAUUCUGGGAGCUUUCCCAGGAGAUGGAGGAAGAACCUCACCGCUAUGAGGACGCCGCGGAAGACACCGAUCCCGAGUACACAACCCCUAGUGUUGGGGAUAUUACCUAUUAAUAACCCGCCCUAGUUGGGCCGGGUCACCAAAUCACGCGAUUCACCUAAACAAUGAUUUGGGCCUUGGCGUUAUCAGCACGAAGGUCCUAUGGCGGUUUAUGAUUUCUGGAAAGUCUCCAAGCUUUGAAGGACGGCGACUUAGAGACCACAGGGGUCACGAUUUGUAGAAAGGAAAGUAUCCUUGUAAACCUCAAGGGUUCGACCUGUAUAUAAAUGCGAGCCCUAGGGAAGAAGAGGGGCAGGUUAGAAAUCAUCGAGUGCUAGGUCUGGCGAGUUACGCCUUCCUUGUAAUCGAAACCACAUCAAUACAAACCAAAGCAGGACGUAGGACUUUACCUCCUCACGAGGGGUCGAACCUGGGUAAAUCGCCGUGUCUCUCCCUCUUAACCCCUUUGAGUAGCCGCCAAGGUGCGAUGGCUCUAGUACUAAGUCUUUUCACGAGGACAUCUGCCGUGACAAAACCACGACAGUUGGCACCCACCGUGGGGCCUGCGCACGGUGGAGUUGAGUUCUGAAAGGGAGCCCUACCAGGGUUUGGGAGUUACGCGACGGGGCUCAUGACCCGGAGCCGCCGCGGGAAAACCUACAUCGACAACCAGCAAUGGGGGCCCGAAGCAAAUUCGAUUGAAUCUGGUUACAGGGUCCCCUUCGGCAAGAUCAACAUCUUCACCGACAUGAUCGGAUCAUCUGUGCCUGAGCCGGACAUCUCCACCGACAUCGUCGAGACGGCCAGGUACGUCCGCCCAGUAAUAACGCCAAAUCCGACUCGCCCGGUCUUGGUGGGGUUCACGCAGGGAUCGGAAGAGCCAGAGCGCUCGGCGACUCAGGAAACUACACCGGUCAACUCUGAUGAUGAAUCAUCCAUGGGCGAUUCAGAUUCAAUCCGGUCUCUACAUGGGGAUUGUCUUGGGGGCUUGUCGCUGGCCAUGGACCCCGAAGUCCUUGACCGAUCCCGCCGUCAGAUUGCCAUUUACAUGGCGGGGGCGACUCAACCCACACAAAACCCCACCGGAGGCGAUGGAGCCGGUGAGACGUCCAGAAGCCCGGCCGCAGUCCUGGUGGAUUUAGCGGCAGAAAUCACAAGGCUGAUGGCGACUCCCCUUACACCCGAAAACCAGGAGGAGAUAAACGCGGAGCUGGCGAAACUCAAAGAGGCAGUGGCAAAGGCUCAUCGGGAUGCCGAGGUGGAGUGUGCUAGGAUCGAGACUCGGCAAGCUCAAAUUGCGGCCGAAAGAAUGCGUUUAAACACUGACAACUGGCGGCUCGAAAGACAACAGCGCGCAUCUGACGUCGUCCAUCAACGGAGACACCAGGGUCGCCUGCCCCAUGAUCUCAACCCGACCCUCCUGUUCGACACUCCACGAACCCCUGGGACGGGAGCGGCCCCGGGGGGAGGGCCGGGUCGCCCGCCUAACCCGCCGGGUCAGCCGGCCGAGGAUCGCAUUCCCCGAUUUUGGACGCCUCAAGGCCACUUUUCCAACCCGGUGGACAACGUCCUUGCCGCAACUCGCCAUCUGGAAUCUCUUCCGAUUCACGGCAACACUCCUGCCGAGAUAGAAACAAGGAAUGCCAUCGAGAUGUUGAAGACGGCGGUGGUUCAAAACGCCCAGUUCUCACACAGCCUCGAGAGGUUGCAUUCCACUCCCCAGGCAAGCUACACCAGGAGCCGGCUAGAGGACCAGCCCACCGUAAAUAGCGGGCCGCGACAUGUCCCACAGGACAACCCGCCUGAUCGGAACCCGCCGGGCCGGGAUCUCCCGAACACCCAAGACGCCCCGGCCCCCCUCGUCGGGCGCGGAGGGCGAGUUGGGGUGCCAUGCUUGGCCCUCGCCCUUCGUAACGAAAGGAUGCCCAAAGAUUUUAAGGGACCAAGAAAGGUGCCUAAUUACACCCCGGACCUUGAGCCGGCAUCAUGGAUCGAGAGUUAUGAAAUCGCCAUGGACAUGCUCGACGUAAACGAGGCAGUUUGCGCCAGAUACUUCACGAUGAUGCUCGAGGGGUCAGCACGUACUUGGUUGAAAAACUUACCUCCCAACUCCAUCCAGACCUGGGCCGAGUUAAAAGAGCGUUUCAUCAAAAACUUCCGAGGAACUUGCAAACGUCCGAUGACGAUCGUCGAUCUACAACACUUUGUUCAGCGCCCGGAUGAGUCGGCUCACCAUUGGUCACGGCGGGUUGCAGAAAUUAUCCAUUCGUCAGAUGGUAUUACGGCGGCUCAAGCUGUGCUGAUCCUCGAGCAGAAUUGCCACUACGAACCCUUGGUGCAAAUAUUGGGGCGACUCAAGAGAAAGGUCCAAGACAUGGGAGAGCUGAUGGACACCCUCACUAGGUACGCUGAGGCAGAUGACAACAAAGAUCCUGGUCAGGACGCUAAGGCUAAUUCGCCCAAAAAGGGCGAGUCAUGCAAAAACCAUACCCGGUUCCAGGGACGCAACCGCCACAAUCAAGGGACCAAUAGCAAGCGAAGACCGCAAGAGGAGCCCUCGGACUUAGUCGCCAAUACCAACGCCAGAAGAAAAACAGGGGGUUUAGCGGGAAGAGGCCUUGUAACUAUGAAGAGCUACUCAAAGGCCCUUGCCCGCACCAUGCCACGGCAGAUGGUCCGGCGACUCACUCCUGGGAGAAUUGCUUCGUAAUGCGGGAGUUUCGGGCGGAGGCGAUCAAGAAAAGUCAAAACGAUGACCCGGACCAGCGCCAGGAGCAGUUCGCCGCACCCAACCAACAACAGAACCCCUUCGGCGGCUUUCUUGAACAGGGGGCUUAGGGAGGCCCACAGCCAGGCGGCAGCCAAUACCCGGUGAACCACCAGCGGCGGUAUAACCCGCCAGGAGCCUUUCAACAGCCACCCUCACAGGGGGCUCCGCAGGGUCAGGAUGAUAACGGGGGUUUCUGCAGCAACCCCAAACAGUUAAGUAAUGGGCAGUAUCAUGUUUUCACCACCAAUGCUUGCAGGCGCGACAAGAAGGUGAGUCACCGGGCGUACAGUGUAUCUGAACCGGCGCUUCCCAGAUACCUCCAUUGGUCUGAGCAGACCAUAACAUGGAGCAGGGAGGAUCACCCGCCAAGAGUUGACAACCCAGGCGAUUUAGCGUUGGUCGUGGCUCCCUAAGUUGGGGGUUACACCCUGUCCAAAGUGCUAAUGGAUGGUGGCAGCAGCAUUAAUAUCUUAUAUUUUGACACUUUCCAAAGGAUGAACCUAUUGGAAAAGGACCUGAUGCCUUGAACCACGGUCUUCCACGGAAUCGUCCCGGGCAAGUCGGCCUACCCCAUAGGCCGAGUCAGACUCACAGUGGCAUUUGGAACUGCGCAGAAUUACAGGUCGGAGUCACUGAUUUUCGAGGUGGUCAAAUUGAAAAGCCCCUACCAUGCGUUAUUUGGGCGGCCGGCUUACGCCCGCUUCAUGGCUCGCCCGUGUUAUGUUUACCUCAAGCUCAAAAUGCCUGGUCCCAAAGGACCCAUCACGGUUGAUGGAGAUAGAAGGAUUGCAAAUGAAUGUGAAGAAGGGGACACGGCUUAUGCGGAAGUCGCCUGCGCUGCAGAGGAGCUCAAACACCAUCGGGCCAAUGUUCACCCGGCGGACAUGUCACCCCUAAAGAAGCCGACUACAGAUGCUGAGUCGCCCCUCAAAUUCAAGCCAACGGAUGACACUAAAACAAUCGAUUUCGUUCCUGGCGAUUCAUCCAAGCAGUUCACCAUUGGGACGGGUCUGGACCCCAAAUAGGAAAGCGCGCUCAUCGAAUUCAUCCGUGAGAAUCGGGACAUCUUUGCAUGAAACCUUCUGACAUGCCUGGUGUGCCGAGAGAAUUCGCUGAGCACCAUCUUAAUGUUGACCCAAAGGCAAAACCCAUCCAGCAGUACCUUCGCAGAUUUAACAAGGAGCGACGCAAGGCGAUUGGGGAAGAGGUUGCCCGUCUUUUAGCCGCCGGAUUCAUCAUGGAAGUUUUUCACCCCAAAUGGCUGGCUAACCCGGUUUUGGUACUCAAGAAGAAUGGUACCUUUCGUAUGUGCAUUGACUACACAAAUCUCAACAGAGCCUGUCCAAAAGAUCCCUUCGCUCUUCCCCGCAUCGACCAGAUCAUUGACUUGGUUGCGGGAUGCGAACGAUUGUGCUUUUUGGACGCUUACUCAGGAUAUCACCAAAUCAAGAUGGUCGUGGAGGAUCAAGAGAAAACAGCCUUUAUAACCCCCUUUGGGGCUUUUUGUUAUGUGUCCAUGCCUUUUGGACUCAAGAGUGCGGGGGCGACUUACCAGCGCUGCAUCCAGAAUUGCCUCCGCAACCAAAUCGGUCGCAACGUCCACGCCUAUGUCGACGAUAUUGUAAUCAAAACCCGCCAGGGGGAGACACUACUGGAGGAUCUCAAGGAAACGUUCGAUAAUCUAUGAGUAUAUGAAAUGAAGCUAAAUCCCACCAAAUGUGUUUUUGGUGUGCCUGCAGGGAAAUUGCUGGGCUUCCUGGUAUCGGAGCGCGGCAUUGAAGCUAACCCGGACAAGAUCGAAGCAGUUACAUCCCUUGGAAGGCCGGCGAACGUUAAUCAAGUUCAACGAUUGGCGGGUCGCAUUGCGGCCCUAAGUCGUUUCGUAAGUCGACUGGGUGAGAAGGCGAUCCCUCUUUAUCAGUUAUUAAGGAAAUCUGAUCGGUUUGUUUGGACGAAUGAGGCAGACGAGGCGCUCGAAGCCCUGACGGCAAUUGGUUAACCCGCCGGUCCUGGCCGCCCCGACUGAAAAAGAGCCCAUGCUUCUGUAUAUCGCGGCAAAUUCCAAAGCAGUAAGUGUGGCAGUGGUCGUUGAAAGAAAGGAGGAAGGGAAGGAAUACCCAGUUCAACGCCCGGUAUAUUUUAUCAGCGAGGUGCUAACCCUUUCCAAGCAGCGGUACCCACACUGGCAGAACUUGGUAUAUGGGGUGUUUAUGGCAAGUCGGAAACUUAAGCAUUACUUUCAAGAACACCCUAUCACAGUGGUUAGAUCUGCCCCCCUUGGGGACAUCAUCCAAAAUCGGGAGGCAACAGUGCGGAUUGCCAAGUGGGCAAUUGAACUUGGGCCGCACCACAUACAGUAUACCCCCCGCACAGCCAUCAAGUCUCAGGCUUUAGUUGAUUUCGUCAACGACUGGACGGAGUUGCAGGCUCCGGAAGACAGGCCUGAUUUCACUUACUGGACUAUUUAUUUUGAUGGAUCUAGGCAGCUAGAAGGCUCGGGGGCUGGUGUGGUGUUGGUAUCCCCUCAAGGAAAUAAAUUCUGCUACGUUCUCCGACUCAUGUUUCCAUGCACUAACAAUGCGGCGGAAUACGAAGCUUUGCUUCACGGCUUGCGACUCGCCAAGGAGAUGAAUUUGACAUGAGUCAGAUGCUUUGGCGACUCUGAUUUGGUGGCGCAGCAAGUUUCGGGUACCUGGGAUUCUCGGGACCCCAUGAUGGCGGCUUACAGAAGAGCUGUGUCUGAUGUGGCAGGUCAUUUUCAUGGUUAUCAGGUGGACCACAUUGAUCGGCGCCUCAACGAGGCAGCUGACGCCCUCUCACGACUUGGUUCCCAGCGAAAGCCAGUUCCUCCCAAUGUUUUUCUGGAUAUUUUACAUAAACCAUCCGUGAUUCUACCAUCGGAGGAGGAGUUGGCAAUACCAGAUCCUGAGUCUCAGCUCGUGGCGGCUCUCCACGUCACGCCAGAUUGGGUUCUUCCUUAUCUGGCUUAUCUCGCCAGGGGCGAGUUACCAACAGACGAAGUUUCGGCUCGUCAAAUCGUUCGCUGCAGCAGAUCCAUGGUCAUCAUCAAUGGCGAGUUAUAUAAGUGGAGUGCCUCUAGAGUUUUUCAGCGAUGCGUUUCCUCCGAAGAAGGAUGCAUAAUAUUAAAUGACAUUCAUUCCGGAGACUCUGGGCAUCAUGUCGGGUCACACUCUUUGGUGUCAAAGGUUUUUCGUCAUGGUUUUUUUCGCUGACGGCUCAUGCUGAUGCAGAAGAUAUAGUUCGUCGGUGCGAAGGGUGCCAGCGUUAUGGGCGACAGGCUCAUGUGCCGGCUCAAGAAUUAAGAAAGAUCCCCAUCACUUGACCUUUGGCGGUCUGGGGGCUGGACAUGGUCGGCCCCUUUAAAAUGUCCUCUAACAAGAAGACCCAUCUGCUGGUGGCAGUUGAUAAGUUCACCAAGUGGGUUGACGCGGAACCUGUUGGAGCUUGCGAUGCGGAAACAGCGGUCAAAUUCUUGAAGAAGCUGAUUUUCCGGUUUGGAUAUCCGCACAAUAUCAUCACUGAUAAUGGUACUAACUUGUCCCAAGUGGCGAUGCAGGAGUUUUGCCGUCGAGAGCAUAUCCGGCUUGAUGUUUCUGCAGUCGCUCACCCACAAUCUAAUGGGCAGGCGGAGCGGGCGAAUCAGGGGGUUUUGCGAGGAAUUAAGCCCCGACUCAUUGUUCCCCUGGAGAAAACCCCAGGGUGUUGGGUUGAAGAAUUACCUUCAGUACUGUGGAGUAUUCGGACUACCCCGAACCGGUCUACAGGUUUCACCCCUUUCUUUCUGGUCUAUGGAGCAGAAGCCGUUCUUCCCACUGAUAUAAGGCAUGACUCACCUAGAGUCACCGCAUAUGUGGAACAAGACAAUGAGUUGGCGCGUCAUGACUCUUUGAACGCCUUAGAGGAGGCACGUGACCUGGCUGCGGCCUGUUCAGCUAUCUACCAGCAGGAUCUACGGCGUUAUCACAGCCGCCGGGUUAAGAGUCGGACCUUUCAGGAAGGCGACUUGGUUCUUCGAUUGAUACAAGAUCGUGCUGGCAUGCAUUAGUUAUCACCGCCUUGGGAAGGACCGUUCGUCGUCAGCAAGAAUCUCCGCAGUGGCUCUUAUUACCUGGUGGAUCUUCGACCUAACCGGCCAACCACGGAGGCUGAGUGAACUCGCCCCUGGAAUAUUGCCCACCUGCGGCCUUAUUACACUUGAGCUUUGAGCUCUGCAUUUUGUAAGUUUUUUAGUUUCAUUAUGAAGUAAUAAAGUUAAAAAUACUCUCCGACUUGGGGGCUUCUUCAUUAAAGAACAAUUUUGUCAUCCUGUUGCGACCUUAUGAGCCGACAGAAUCAUCAUCUUAGGGUGNNNNNNNNNNNNNNNNNNNNNNNNNNNNNNNNNNNNNNNNNNNNNNNNNNNNNNNNNNNNNNNNNNNNNNNNNNNNNNNNNNNNNNNNNNNNNNNNNNNNNNNNNNNNNNNNNNNNNNNNNNNNNNNNNNNNNNNNNNNNNNNNNNNNNNNNNNNNNNNNNNNNNNNNNNNNNNNNNNNNNNNNNNNNNNNNNNNNNNNNNNNNNNNNNNNNNNNNNNNNNNNNNNNNNNNNNNNNNNNNNNNNNNNNNNNNNNNNNNNNNNNNUGUCGCGACCUUAUGAGUCGACGAAAACAUCAUCAUUUAGGGUGGCGCUUGAGCUUUCUGACUCGCCCCAUCCUGUCGCGACCUUAUGAGCCGACGAAAACAUCAUCGUCUUAGGGUGGCGCUUGAGCUUUCUGACUCGCCCCAUCCUGUCGCGACCUUAUGAGCCGACGAAAUCAUCAGCAUUUUAGGGUGUGNNNNNNNNNNNNNNNNNNNNNNNNNNNNNNNNNNNNNNNNNNNNNNNNNNNNNNNNNNNNNNNNNNNNNNNNNNNNNNNNNNNNNNNNNNNNNNNNNNNNNNNNNNNNNNNNNNNNNNNNNNNNNNNNNNNNNNNNNNNNNNNNNNNNNNNNNNNNNNNNNNNNNNNNNNNNNNNNNNNNNNNNNNNNNNNNNNNNNNNNNNNNNNNNNNNNNNNNNNNNNNNNNNNNNNNNNNNNNNNNNNNNNNNNNNNNNNNNNNNNNNNNNNNNNNNNNNNNNNNNNNNNNNNNNNNNNNNNNNNNNNNNNNNNNNNNNNNNNNNNNNNNNNNNNNNNNNNNNNNNNNNNNNNNNNNNNNNNNNNNNNNNNNNNNNNNNNNNNNNNNNNNNNNNNNNNNNNNNNNNNNNNNNNNNNNNNNNNNNNNNNNNNNNNNNNNNNNNNNNNNNNNNNNNNNNNNNNNNNNNNNNNNNNNNNNNNNNNNNNNNNNNNNNNNNNNNNNNNNNNNNNNNNNNNNNNNNNNNNNNNNNNNNNNNNNNNNNNNNNNNNNNNNNNNNNNNNNNNNNNNNNNNNNNNNNNNNNNNNNNNNNNNNNNNAUGAGCCGACGAAACCAUCAUUUAGGAUAUGCACUCGAGCUUUCUGACUCGCCCCAUCCUGUCGCGACCUUAUGAGCCGACAAAAUUACAGUUUUUAUUUUCCUUCAUGGCAUGACCACGAGGGUUUCAAAAUCUUUUUCCUGAUUUAUCUUGAAAAUAUUUGUUAUCAUUUAUUUGGUUUCACGUGUGUUAUUUUCAAAAGCUAAGUCAGGUUGAUGAUCAAAGUCACUUCAUCCAUGGCGGAUUAAGCAUUUUAAAGGAUUCUCAAAUGGCGGAUCAAAUAUUUCAAAUCGCAUUAAGGGCGACGUAAAGAUUCUUUCGAGAGUAUCACAAAAGCAGUACCGACUUAUGAAAAAGACCUAUUACAUGGCUCUUAGGCCAAAUCAAUGAAGUUUACUCUGUUGGCGCAUUCGAAUCAUUUUGCUGCGAGCUUUGGCCGACCUCAAUUUGCAAGUCGCCCAGUACUCAGUUACACUUGACCAGAGCUGCGAAGUCAACUUCAUCGGUCAGGAUUGAUGCCAGAUCUGCUUCCAAGUCAAAAGGGUUCUUGGGUCGCCGAGGAGUUAAACUGGUCGUCACAAAGGUUGGCGGGCUGACCUUCUUGUUCUUGCUGUCAUAAGCAACCUGAUACUUUGAUAAAUCCAGACUUGCUGCGAGUUGGGUUGCUGCCAGCCGGGAUUCCUUGACAACACGUUGAUAAUCCUCUUCGACGAAUUCUGACCCAUCAUCUUUGGGUUGAGGAAAGCCUGUCGCUACCUCUUCCGGGUUGAUCUCUGGAGCAUAUGCCAAACAGCGACUCGAGGAAGUCAGAAUCCCCUUCCGAGCGGCUGACCGAGUUAACUCGCCAAUCUGAGGGGGGAGCGUGGAUAGGCAGCCAAGCAUCUUCUUUAUGGAAGUUAUAGGCUCUUUGGCACCCAUCACAACUUUGACAGUUAAAACACUGCCGGUGUAUAGUUGUUUUGUCAAUGUGUAAACCGCCUUCAGCAUCAGCAUGCAAUCAUCCUGAAGGUUGGCGGCUCUCAGACCUGUGUAAGGGGUCAUGAUAAAUCAGCGACUUACAAUAAGAGUUAUUGAUAAAAAAAGGGAGAAAAAGAUCAAAAGUUUGAGUAAGUUUACCAAAGAUGGCUUGCGUCAUGUUUGAGAUAUGACGCUUCAAGCCGGACAAUUCUUGUUGCACAGUAGCCAGCCUGGCUUCAGCCUUCUCUGCUCUUUUUGUGGCAGCAUCUUGGUCAGCUUGAGCUCUUUUCAAAUCGGCUUUGAGUUUUUCUAGCUCAGCCAGGACCAAUUGAUACUUCUCCUCCGACUUAGCUCGGGCAUCUUGCUGACCAGAUAAGUUUUUCUUUAAAUCGUCAAGCGCCGAUUCAGUCUGAGCAAGAGUUUCCUGUUGAAAGUACAAAAUAAGGGGCAAGUCUCAGAACUAUUGCAAGCAAUAUCCCUGACACUUGGGGGCUAAUGUAUAAUUUUUUUUCUUUUCAGAUGAAAUUAUACAAUAUCACGACCCGGCUCAUCUUUUUACUAAUGACCCGGCCCUUGGGGGUUACUGGUCGAAAGUUUUUUCAAAAUUUAUCAAGACCCGGCUCAUCUUUUUACUAAUGACCCGACCCUUGGGGGUUACUGGUCGAAAGUUUUUUUCUAAAUUUAUCAAGACCCGGCUCAUCUUUUUACUGAUGAUCCGGCCCUUGGGGGUUAAUGGGAGUAAUACAAUAUAACAAAGCUUACCUCAUGUUUGUUUUUUAGCAUCCGCAGCAGGCUUUUCUCCAUCUCAUAACUCGCCUCUAGGCGACUUGCAAAACCAGAGCAGAGUUCCUUGAACUCCAUAUUUUCAUAUUCAGAAAGCCUAGCCUUGGAGAGUCUAGACUCAGGAAUAGUUUGAGAGGAGGAUGCCACAUGCUUUGACAAAACCGUUGCCGCCGGUUUGGAGAAGCCGGUACCAGUAAUAACUACAACAUCCGGGUCUUCUGCUGUCAUCAAUGGACUUGGCGGCUUAGGAGCAUCCAUUGUUUCCUUAGGCGAGUUUGGAAGAUCCAUUUGAUUUUUGGGCUCGCCUUGAUCCGGGUUAUCUUGGAUCUGCACUGACUCUUUGAUGGGCUCUGAAAUUAUGACAGGAGUUGGUCCGCUGGUUUUCCUUUUCUUGGCAUGUGCCCUAAAAGAAUGGGAGAAGCGCAUUAAAGAACUGAAAGUUUAUUACCUUCAGAUUCAAAGUAAGAUUAUCAAAAGACUUACCCAGGGACUCGAAUCAUUGGCGGAAGUGUCGACAUCACUGAGUCGCCAGAUGUAGGAGGAGAGUUCUGCAAGAAUUAUACGUCAAAAAUAUAGGCUGAUUACAGACAUGAUCCAAAGAAACAUGAAGAAUUGUUAUUCAUGAGUACCUCAUUUGUUUUCCUCUUGUUUGUUGCUGGUAAGCCGGACACCAGAUCACUGGAAUGACUUCGGGUCUUCCGAUUUGAAGUAUGUUGUGCUUUCUUCAGUAGGAAAUUUGGGUCCAAACAAGCAUUUGGGUGUGAGAAGGGAACUUUCCCACAAAUUCGCCUGGCCGGCUUAGGUGGAGAAGGAGAUGAAUCGGAGGAAACAGAAAUUACCUCAACAGAGUCCUCCUGGCUUUCGUUGUCUUCAUUCUAUUCAAGAGAAGCAGAGAUAUAAAUACAAAAGUUAACAGUAGUGGAUGCCGAGUGCAAAGAGGAUAGGUUUUUACCUCCGAAAGUGCAUCGCCGACUUGAGACUCAUCGACUUUGGAUGGCUCAGCCCCAGCAGCUUUGCCCUUGCCCUUGGUUUUCUUUGGGGGCGGCCUAGCCUGCUUCACGGCUGGCCUUUUGGGUUUCUUGGACCAAAAUUUAUCACCUUUGUGAAAUAGCAUAUGUUACAAAGGCCACGAUACAAGUGAAACAUAAUAAGUAAAGACAAAAUGCGGGUUAGGAUUGCUCACCUUGGGCGUCGGAUUAAUUUUGCAGAAAGGCUUGAGGCCGAUUUGGCCGCAGGUUCGCCAGUCAACUUCUUGAUGAUGGUGACAAUAUCCUUUUCUGUUAAAGCCGUAUGGAAAUAACAUUGGGGAUGAUCUAAGGUGCCAUCAAAUUCGCACAUUAGCCCGUCCCGGCGACUCCGAGGGAGGAUGCACCAUUCGACCCAGCAGCAGAUCAAGUCAACCCCAGUAAGUGUUGGGGAACGUCGCAUGGGAAACAAAAAAUUUCCUACGCGCACGAAGACCUAUCAUGGUGAUGUCCAUCUAUGAGAGGGGAUGUGUGAUCUAUGUACCCUUGUAGACCGUACAGCAGAAGCGUUAGUGAAUGCGGUUGAUGUAGUGGAACGUCCUCACGUCCCUCGAUCCGCCCCGCGAACCGUCCCGCGAUCAGUCCCACGAUCUAGUGCCGAACGGACGGCACCUCCGCGUUCAGCACACGUACAGCUCGACGAUGAUCUCGGCCUUCUUGAUCCAGCAAGAGAGACGGACAGGUAGAAGAGUUAUCCGGCAGCGUGACGGUGCUCCGGAGGUUGGUGAUGAUCUCGUCUCAGCAGGGCUCCGCCCGAGCUCCGCAGAAACGCGAUCUAGAGGUAAAACGGUGGAGAUAUGUGGUCGGGCUGCCGUGGCAAAGUCGUGUCAAAUCAGCCCUAAAACCUCCGUAUAUAUAGGGGGAAGAGGGGGAGCCUUGCCUUGGGGUCCAAGGACCCCUAAGGGUUUCGGCCGAGCCAAGGGGGGCAGCCCUCCCCUUCCAUACCGAGUCCAACUAGGUUUGGAAGGAGGAGUCCUCCCCCCUUUUCCCACCUCCUCUUUUUUUCUCUUUGAUUUUUCUUCCUAUGGCGCAUAGGGCUCUUCUGGGCUGUCCCACCAGCCCACUAAGGGCUGGUGCGCCACCCCCAAUGCCUAUGGGCUUCCCCGGGGUGGGUUGCCCCCCCCCCACCCCGGCGAACUCCCGGAACCCAUUCGUCAUUCCCGGUACAUUUCCGGUAACUCCGAAAACCUUCCGGUAAUCAAAUGAGGUCAUCCUAUAUAUCAAUCUUCGUUUCUGGACCAUUCCGGAAACCCUCGUGACGUCCGUGAUCUCAUCCGGGACUCCGAACAACAUUCGGUAACCAACCAUAUAACUCAAAUACGCAUAAAACAACAUCGAACCUUAAGUGUGCAGACCCUGCGGGUUCGAGAACUAUGUAGACAUGACCCGAGAGACUCCUCGGUCAAUAUCCAAUAGCGGGACCUGGAUGCCCAUAUUGGAUCCUACAUAUUCUACGAAGAUCUUAUCGUUUGAACCUCAGUGCCAAGGAUUCAUAUAAUCCCGUAUGUCAUUCCCUUUGUCCUUCGGUAUGUUACUUGCCCGAGAUUCGAUCGUCAGUAUCUGUAUACCUAUUUCAAUCUCGUUUACCGGCAAUCUCUUUACUCGUUCCGUAAUACAAGAUCCCGCAACUUACACUAAGUCACAUUGCUUGCAAGGCUUGUGUGUGAUGUUGUAUUACCGAGUGGGCCCCGAGAUACCUCUCCGUCACACGGAGUGACAUAUCCCAGUCUCGAUCCAUACUAACUCAACGAACACCUUCGGAGAUACCUGUAGAGCAUCUUUAUACUCACCCAGUUACGUUGCGACGUUUGAUACACACAAAGUAUUCCUCCGGUGUUAGUGAGUUAUACGAUCUCAUGGUCAUAGGAACAAAUACUUGACACGCAGAAAACAGUAGCAACAAAAUGACACGAUCAACAUGCUACGUCUAUUAGUUUGGGUCUAGUCCAUCAUGUGAUUCUCCUAAUGACGUGAUCCAGUUAUCAAGCAACAACACCUUGUUCAUAAUCAGAAGACACUGACUAUCUUUGAUCAACUGGCUAGCCAACUAGAGGCUUGCUAGGGACAGUGUUUUGUCUAUGUAUCCACACAUGUAAAUGAGUCCUCAUUCAAUACAAUUAUAGCAUGGAUAAUAGACGAUUAUCUUGAUACAGGAAUUAUAAUAAUAAAUAUAUUUAUUAUUGCCUCUAGGGCAUAAUUCCAACAGUAAGGCCGUUGUUUGUCAGAGAUCUUAACUGGGACAAUACUGGGAUGAAGUCUGAUUCCUCCUCCUCGGUGAGUUUGUCUGGAAGCUUGAAGUUUGUUGGAAGGCGAUCUUUCCUAUAGCCCAGAAGCUUGUUUUCGCCCGCAGGUGAGGUCUCUUGACAAUAGAACCAAGACUCGCCCCAACCUUUGGGAUGGCUUGGCAUGGCGAGUGAGGGAAACGGGCUAUCCCUGCGGCGCUGAACAUUGACACCGCCGAGUUCCAGGCUGGAGCCAUUGUGAAAUUCCGUUUGGCGAUUCAGGUGGAAAAAGUACCAGAAUAAGGGGACCGAGGGUUCAAUCCGCAAAUAAGCUUCACAGAACACUUGGAAUUGGCAUAGGUUACUUAUCGAGUUGGGUCCCAGAUCUUGGAGGCGGAUAUUCAUGAACGCCAUGGCGUCUCUAAGAAACUUCGAUUCGGGCGCCUUAAAACCUCGUUCCAGGUGUUCAAUAAAAACGAUUAUCUCCCCUUCUUUGGGGUUGGGGAGAUCCUCUCCGAGCCCGGUACGCCAGCCGAUAACAUUCUGAGGGUCCAAGUUGCCCGUUUUCACAUAGUCAGCUAGUAUGGUGUCGUCGACUUUGGUGGGAAGCCAGUCACUUUUGAAGACGGUGCCCAUGCUACAAAGAAGUAAAGUACGUAUGAAUUUACGCGCCUCGAACAUCUACUGUAAAAGGUGAAAUAAGUUCAUUUGACUCGCCAAAUAAAUUUGUUUGCGGACUGAAGGGAAAACCUUGACCCGCCAUGUUAAGGGCCAAGUUGGGUUGCUAUGGCGACUUACGAAGAUUUGCUAUUCACGAGAGCUGCGUUAUAAAGGUGUCGGAAACAUUCUUCAAAACGGCAAAGUGUGAAGACUACAAACAGCUUUUUUGCAAUCAGUAGGAAAAUUCUGGAUCUACUGGAGAGGUGAAAAAAAUGAGAAAAAUGGCUGGAUGCCGCAAUUUACUACCAGGGCAAGGCGAUGUCCUCCGGUUGACAAAACAUUACUCCGAAUUCGCAAGUGGGAGCGGAUAAAUGAAGGUAUACAAAGCAUUGGCUAUCUUGUAGACGUUUGUGUUAAUUAAUCAAGGACAUGCGACGAAUGCUCGCAAAGAACGUCAAGAACAUGGCAGUGUUGGAGCUUCGAACAAAGAGUAGAUCUGUUCUUAAAUGGGCGGUGGCCUAACCUGAUGCUUUCGGACGGAAGUAGUCGACAACAACGGAGGUUGUUGGAGAAGCACGGAGGUCCGGUCGAGCAAGGAGAUCCUCGGCGGCGACGGAGUUUUCGGCAAGCGGUGAGGUGUUCGACGAUGAUGCAGUGGUCAAUGGCGGCGAACGGGGCGGCCGCGGCACGGAGCUUGACGACGGUGAAAAUCUGUAGGGCAGCGCCGAAGCCUCUCGGGCGAAGACGGGAAGUACGGACAGCGGCGGAGCCCUCGGGAGGCGAUGAGACUUCCUCGCUGUGAUAAUGGGGAGGAGGUUGACGAGACUGGUAGGUGGGAAGCGCCAGUCUUGUCCCCUCCCAUCUAUUUAACAGGGCGGGCGCUAGAAUCGAGGCGCCGUGAGCGGAAACCGCUGGGGAAUAAAAAGAUUCGCCAUAAUGGCGUUCCGAAAGUUUUGGGAUAACGAUGCACCAGGAUCCGUUGGGAUUAUGUCAGUCUUCCCGGAAUUCGAGGGAUAAGAAGAUGCCGACGAGAAAUGGUUUGGCGACUUAAAAAAUUUCAGUGCCACAUGGCGGGUCACAAUUUCUGACGUAUGGAGAAAAAUAAGGAAUGAAUCGCCUUUAACUGAGUAGAAAUAUUGGCGUGAAAAGAAUUCAAGUCAAUCUGGGGCCUAAUGUUGGGGAUAUUACCUGUUAAUAACCCGCCCUAGUUGGGUCGGGUCACCAAAUCAGGCGAUUCACCUAAACAAUGAUUUGGGCCUUGGCGUUAUCAGCACGAAGGUCCUAUGGCGGUUUAUGAUUUCUGGAAAGUCUCCNNNNNNNNNNNNNNNNNNNNNNNNNNNNNNNNNNNNNNNNNNNNNNNNNNNNNNNNNNNNNNNNNNNNNNNNNNNNNNNNNNNNNNNNNNNNNNNNNNNNCUACUUUUCCAAACUCGUUUGCCCUUGUUUUGAACUCUAAUUUGCAUGAUUUGAAUGGAACUAACCUGGACUGAUGCUGUUUUCAGCAGAAUUACCUUGGUGUUAUUUUUUGCAGAAAUCAAAGUUCUCCAAACGUCCUGAAAAUUUACGGGGAGCAGUUUUGGAAAAUAUAAAAAAUAUCUGCGCCAAGUUCCACCUGAGGGGGUGGGCCAAUGGGCCACAAGCCCUGGCUCCGCCACCACCCCCUGGUNNNNNNNNNNNNNNNNNNNNNNNNNNNNNNNNNNNNNNNNNNNNNNNNNNNNNNNNNNNNNNNNNNNNNNNNNNNNNNNNNNNNNNNNNNNNNNNNNNNNNNNNNNNNNNNNNNNNNNNNNNNNNNNNNNNNNNNNNNNNNNNNNNNNNNNNNNNNNNNNNNNNNNNNNNNNNNNNCGGCUCUGCCGCCCCCAACCUCAGGUCUAUAAGUCCCCUUUCGUCCCAGAAAAAAUAAAAAAGAGAAGUUUUCGUCGCGUUUGCGAUACGGAGGCGCCGCCACCGCCUGUUCUUCCUCUGGAGGGCAGAUCUGGAGUCCGUCUUGGGCUCCGGAGAGGGGAAAUCGUCGCCAUCGUCAUCAUCAACCUUCUUCCCUCUCCAAUUCCAUGAAGCUCUUUGUUGUUCGUGAGUAAUCUAUUCGUAGGCUCACUGGGCGGUGAUGAGUAGGAUGANNNNNNNNNNNNNNNNNNNNNNNNNNNNNNNNNNNNNNNNNNNNNNNNNNNNNNNNNNNNNNNNNNNNNNNNNNNNNNNNNNNNNNNNNNNNNNNNNNNNAAAAGUAAAGUUUUAACUCCCCCACCACCAAUCAAUCACACUCCACGGCUAGCCGAAUCCUCGGGUACCGUCCAUACAACAUCAAUCCGGGGGGAGUCUUGUUUUACAGUUAUGUUUUCGAUUUAAGCGUGGAACUGGGCAUUCCAAUUACCGGCCCCUUUCUCGUGAAUGACUGUGAAUAAACACAUGUCGAGGAUAACACUCCUAGCAUGGAAGAUACCAAUAGCCCCAUGUCACCACAUGAGCGGUUCGGACAUGCAAAACACGUUAUUUCUUGAAGGUUUAGAGAGUGGCACAUGUAAAUUUACUUGGAACGGGAGGUAGAUACCGCAAAUAGGUAGGUAUGGUGGACUCUCAUGGAAAAAAAAUUGGGUUUAUGGAAGUGGAUGCACAAGCAGUAUUCCGCUUAGUACAAGUGAAGGCUAGCAAAACACUGGGAAGCGACCAACUAGAGAGCGACAACAGUCAUCAAGAUGCAAUGAGUUUGACUAACAUUGAAUGCAAGCAUGAACAUGAUAUAAAUCACCAUGAACACGAACAUCAUAGAGGAUAUGUUGAUUUUGUUUCAACUACAUGCAUGAACAUGCGCCAAGUCAAGCCACUUGAAACAUUCAAAAGAGAAUACCAUCCUAUCAUACUACAUCACAGUCAUCUCAAAAUCUAUGUUGGCAUUCAAGACAAACCAUUAUAAGCUCUCAGCUAAAUGAGAAUGGCAUCAGAAACUAUGAUCUCUAAGUUGUCAUUGCAAACAGGGUUCUCUCACAACAAAGCUAAAUCUGGGUCGACAAGCUAGUCAUAUUUACAAAAACAAAAUAGAUAGAGUUCAUACCAGCUUUUCAGUCUCAGUCACUUCAUCAUAUAUCAUCAUUGUUGCCUUUCAUUUGCACGAUCGAACGAUGAAAACGAUAAUAAGCGCAUUGGACUAAGUUGAAUCUGCAGGCAAACACAAAGGAUAAGACAAAGUAAUAUGGCUCUUUGAAAGCUAAACAGGUAAGCAUGUAAGAACCACUAAACAUUGUAACCAAUAUAUUCUACCUUGACCCAAAGAAAAAGAAAACUAUUUACACGGGAAAGCUCCCAACAAACAAAAGAAGAAAUAAAAAUCUUUUUGGGUUUUCUCAAAAGGACACAAAACAAGAAACGAAAAUAAAACUAGCAUGGAUAAUACAGUGGCAAAGUGUAAACACCGGCUAACAAGGUGAAAUCAUAAGCAUGAAUGUAAAGUCGGUGACAACACGUACUCCCCCAAGAUUAAGCUUUUGUCCUAGCUUGGUCUACUCCCAUGGUGGGAAAUAACCAGCUCCGGGAUACUCCGGAGCAGACUGUGGAUGCCACUGCUGUGUGAGCUCCUCUGGCUCCCACUGAUAAACUAGCGUCUGGUACUCGACUGGCGGCUCGGGCACGGGCGCUGGUGGUUGGGCCAAGCCCCAAUAUGCAUAGAUGUCCGAGGGCAUAAUAGUGUACCUACCUGCAUGAAGAUCGAACAAAGAAGGAGUAGGCAACGUAAUAGUCUCUCGAGUACCCUGAAUAAAUACCAAGUUAUAAAUCAUCCGUCUACUAGCAUCUCUAUCCAGAAAAUCAUGGCGAACCAUGCUGUCAUAAUCCAGAUAUUUCUCAGGGAGAAGCAUCUCUCCUUCCUCUCCCAGUCUAAUGGGUAUCUCAAAGUGUGUGGCAAGACGGGUAGCGUAGAUACCUCCAUAGACGAAACCCUUGGAACGGUUGAUGUUCAACCGUUGGGCCAAUAUAGCGCCCAAGCUAUAAGUCUUAUCGUUACAAAGGCCUUCGCGCAAAACCGCAAGGUCUGGAGAACUAAGUGAUCCAGCCUCCCCACGGCCAAUCAAACAUUUUCCCACAAAUAAUGAGAAGUACCAAAGCACAAGAAAAUGUAUGCUAGCGAUUCUAGCGCGAGACACUCCUCUCUCCUCUCCAACAACAAUAGAACCAAUGAAAUCCUCCAAGUCCCGUGGAUGAGGAUCACGGAUAUCCCCAACAUAAGAUAAUUUGCAUACAUUGAAAAAAUCCUGCAGCGUCAUGCACUGGGGGACAUCGUAUAUCAUGAACUCAACCAUGGGAGGAUUCUUCCUCGGAUAAAAGUUGAAGCUUUGAACGAAAAUGUUGGUGAGGAGGAGGUAUUGUGAGCACUUAUCUGCAACGAACGCAGUAAGACCUGCGUUCUCCACCAAGUAAUAAAAGUCUUCAUAAAGUCCGGCGGCGCGCAAAAAAUCAUCACUUGGCCACUCACACGCUCGAACUUCCUUGACUCGAGGGACUACGUACUUGGGGUGGUUCUUCUCAUCCUCCUUCUGGUUACGGCUUGAAGAGCCUCUCAAGAACCUCUUCAUCUUUUCCUCUUUCUAGCUCUGAAAAAUUCUGAAAUUUUUAGAGACUACGAAAGAAAAGCGAAUAAAUAUUAACCCAACUUGUAGCAACUACUCCUACUAGUGCCUAGAGACCGUAUCACGCGCUAAAACUACUUGGGACUAGCUAAAAUCAACUUUUCAAGCUCAAGAACAGGGCCACCAAGGUAGCAAGAAUUUGCGAAGGAUAAAGCACUAGAGCAAAAACUAAUUGGACCAAUGGAGGAGUCACUUACCAAGGAGUAAUUUCCCCAAAACGGUUUGGAGAAUGGUGCUUUGAGCAAGGAGAUCGAAAAUCACAGCCAAAUGAGCAAGAACACGGGUUUGAGCUGCGAAACAUUUUUUUCUGGAGGUGGAAGAAGAGGCUGGGAGCUGGAAUGAGUGGAGGGGUGCCUGUGGGCCCCACAAGCUUGCACCCCGCCACCAGGGGGGUAGGUGGCGGUGGCAGGGCUUGUGGCCCACUGGUCUGGCCCCCAGGCCAGUUCUCAGGCCCAGAAAUUUUCAAAAAUUCGAGAAAAAGUCAUACUAAAUUUUCAGGACCAUCGGAGAACUUUUAUUUUCGAGGUAUUUUUCUCCGAGACGCUAAAACAGAAAACAAGGAAAACUAAACUAAUUCUAUCAUUUUUCUUCUAAGCAAAAGAAAAUGAAAACUCAAAACAGAGGUAUGUGACUCUUUGAUUCAUCUGUUUCAUGGUCGUCGAAAGAAAUCCGUCAAUGGGAUUGAUCAAGUCCUUAUGACAAAACCUUCUUGAAUCGCAAGAGAGAACGGAUAAUUUUUGAAUAACUACUAAAUCACCUCAAUGGGGAUAUGUAUCUCCCCAACAAGCAAAUCAUACUUCAUCUUGACACGAGGAAUAGGGCAUUCAAAGCUCCCAAUGAAAAUCGAUGAAGUCUUUUCGAUUGCAUUGAUGCAAUGUACUUGAUAUCGUUUCUUAGGAAAGUGCACUGUGUGCUCAUUACCGUUGACAUGGAAAGUGACAUUGCCUUUGUUGCAAUCUAUAAGAGCCCCUGCAGUGUUUAAAAAGGGUCUUCCGAGGAUGACAGCCAUGGCAUCGUCCUCGGGAAUAUCCAAGAUAACAAAGUCUGUUAAGAUAGUGGUGUUAGAAACCACAACAGGCACAUCCUCGCAAAUGCCGAUAGGGAAAGCAGUUGAUUUGUCGGCCAUUUGCAGAGAAAUUUCAGUGGGUGUCAACUUAUCCAAUUCAAAUCUACGAUAAAGAGAAAGCGACAUAACACUAACACCGGCUCCAAGGUCACAUAAGGCAGUUCUUACGUAGUUUCCUUUCAUGGAGCAAGGUAUAGUGGGCACUUCGGGAUCACCAAGUUUCUUAGGAGUUCCACCUUUGAAAGUAUAAUUGGCAAGCAUGGUGGAGAUCUCAAGAUCUGGUAUCUUCCGUUUAUUAGUCACGAUAUCUUUCAUGUACUUGGCAUACGGAGACGUCUUGAGCAUAUCAGUUAACCGCAUCUGCAGAAAGACGGGUCUUAUCAUCUCAACGAAGCACGCAAAAUCCUCAUCAUCCUUUUUCUUGGAUGGCUUAGGAGGAAAGGCAUAGGUCUCUGAACCCAUGGCUCCCUUUCUUUACCAUGCUUCCUAGCAGUGAAGUCAUUCUGAUCAUAUUUCUUAGGUUGUGGGUUAUCAGGAUUAACCGUAGGUUCAAUCUCCACAUCCUCAUCAUUGCUAGGUUGAUCAUUAUUAUAAACAUCACUGUCCAUAUUGUCACCAGGUUCAUGUUCAUCACCAGAUUGUGUUUCUGCAUCAGACGCAGAAAUGUCAUUAGGUUCUUCAGGAAUGACAGUAUUUGAUGAACUGGCGUGCAGGUUUCUAUCAUCCUUCUUCUUCUCCUUAGGAUGACUAGGCGUAUCAGCAUUGAUUCCUUGAUAAUCUUGGUCAAUUCUCUUAGGAUGACCUUCAGGAUACAAAGGUUCCUGAGUCAUUUUGCCUCCUCUAGUAAUGACUCUGACAGAGUUUUCAUUUAAUUCAUUGAGCAGGUCAUUCUGAGCUUUAAGUACUUGUUCUACCUGAGUAGUAAUCAUAGAGGCAUGUUUACUCAGAAGCUUCAGAUCGUUGACAUUUCUGUCUACACAAGCACUUCAAUGGCUAUGCAUACGAGUACUUUGUUCCAAAUGUCUGCUAACAUAAUCAUUGAAACUCUGUUGUUUGGCAACAAAGUUGUCAAAUUCAUCAACGCAUAGGCUAGCAGGUUUAUCAAAAGGAAUAUCACUCUCAUCAAACCUACGCAGAGAAUUCACUUCUACUACCUGUAUCGGGUUAUCGAGACCAUGGAUCUCUUCGAUGGGUGGUAGAUUUUUGACAUCUUCAGAUCUAAUGCCUUUCUCUUGCAUGGAUUUCUUGGCUUCUUGCAUAUCUUCGGGACUGAGGAACAGAAUACCUCUUUUCUUCGGAGUUGGCUUAGGAGGUGGUUCGGGAAUAGUCCAAGCAUUAUCGUUGAUCAAGAUGUUAUUCAGUAGAGUCUCAGCUUGUUCUAUAGUUUGUUCCCUAAAAACACAACCGACACAACUAUCUAGGUGGUCUUUAGAGGCAUCGGUAAGUCCGUUAUAGAAGAUAUCAAGUAUCUCGUUCUUCUUAAGAGGGUGAUCAGGCAAAGCAUUUUGUAGCUCGACGAGUCUCCCCCAAGCUUGUGGGAGACUCUCUUCUUGGAGUUGAGCAAAGUUGUAUAUUUCCUGCAAGGCAGCUUGCUUCUUAUGGGCAGGGAAAUAUUUCUCACAGAAGUAAUAGACCAUCUCCUGGGGACUACGCACACAUCCAGGAGCAAGAGAGGUGAACCAGGCUUUAGCGUCAUCCUUUAGAGAGAAAGGAAACAGCUUAAGGAUAUAGUAGUGGCAGAUCUUCUCCUCAUUAGUGAAAAGGUUGGCUAUAUCAUGUAGUUUGGCAAGAUGGGCCAUGACCGUCUCAGACUCAUAUACGUGAAAAGGAUCAGAUUCGACUAGAGAGAUUAUCUUAGGAUCGACAGAGAAUUCAUAAUCCUUAUCGGUGAUAAAGAUAUGUGAAGUGGCAAACUUCGGGUCAUAUUUCAUCCUAGCUUCCCGAGAUUUUUCCUUCCACUUGAGAAGUAAUUUCUCAGCAUCAUAGGCAUCCUUACACGCAAGAAAAUCCUCAGCUAUCUCUCCCUCCAUAACGUAACCCUCAGGUAUAUCAGGCAAUUCAUAUCUAGGAGAGCUAGAUCUAGCAGGAGCAAAAGCAGGUUCUAUCUCAAUAGUAUCGGUAGUUUCAGAAGCAUCACGAGCAUUGGCAGUAACUCUAGAAAUGUGAGCAUCAAGGAACACUCCUAGUGGAACAUCAGGCAAAGUACUAUCUCUAGCAGUAUCAAGCAUAGCAUCAUCAGGCAAAAUAGCAUCAUCAGGCAAAGCAGUAUCAAGCAUAGCAUCAUUUCACAACGAGUUUAAAUCAUGAACUUUCAAAAUAACAAGGCCAAAAGAAAGUUAUCCCUACAAAAGCAUAUAGUCUGGCUAUGCUCUAUCAUCAUUUCACAACGAGUUUAAAUCAUGCACAACCCCGGUAUUGGCCAAGUAAUUGUUUCACACCUUUACUUUCUCAAACAUUUUCAACUCUCACGCAAUACAUGAGCGUGAGCCAUGGUUAUAGCACUAUAGAUGGUGUGGAAUGUGGUGGAGGUUGCAAGACAAAAAGGAGAAGACAGUCACAUUAACUAGGCAUAUCAAUGAGCUGUGGAGAUGCUCAUCAAUAGAUAUCAAUGUGAAUGAGUAGGGAUUGCCAUACAAAUGAUGCACUAGAGCUACAAGUAUGUGAAAGCUCUUAAAUAAAACUAGUGGGUGUGCAUCCAACUUGCUUGCUCACGAAGACCUAAGGCAAUUUUGAGGAAGCCUAUCAAUGGAAUAUACAAGACAAGUUAUAUAAUGAGAAUUUCCCACUAGCUAUAUGGUGGUGACAAAACGAGAGACUCUCAAUCAUGAAGAUCAUGGUGCUCAAAAUGCACAAGUGUGAAAAAAUUGGUAGCAUUGUCCCUUCUCUCUUUUUCUCUCAUUUUUUUAUUUUUUAUUUUGGUGGGCUCUUUGGCCUCUUUUUUUAUGGGCUUCUUUGGCCUCUUUUAUUUCCUCACAUAGGACAAUGCUCCAAUAAUGAUGAUCAUCACACUUUCAACUCAAAACUUAGAGCAACUAUGACUCUAUAUGGAAUGCCUUCGGUAGUGUACCGUGGCAAUGAUCUAGCAUGGCAUAGACAUCAAUGGGAACAUCAUGUUAGCUAUCUUACGAUCGUGCAAAGGCAAUGUAGACGUGGUAGCGCAUAUGGUGGUAGUUGCAUGGCAAUAUAUCUCGGAAUGACUUUGCAAAAGCCAUAGUAGGUAGGUAUGGUGGCUGUUUUGAGGGAGGCUAGUGUGUGUUUUGUGCACCGGCAAAAGUUGCACGGCACUAAGAAGAUAGUGAUGGUGGAAGGUGAAAGUGCAUCUAAACCAUGGACUCAACAUUAGUCAUGAAAACUCAUAUACUUGUUGCAAAAGUUAUAUUAGUAAUCGAAACAAAGCAUUCAACGCAUACUCCUAGGGGAAGGGUUGGUAGGUAUAAACCAUCGCGCGAUCCCGACCGCCACGCAAAGGAUGACAAUCAAUAUACUAAUCAUGUUCAGACUUCAUCACAUAGCGGUUCACCAUACGUGCAUGCUACGGGACUCACUAACUUCAACACAAGUAUUUCUAGAUCCACAACACCUUACUGGCAUGACUUCAAAAUUACCAUAACCACAACUUAAAACUAAUUGAGAUGAAUCAAACUUCUCUAACUAUUCAAUGCACAUGAAGGUGGAAGUUUUCGUAUCCCUUUGGAUAACUACCCCUUUUGAGACUACUUUCAAAGCAUAGAUCAACUACCAAGCCAGGCACCGUUGUGCUCUAAAAGAUAUAAGUGAAGCACAUAAAGCAAAAGUAUCUAGCUCAAAAGAUAUAAGUGAAGCACAUGUGAGUUGAAUUGUCUACCAAAAGAUAUAAGUGAAGCUCGACAAAAUCACGGUGAGUGCAUGUCUCUCUCUCUAGGUGUGCAACAAGGAUGAUUGUGACACAACAAAAAUAAAAGACUCCUACGAUACAAGACGCUCCAAGCAAAAACACAUAACAUGUGGUGAAUAAAAAUAUAGCCCCAAGUAACGUUACCUAUGGAUUGAAGACGAGAGAGGGGAUGCCUUCCCGAGGCAUCCCCAAGCUUAGGAUUUUACGGCAUCCUUGAAUCUCUUGGGGUGCCUUGGGCAUCCCCAAGAUUGAGCUCUUGCCACUCUUUAUCUCUUUGUCCAUAAGAACUUCACCCAAAACUUGAAAACUUCACAACACGAAACUUAAACAGAAACUCGUGAUAACAUUAGUACAAGAAAGCAAACCACCACUUCCUUAGGUACUGUAGCAAACUUAAAUUCUACUUGUGCUGAUGUUGGGUUACCGUACUUUCAAUCUUCCAUGGCUAAUACCCGCAAUACUAUCCAUAGUUUCAUCAAAAUAAGCAACCAACACAACAAAAACAGAAUCUGUUAACAGCAGACUAGUCUGUAGAAAUCUGUAUGUUUCGUAUACCUCUGGUACUUCAAAAAUUCUGAACAAUUACGACAGUCUGAAGAAUUUGCGUAGAAAUCAGCAGCGAAAAGAAUCAACUCAAAAGCUCUAACAGAAAAAAAAAUGAAAAUUCUUUUCGUGAGCAGAAAGUUUCUGUCUUUUCUAGCAUGACCAAACGAUCAUCCCCAAGACUAAUCAUAACGGUUUUUCUUGGCACAAACGCAAAAAAGAAACACAAAAAACAUAAUCAUAACAGAAUUAUGAAAGUGUGGAAAACACAAAAAGAAAGAAAAAUGAUAGAUUCGUUGGGUUGCCUCCCAACAAGCGCUAUUGUUUAACGCCCUUAGCUAGGCAUUCAAUGGUGCUCUCACAAAAGACAAGAAUUGAAGCAUAACGAGAGCAUCCUAAAGCAUGUGAAAAUCACAUCUAAGUCUAACAUACUUCCUAUGCAUAGGCAUUUUAUAGGGAAACAAAUUGGCAAGACAACCAAUAGUUACCAAAUGCAAGGAAGAAGAAAGAGACAAGAGCAAUCUCAACAUCACGAGAGGUGAUUUGGUAACAUGAAAGUUUCUACCAAAAUAUUUUCCUCUAUCAUAGCAAUUACAUGUGGGAUCAUAUUCAAAUUCAACAAUAUAGCUAUCCCAUAGGAUAUUCUUUUCAUGAUCCACAUGCAUGCAAAGUUGACGCUCUUCAAAAAUAGUGGGAUUGUCAUCAACUAAAGUCAUGACUUCUCCAAACCCACUUUCAAUAUUAUUGCAAAUAUCAUAUUCAUCAUGAGGUCUAAACAAAUUUUCAAGAUCAUAAGAAAGAUCAUCACCCCAAUCAUGAUUAUUGUAAUAAGUACUGGUCAAAGCAAGACUAGCAUCCCCAAGCUUAGGGCUUUGCAUAAUUUUAGCAUGAUUAUCACUAAUAGAUUUUAGAGUGAAACCAUUGCAAUCAUGCUUUUCAUCCAAGGAGACCUCGUGAAUCACUUCAUAAAUUUCUUCCUCACAAUUUCAGAUUCACGCAUCUCACGCAAAACUCCAUAAAGAUAGUCAAGUGCCCUCAACUCACUAGCAAUUCGUUCCACAUAAGUGGGUCUCUUAAAGAGAUUAACAAACGAAGAUGCAAGCAUAUUGAAGGCACAUGGCACACAAGCGAACAGAAAGCAAGCGAGAGAAAAAGGGCGAACAAAAAAGGCAAAAGGCAAAAGAAAAUGGCAAAGGAGAAAGGCAAAUGAAAACGGCAAAUGUGAAGUGGGGAGAGGAAAACGAGAGGCAACUGGCAACAAAAGUAAAUGCAAGAGAUGAGUUUGUGACACCUACUUGGAUAGAUCUUGAUUUCUCCUCCCCGGCAACGGCGCCAGAAAUACUUCUGCUACUGCAACAAAACACCUUCCAAUAGCGCCAGAAAUAGGCACGUUUACGGGAGAAUACUUAACUUGAUCCUCCUCAGAAAUACUUCUGCUGCGCUACGCCUUAAGGGACUUCCUAGGCAAAUAUGCAAAGGAUUUCCCCCGUGGCCUUGGAGCCUUGCGUUGGUGUUCCCUCGAAGCGGAAAGGGUGAUGUAGCAUAGCGGUGGUAAGUAUUUCCCUCAGUUUGAGAACCAAGGUAUUGAACCAGUGGAGGAGUAUCACAAGAGCCUGCACAAACACAAAGAGCUUGCUCCCAACGCUAUGAAGGGGUUGUCAAUCCCUUAUAGAUUGUUUGUCAAGUGAGAACUGAAAGCAACAAAGUAACAAACCAAAGUAAAAGCGGAGGUGUAAACGAUGGAUGUGAAUAGACCCGGGGGCCGUAGUGUUUACUAGUGGCUUCUCUCAUGAAAGCAAGUAGACGGAGGGUGAACAAAUUACUGUCGAGCAAUUGAUAGAACCGCGCAAAGUCGUGACGAUAUCUAUGCAAUGAUUAUAUCUAUAGGCAUCACGUCCAAAACAAGUAGACCGAUACUUUCUACAUCUACUACUAUUACUCCACACAUCGAGCGCUAUCCAGCAUGCAUCUAGUGUAUUAAGUCCAUAAGAACAGAGUAACCCCUUAAGCAAGAUGACAUGAUGUAGAGGGAUAAUCGCAAACCAAUGAUAAAAACCCCAUUUUUUUCCUUGAUGGCAACUACUUGAUGUGUGCCUUGCUGCCCCUACUGUCAUUGGGAAAGGUCACCACAUGGUAGAACCCAAAACCAAGCACUUCUCCCAUUGCAAGAAUCAUAGAUCUAGUUGGCCAAACAAAACCCAAGACUCGGAGAGACUUACAAGGAUAUCAAAUCAUGCAUAUAAGAAAUCAGCAAAGACUAAAACAUAUAUCAUAGAUAAUCUGAUCACAAAUCCACAAUUCAUCGGAUCUCGACAAACACACUGCCAAAGAAGAUUACAUCGGAUAGAUCUCCAUGAAGAUCAUGGACAACUUUGUAUUGAAGAUCCAAGAGAGAGUGGAAGCCAUCUAGCUACUAACUACGGACCCGUAGGUCUGAAGUGAACUACUCACGAGUCAUUGGAGGGGCGAUGAUGAUGAUGAAGAAGCCCUCCAACUCNNNNNNNNNNNNNNNNNNNNNNNNNNNNNNNNNNNNNNNNNNNNNNNNNNNNNNNNNNNNNNNNNNNNNNNNNNNNNNNNNNNNNNNNNNNNNNNNNNNNNNNNNNNNNNNNNNNNNNNNNNNNNUGUUGAUGUAGAAGCCGUCCAACUCCAAAGUCCCCUCCGGCAGGGCACCGGGAAGGGUCUCCAGAUGAGAUCUCGCGGAAACGGAAGCUUGCGGCGGCGGAAAAGUAUUUUCGAGGCUCCCUUGAUUUUUUUGCUGAAUAUUUGGGAAUAUAUAGGCCAAGGAUCUAGGUGAGGGGGCGGCCAGGGAGGCCACAAGCCCUGACACCGCCGCCUCCCCCCUGGUGGCGAAGUGGGAGCUUGUGGGCUCCCUCGAGCCCACCUGGCUUGGCCCAGAGGCCCCCUGAUCUUCUUCCAUUCGGAAAAAAAUCAUUUCGGGGUUUUUAUUCCGUUUGGACUCCGUACCAAAAUCAGAUCUGAAAAGAGUCAAAAACACAGAAAAAACAGGAAGUGGCACUUGGCACUGAAUUAAUAAGUUAGUCCCAAAAAAGAUAUAAAGGUACAUAAAACAUCCAAAGAUGACAAUAUAACAGCGUGAAACCAUCAAAAAUUAUAGAUACGUUUGAGACGUAUCAGAGACCCUUCUCGGUGCCCUGCCGGAGGGGACUUUGGAGUUGGAGGGCUUCUACAUCAACAUCAUCGCCUCUCCAAUGACUCGUGAGUAGUCCACUUCAGACCUACGGGUCCGUAGUUAGUAGCUAGAUGGCUUAUUCUCUCUCUUGGAUCUUCAAUACAAAGUUCUCCAUGAUCUUCAUGGAGAUCUAUAUGAUGUAAUCCUCUUUGGCGGUGUGUUUGUCGAGAUCCGAUGAAUUGUGGAUUUGUGAUCAGAUUAUCUAUGAAUUAUAUUUGAGUCUUUGCUGAUUUCUUAUAUGCAUGAUUUGAUAUCCUUGUAAGUCUCUCCGAGUCUUGGGUUUUGUUUGGCCAACUAGAUCUAUGAUUCUUGCAAUGGGAGAAGUGCUUGGUUUUGGGUUCAUACCGUGCGGUGACCUUUCCCAGUGACAGAAGAGGCAGCAAGGCACGCAUCAUGUUGUUACUUGUUGCAAGACCUUUUCCGACACCGUUGCCGGGGAAUAAUAUUUCCCGUCCACGGGCAACUUACUCGCGCCAUAGAUACAACUGUUAGGAAUAGUCUGCCGUCAACAUAUCGUUUCUCGCACCGUUGCUAUCAUACUACUUUGCUACUGAUACUUUGCUUGCAGACACUAAUCUUUCAGGUGUGGUUGAAUCUGACAAACUCAGCUGCUAAUAAUUGAGAAUAUUCUUUCGCUUCCCUUUGGCGAACCAAAAAAUUUGGGUUGAAUACUCUACCCUCGAAAACUGUUGCGAUCCCCUACACUUGUGGGUUAUCAAGGCCUUUUCUGGCGCCGUUGCUGGGGAAGCACAACUAUAUUCUCUGAGUCACUUGGGAUUGACGUCUGCUGAUCACUAUGAAGAAUCCUAAAGAUCCAAGAACUAAAAUCUUGCCUUCCACUACGAGGAGAGGUAAGGAAUUGCCAUCUAGCUCUGCACUUGAUUCACCUUCAGUUAUGAGUAAGUUUGCGACAUCGCCUCCUGCUAGAAAUCUUGAUAUGUCGCCUGUGCUUGAUGAUGCUACUUCUGCUGACCAUGAUGCUUAUGAUGAUGCUAUGCUUGAUACUAUGCCUGAUAAUGCAUUGCUUGAUACUAUGCCUGAUACUGCUUUGCCACUUGGUGCAUUCCUUGAUGCACAUAUUGCUAGAGUUGUUGCUAGAUGUGAUGAUACUUCUGAAAGUGCUGAUACUAUUGAAGUAGAACCUGCUACUAUGCCCGAAUUGCCUGUUAUGCCUGAUACGCACUAUGUUAUGGAGGGAGAGAUAGCUGAGGACUUUCUUGCGUGCAAGGAUAGCUAUGAUGUGGAGAAAUUAUUGCGCAAGUGGAAAGAAAAAUCUCUGAACGCUAGGAUGAAAUACGACCCGAAGUUUGCCACUUCGCCUAUCUUUGUGACCGAUAAGGAUUAUGAAUUCUCUGUCGACCCUGAGUUAAUCACUCUGGUCGAAUCUGAUCCUUUUCAUGGUUAUGAGUCUGAAACGGUUGUAGCCCACCUUAACAAACUGCACGAUAUAGCCACCCUAUUCACUAGUGAGGAAAAGAUCCGCCACUACUACAUGCUCAAGUUGUUUCCUUUCUCGUUAAAGGAUGAUGCUAAGACUUGGUUCACUUCUCUUGCUUCUGGUUGUGUGCGUAGCCCCCAGGAUAUAAUCUACUACUUCUCUGAAAAAUAUUUCCCUGCCCAUAAGAAGCAAGCUGCCUUGCAGGAAAUAUACAACUUUGCUCAAGCUGAAGAAGAGAGUCUCCCACAAGCUUGGGGGAGGCUCAUCCAGCUACUGAAUGCUUUGCCUGAUCACCCUCUUGAGAAGAACAAAAUACUUGAUAUCUUCUAUAAUGGACUUACCGAUGCUUCCAAAGACCACUUAGAUAGUUGUGUCGGUAGUGUUUUUAGGGAACGAACUGUAGAACAAGCUGAGAUUCUGUUGAACAACAUCUUGUGCAAUGAGAAUGCUUGGACUAUUCCCGAACCACCUCCUAAGCCAACUCCGAAGAAAAGAGGUAUUCUAUUCCUCAGUCCUAAAGAUAUGCAAGAAGCCAAGAAAUCUAUGUGAGAGAAAGGCAUUAAAUCUGAAGAUGUCAAAAAUCUACCACCUAUCGAAGAGAUACAUGGUCUCGAUAACCCGAUACAGGUAGUAGAAGUAAAUUCUUUGUGUAGGUUUGAUGAGAGUGAUAUUCCUUUUGAUAAACCUGCUAGCUUAUGCAUGGAUGAAUUUGAUAACUUCGUUGCCAAACAACAGAGUUUCAAUGAUUAUGUUAGCAGACAAUUGGAACAGAAUGCUCGUAUGCUUAGUCAUUUAAGUGCUUGUGUGGACAGAAAUGUCAAUGAUCUUAAGCUUCUAAGUAAACAUGCUUCUAUGGUUACUACUCAGGUAGAACAAGUACUUAAAGCUCAAAAUGACUUGCUCAAUGAGUUGAAUGACAAUUCCGUGAGAGUCGUCACUAGAGGCGGUAGAAUGACCCAGGAACCUUUGUAUCCUGAGGGUCAUCCAAAGAGAAUUGAACAAGGUUCUCAAGGAGUUAGCACUGAUGCACUUAGUCAUCCUAGAAAGAAGAAGAAAGAUGAUAGGAACCUGCACGCUAGCAACCCUGUUGCUGCUACACCUGAGAGUCCAAACGAUGCCUCUGUUUGUGAUGCUGAAACACAAUCUGGUGAUGAACAUGAUCCAAAUGAUGAUAUCAAUAGUGAUGUUCAUGUUGAUGCUCAACCUAGCAAUGAAAAGGAUGUGGAGAUUGAACUUGUUGAUCUUGAUAACCCACAGCCUAAGAAUAGAAGAUACGAUAAGAAUGACUUCGCUGUUAGGAAUCAUGGUAAAGAAAGGGAACCGUGGGUUCAGAAACCUAUGACCUUUCCUCCCAAACCAUCCAAGAAAGAGGAUGAUGAGGAUUUUGAGCGCUUCGUUGAAAUGAUCAGACCUGUCUUUCUACAAAUGCGUUUGACAGAUAUGCUCAAAAUGUCUCUGUAUGCUAAGUACAUGAAAGAUAUUGUGACUAAUAAGAGGAGGAUAUAUAAGGUUGAGAUUUCCACCAUGCUUGCUGAUUAUACCUUCAAGGGUGGAACUCCUAAGAAACUAGGUGAUUCCGGUGUGCCCACUAUACCUUGCUCCAUUAAAGGCAACUACGUUAGAACUGCGUUAUGCGAUCUUGGAGCCGGUGUUAGUGUUAUGCCUCUCUAUCUUUAUCGUAGGCUUGAACUGGAUAAGUUGACACCCACUGAAAUAUCUCUGCAAAUGGCCGACAAAUCAACUGCUUUCCCUAUCGGCAUUUGCGAGGACGUGCCUGUUGUGGUUGCUAACACCACUAUCUUAACAGACUUUGUUAUCUUGGAUAUUCCCGAGGACGAUGCCAUGGCUGUCAUCCUCGGAAGACCCUUUUUAAACACUGCAUGGGCUGUUAUAGAUUGCAACAAAGGCAAUGUCACUUUCCAUGUCACCGGUAAUGAGCAUACGGUGCACUUUCCGAAGAAACAAUAUCAAGUACAUUGCAUCAAUACUAUCGAAAAGACUUCAUCAUUUCUUACUGGGAGCUUUGAAUGCCCUAUUCCUCAUGUCAAGAUGAAGUAUGAUUUGCUUGUUGGGGAGAUACACAUCCCCAUUGAGGUGACCUAGUGACUAUUCGGAAAUUCUCCGUCUUCUUUUGCGAUUCGAGAAAGUUUUGUCGAGGGGACUUGAUCAACCCCAUUGACGGAUUUCUUUCGAUGACCAUGAGAUGGAUGAAUCAAGGAGUCACAAACCUCUGUUCCAAGCUUUCACUUUAGGUUGCUUAGAAGAAAAAUGAUAGAUUUAGUUUAGUUUUCCCUGUUUUCUGUUUUAGCGUCCGGUAGAAAAGUACCUUGAAAAUAAAAGUUCUCCGAACGCUGUGAAAAUCAAGUAUGAUUUUUUCUGGAUUUUUUGAAAAAUACUAGGACAAAGAGUCUGUCUGGGGGCCACACCAGUGGGCCACAAGCCCUAGGGGCGCGGGCACCCCCUUGUCGCGCCACCCAGGAUUGUGGGGCCCACAGGCACCCCCUCCACUCAUUCUUGCUCUCAUCCGCUUCUCCUACCUCCAGAAAAAAAAUUGUUUCGCACCUCAAGCCCGUGUUCUUGCUCCUCUUGCUGGGAUUUUCAAUCUCUUUGCUCAAAUCACCAUUCUCCGAACUAUUUUAGGAAAAUUACUCCUUGGUAAGUGACUCCUCCAUUGGUCCAAUUAGUUUUUUCUCUAGUGCCUUAUACUCCGCGUAUUUUUGCUACCUUGGUGACCAUUUUCUUGAGCUUUGCAUGCUAAUUCUAACUGGUCCCAAGUAGUUUUGAUGCGUAAUAUGGUCUUUAGGCACUUGUGGGAGUAGUUGCUACGAGUUUCAUUGAGCCUUAUUCACUUUUCCUUAGAAUCACUAAAAAUUUCAGAAAUUUUCAGAGAUAGAAAAGGGGAAAGUUGAGGAGGUUCUUAAGAGGCUCGUCAAGCCGUGACCCCAAGGAUGAUGAGAGUGAGAAGAAGCCCAAGUAUUUGGUCCCUCGAGUCGCAGAAGUUCGAGCAUGCGAGUGGCCAAGCGACGUGUUCUUACGCGCCGCUGGAAUUUAUGAGGACUUUUAUCACUUGUUGGAGAACGCAGGCCUUACCGCCUUCGUUGAAGAUAAGUGUCCGCAAUACCUCCUCCUCACUAAUAUCUUCGUACAAAGCUUUAACUUCUAUCCGAGGAAGAAUCCUCCUAUGGUUGAGUUCAAACUUUAUGAUAUCCCCCAGCGCAUGUCACUCCAGGAUUUUUGCAAUGUUUGCAAAUUGCCUUACGUUGGGGAUAUUCAUGAACCUCGUCCACGGGACUUGGAAGCUUUCAUCGGUACAAUUGUUGUAGGAGAGGAGAGAGGAGUGUCUUGCGCUAGAGCUGCUAGCAUACAUUUUCCCGUGCUUCGGUACUUCUCACUAUUUGUGGGAAAAUGUUUGAUUGGCCGUGGGAAAGCUGGGUCACUUAGUUCCCCAGACCUUGCGGUCUUGCAUGAAGCCCUUUAUAACGAUAAAACUUAUAGCUUAGGUGCUAUAGUAGCUCAACGGUUGAACCUGAACCGUUCUAAGGGUGUUGUCUAUGGAGGUAUCUAUGCUACUCGUCUUGCUAGACACUUUGAGAUACCUAUUAGACUGGAGGAGGAAGAAGAGAUUCUUCUUCCCGAGAGAUAUCUAGAUUACGAUAGCAUGGUUCGCCAUGACUUUCUUGAUAGAGAUAUAAAUAGAAGGAUGAUUAAUAACCUGGUAUUUAGUCAGGGUACUCGUGAGACUAUUACUUUGCCUGCUCCUUCUUUGUUCAAUCUUCAUGCAGGCAGGUACACUAUUAUGCCCUCGGACAUCUACGCAUAUUGGGGCUUAGCCCAACCACAGGUGCCCGUGCCCGAGCCGCCAGUCGAGUACCAGACGCGAGUUUAUCAGUGGGAGCCAGAGGAGCUCACACAGCAGUGGCAUCCUCAGUCCACUCUGGAGUACCCCGGAGCUGGUUAUUUCCCUCCUUGGGAAUAGACCAACUUAGGCCAAAAGCCUAAGCUUGGGGGAGUACGUGUUUUCACCGACUUUACAUUCUUGCUUAUGCUUUCACUUUGUUAGCCGAUGUUCACACUUUUCCACUGUAUCAUCCAUGCUAGUUUAUUUUCUUUUUCUCGUUUUCUUUUCAUGUGUCUGUCUAGUUUGAGAAAAAACAAAAAGAUUUUCUUUUCUUCUUUUGCUUGUUGGGAGCUUUCCCGUGUAGAUAGUUUUCUUUUUCUUUGGGUCAACGUAGAAGAUAUUGGUUACAAUGUUUAGUGGCUCUUGCAUGCAUACAUGUUUAGCUUUCAAAGAGCCAUAUUAAUUUGUCUUCUCCGUUGUGUUUGCCUGCAGAUUCUAGCGUAGUCCAAUGCACGAGCACUCUUAUUAUUGUUCACAUCGUUCGGUCGUGCAAGUGGAAGGCAAUAAUGACGAUAUAUGAUGAAGUGACUGAACCUGGAAAAGCUAGUAUGAACUCUAUCUAUUUUGUUUUUGUAAAUAUGACUAGCUCAUCAUGCCUGAUUCAGCUUUGUUGUGAGAGAAACAUGUUUGCAAUGACAACUUAGAGAUCAUAGUUGCUUAUGCCAUGCUUAUUUAACUAGGAGCUUACAAUGGUUUGUCUUGGUUGCCAACAUGAAUGUUGAGAUGACUAUGAUGUAGUAUGAUAGGAUGGUGUCCUCCUUUGAAUGUUUCAAGUGGCUUGACUUGGCGCAUGUUCACGCAUGUAGUUGAAACAAAAUCAACAUAGCAUCUAUGAUGUUCAUGUUCAUGGUGAUUUAUGUCCUACUCAUGCUUUCACUCAAUGUUAGUUAAUCUCAAUGCAUUUUGAUGACUGUUGUCGCUCUCUAGUUGGUCGCUUCCCAGUCUUUUGCUAGCUUUCACUUGUACUAAGCGGGAAUACUGCUUGUGCAUCCACCUCCCAUAAACCCAAAGUUGUGCCAUAUGAGUCCACCAUACCUACCUAUGUGCGGUAUCUACCUGCCGUUCCAAGUAAAUUUGCAUGUGCCACUCUCUAAAUCCUCAAGAAAUAAUCUGUUUUGCAUGCCCGAACCGCUCAUGUGGUGACAGGGGCUAUUGGUAUCUUCCAUGCUAGGCGUGUUAUCCUCGAUAUGUGUUUAUUCACUAUCAUUCACGAGAAAGGGGCCGGUAAUUGGAAUUCCUAGUUCGUUUCUCAAAUCGAAAAGAUAAUUGCAAACAAAACUCCCCCAGGAUUGAUGUUGGUAUGGACGGUACCCGAGCAUUCGGCUAGCCGUGGAGUGUGAUUGAUUGGUGGUGGGGGAGUCAAAACUUUACUUUUCUGUUUGGGAACCGCCUAUAGCAUGUGUAGCGUGGAAGAUGUUGAGAACUCUUAGUCAUUGCGUUGACAAUGAAAGGAUGCCACCCAAAAUUAUUAUCUCUGUUUUCUAAGCUUGAGCUCUGGCGCCUCUGCAAAUCAAUGAUUCCCUUUGCGAAGGGCCUGUUUAUUUAUGUUCCUGUUGAGUCAUCCUCCUCUUACAAAAGCACCAAUUAGAGAGCACCUCUGUCAUUUUUAUGCUUUGCUUUUUAACUGUGGUGAGUAUGACUGUGACUGGAUCUUCAUUGCCUUGAAUUACAAUGUUUAGUCAGCCCUUGGUCUUUAAAGGUGCUCUGCAUUUAUGUUUUGCAGUCUCAGAAAGAGCUAGCGAGAUACCAUCUAUUUGUACUGCUUCAUGUUGUUUUGUUUGAAGUGUUGACAUUUGAGACUUACUAUUAUUUACUCGCUAGUUGAUUAUGCCAUUGAUAUGAGUUUACCGUGAGACUUAGAUGUCAUUUGAUUAUGUGGUUUGCUUGUGAUCUUGCUGAAAUUCAGGUUAUGAGUUAGACAUAGUUGCAACAACAAGAUCAAACAGAGUUCGUCAAAGUUUUUCUUUGGUCUCUUUCAGUUUGUCAACUGAAUUGCUUGAGGACAAGCAAGGCUUUAAGCUUGGGGGAGUUGAUACGUCUCCGUCGUAUCUACUUUUCCGAACUCUUUUGCCCUUGUUUUGGACUCUAAUUUGCAUGAUUUGAAUGGAACUAACCCGGACUGACGCUGUUUUCAGCAGAAUUGCCAUGGUGUUGUUUUUGUGCAAAAAUAAAAGUUCUCGGAAUGUCCUGAAAAUUUACAGAGAUUUUUUCUGGAAUAAAAGAAAAAUACAUGUGCAAAGAUCCAUCGGAGGAGGUGGACCAGUGGGCCACAAGCCCACAGGCCGCGGCCACCCCCCUGGCCGCGCCGUGAGGGCUUGUGGGGCCCAUGUGGCUCCACCGCCCCCAAACUCAGCUCUAUAUCUUUCGUGUCGCCCGGAAAAAAAUCAGAGAGAAGGUUUCAUCACGUUUUGCGACACGGAGGCGCCGCCACAUCCUGUUCUUCAUCUAGAGGGCAGAUUUGGAAUCCUUUUCGGGCUCCGGAGAGGGGAAGUCGUCGCCAUCGUCAUCAUCAACCUUCCUCCAUCGACAAUUCCAUGAUUCUCUUCAUCGUUCGUGAGUAAUCUCAUCGUAGGCUUGCUGGACGGUGAUGAGUUGGAUGAUAUCUAUCAUGUAAUCGAGUUAGUUCUUGACGGGGAUUGAACCCUAGUAUCCACUAUGUUCUAGAUUGAUGUUGCUACUACUUGGCUAUGCUUAAUGCUUGUCACUAGGGCCCGAGUGCCAUGAUUUCAGAUCUGAACAUAUUAUGUUGUCGCCAAUAUAUGUGUGUUUUAGAUCCUAUCUUGCAAGUUGUAGUCAUCUACUAUGUGUUAUGACCCAGCAACCCCGGAGUGACAAUAGCUGGAACCACUCCCGAAGAUGACCAUAGUAUGAGGAGUUCAUGUAUUCACCGCGUGUUCUUUAUUAAAAGGAGAACCUUAAUAUCCCAUAGUUUCCAUUAGGACCCCGCUACCACGGGAGGGAUGGACAAUAGAUGUCAUGCAAGUUCUUUUCCCUAAGCACGAAUGACUACAUACGGAAUACAUGCCUACAUUAGAUUGAUGAACGGGAGCUAGUUACAUAUCUCUCCGUGUUAUAGUUGUUACAUGAUGAAUCACAUCCGUCACACUCAUCCAUCACCGAUCCACUUCCUACGAGUCUUUUACUACUGGUCCUUGCUAUGUUACUUUGUUUAGGCUUGUCCCUUGCGACAAAAGGGAUUGGGCCACUCUCUUGCUGCUGUUGUCACUUUGCUACUACUAUUGCUAUUGCUGUUACUCUGCUGUUGCUACCGUUGUUCCUUGCUACCUCGUUGUUACUUGUUGCAAGACCUUUUCCGACACCGUUGCCGGGGAAGAAUAUUUCCCGUCCACGGGCAACUUACUGGCGCCAUUGAUACAACAGUUAGGAAUAGUCUGCCGUCAACAGAUCGUUUCUGGCACCGUUGCUAUCAUACUACGUUGCUACUGAUACUUUGCUUGCAGACACUAAUCUUUCAGGUGUGGUUGAAUCUAAAAAACUCAGUUGCUAAUACUUGAGAAUAUUCUUUCGCUUCUCCUUUGGCGAACCAACAAAUUUGGGUUGAAUAUUCUACCCUCGAAAAUUGUUGCGAUCCCCUACACCUGUGGGUUAUCAGCGACAUCCACGUCCUUUCAAAGAUGAUUACAGAGUUGAUCUACCAUGAGAUCGUAUAUGCUAAACCCUAGAUGAUUCAGCCUCCUCCAUACGGAUAGGGGUCCCUGGUUUAUAUAGACACCAGGGUCCGACUAUAAUCGGAAAUAGAUGAGCCAACCUAUCUUUCUAAGCUUGGGGUACACGUCAAUCUUCGGGAUAUUCCUUCCAGAAUAGAGGUCAUAAUCACACCCGGUCUUCUCCAGCGCGACCCAAUGGGCUCAUCCAAUAUUGACUAACCGGCCACCCAAGGACCCCACAAUCCCGGACUCCCUCACCCAUCAAGUCUCUAUCUCACACCCACCCGCUCUUGCACGUUCAUGGCUUGGCUUCGCCGUGGCUGACACCCGUUCAUGUGGCUCCUCACCUCGUUGUCGCCAUUUUCUUUUGAGUAAAAUGCAUCCACGACACUCGAAUUUUUGCCUGAAGCUCACUUUGGUCAUUGUACAUAAGAAAUUGGUCAAUACGGUCACUAUGUAUAAGUUUAGGUAAUUAUACGGUCACUAACCGCCGUAUACCUAUGUAUUUAUCUAGGUUGACCGGUCCACUCUCCUUCUUCCUCCUUUCCCCGUCGUCCACGGCCGCCGCCCACCUGCAUCGUUGCCCCACACCUGGGUCACUGCCCCCCAUCUGCGUCGUCUCCCACCUGCACAGUCGUGCCCACCUCCGCCGCCACGCCCACCUGCGCCAUAGUCCCACACAUGUGCUGCCACCCACCUGNNNNNNNNNNNNNNNNNNNNNNNNNNNNNNNNNNNNNNNNNNNNNNNNNNNNNNNNNNNNNNNNNNNNNNNNNNNNNNNNNNNNNNNNNNNNNNNNNNNNNNNNNNNNNNNNNNNNNNNNNNACGCCCCCCCCCUGCGCCGUCGUCGUUGCCCCCCCCCCAUCUGCACCGGCGCCCACCUGCAUCGUCGCGCCCACCUCCGCAGCCCCCCACAUGCGUCGCCGCUCCCCACCUGUUCUGUAGCGGAUCCGGUGGACGGCGGCAGGGGAUUCCGAUCCGGAUCCUGGCCGGCUGCGGGCGAGUAGUGUCGCGGGGUUCGACACCCGGUGAGGGACGAGACAGCGGCGAUGGAUCCAUGGCAGAUCUGGUAGCAGCGAUGACCUUCAGGGCGUGGAGGGCAACACACGAGUUCACGCUAGAGCAACUCCGGGUCGAGGGAGCAGCGGCGGCGCGACGCGAGACGCGGAGGCGGUCGAAGGCGCGGGGCGGCGAUGCGAGGCGUCGGCGGCGAGCAGUAGGCCGGAGGGAGGCGGAGGUCGGGGCUGAGCUCCUUGGCGGCCGAGGCCCCCGGGUGCGCGAGCGCUAGGGCUUGCACAUUUACCGACGGGUGGGACCCGCGUGGUAUUGAGAGUGGACCGGUCAACCUAGANNNNNNNNNNNNNNNNNNNNNNNNNNNNNNNNNNNNNNNNNNNNNNNNNNNNNNNNNNNNNNNNNNNNNNNNNNNNNNNNNNNNNNNNNNNNNNNNNNNNNNNNNNNGACCGGUCAACCUAGACAAAUACGAAGCUAUAUGUUUUUUUGGUGACAGUCUAAUCAUCUAAACUUGUAUAUGAUGACCGUAUUGACUAACUUUUUAUGUACGAUGACCAAAGUAAGCUUCACGCGUAAGUUUGAGUACUGUGGAUGCAUUUUGGCCAGUGCUAGGCCCGGCGCGCCGGUCGCGCAGCAGCCGUCGGAUCAGGGUCCCCUGACCGUCAGAUCUGGUCGCACGAGCCCCCACCGCCCGCCAUCCUUGCAUGCGCCGCCGUCCCAGCCCCCGCCUCGCCCCCGCCGACGCCCCAGCACGCACCGACCACCUCGCCUGCGCCAACGCCCCANNNNNNNNNNNNNNNNNNNNNNNNNNNNNNNNNNNNNNNNNNNNNNNNNNNNNNNNNNNNNNNNNNNNNNNNNNNNNNNNNNNNNNNNNNNNNNNNNNNNNNNNNNNNNNNNNNNNNNNUGCCAACGCCCCAGCACGCGCCGACCGCCUCGCCUCGCCUCCUCACCGCUGGUCGCCCUCACCGUCGGUCGUCGCCUCGGCCGCCCGUCGAAAGCACCAUGGAUGCAGCCCGUCGGUCUUUACCUCGUUUCGGUCGCAUAUCACCCCCUGUGUUGCAAACGCUAGAUAAAAAGUUUCAACCAUGUGUAAAAAAGUUUCAACCGUNNNNNNNNNNNNNNNNNNNNNNNNNNNNNNNNNNNNNNNNNNNNNNNNNNNNNNNNNNNNNNNNNNNNNNNNNNNNNNNNNNNNNNNNNNNNNNNNNNNNNNNNNNNNNNNNNNNNNNNNNNNNNNNNNNNNNNNNNNAAAAAAAGCUUCAACCAAAAACUUCACGAGGGAAAGUUGCAAACGUUGACAGAAAAAGCUUCAACCGUGUAUGAAAAAAGUUUCAAACGCCGUUCCGACUGCAGCAUCUCGCGUGGUCACUCCUCAAAAGUUUCAACCGUGUAUAGAAAAGCUUCAACCGUUAAAAAAAAGCUUCAACCAAAAACUUCACAAGGAAAAAGUAUGAUUUGCCUUGCAGCUUUUUAUAUGUAUGAUUAAAGCUUUUUUAAUCAACGGUUGAAGCUUUUUUAAAUAGUCGUUGCAGCAAUUUUGAGUGACGUUUUGUAAACACUUGGAUACGUGUGUCCCGGCCAUGGUGGGCAGACGACGAGGACGACGGGCAAAAGCUAGAUCCGGCGAUGCGGACGGUCGACGGUGGUGGGAACUGGCGACUCGGGCGCGUCGACGGGGGCAGGGACCGGCGCAGCGACGGCGGCGGCACAGGGGCGCGUGGAUGAUGGGGUGCAGCGCGCGAGCCGUUCGAGAUGAGGAGGAAAUCGCAGGCCGUUCAGGAUAGGGAGGAGCGCGCGAGAUCAACGACGAGCGUGCGUCCGACCGAAGCGUUCCGCCGGCGCACGGACGGAAAACGUUUCCCAUGCAUUUUACUCUUUUCUUUUUUUCUUCAGAAACCUGAGAUAUAGCACUACAGAAUAAAGGAGAGAAGGUAUGCAACCAUUGCAUGAACAUGCAGUGGGGCUUCUCCUUUAAAAAAAUAAAUUUAAGCAGAGUACGAUAGUAUGUCUCCCAUAAGAACAGGAACAAGAACAAUAGUGCAAUCAAGCUAAGCAGACGCUAAUUGCAAAAGCAACUUAUCGACUGAUGCAUACAUAUGUGCACAUAUGUCGAUUUAUUCAUUCACUCGAGGGUGGUGGCGCACUGGGAACCCUGCACGACGACGGCCGUGAGCUGCGACGGCACGACGACAGCGACGCACUCGGCGGCGAGGGCGCGGCUGCCUGACACCCAGGCGGCCACCUUCCACCGGAGCUGCCCCUCGACGCGCAGUCUCAGCAGCAGCGUCGCCCGCCCGGCCUCUGCAGUUUCGGCCAAUGACGCUGCCGCAGAUGAAGCCGAGAGCGAGGCGGUGAGCACGGCAUCGCCCUGGGCCUGUUGGAACGGCGGGAGCGGCGCGGCGGCCGCGAGCUGGACCCCGGCGUAGGACGCGUGCGCCUGGAGCCGGUCGUAGAGCACGGCAGCGUGCGCGUUGGGGUUGUGCGCGACGAAGGCCGCGUCGAGCCGCACGAUGCCGCCGGCGGUGGCGUUGGGGGCGGUGGCCGUGGCGGCCAGCAGCGUGAAGCGCGGGCUGGAAGGGCGGAGGGUGAGCCAGAGUAUGAUGGCCAGGGCCAGCAGCGAGGCCGCCGCCGACAGCGCCCCGAUCAGCAGCCGGCGGCGCCCAGCCGAGUUGUGGUGCCGGUGCUUGGUGGCGCAGUCCCUCGGGGAGUGCUCGGGGUCAUCCGUGAUGCGGGACAUGGCGGUGCACAAGAGGAGAGGUGGUGCGUGUGAGCUGAGAUAAGGUUUGCGAGUGGCACUACCGGUAUAUAUAUCUUCUCUGGUUAUACGAGUAGUUAGUAGUGGUUGAUAUGCCCACUAAUAAACUUUGAGACUUUGUAAACAUCUGUCUAGUUACAUGGGUGAUUAUGAACUAUGAUGAAUCGAAAAUGUAUGGUUUCUUGCUUGCUGCUGCAUCAACCAUCAUGUCGUCUUUCCUCUCCUUUUUUUCCCUUUGGCCUGAGGAGAAGAAAAGCACCGGCCUGCCUGCCCUGAUGGAGACGUCCAUGGCUGGCUAGGCUACAUCACAAGAUGCUAAAGUUGCCAAGGAAGAUGCAUGUGUAUAUCCAUGGCUGGUGAAUUAGCUAGCAGUUAAGACCAGACAAGAGGGAGCAAAGGAGAUUAGGAAGCUGGUAAUCAUCAUUACCAUCAUAUAAUCUAGGAAAGUGGGAGAAGGAAAGCAACCUUUCCCCCCUUUCUCUUCUUCCUUUUCACAAAGUAGGAAGCUAGCUAUGUGAUCUGCCUCUGCCCUCUGCUGGUGCUGGAAGGAAAGUGGGGGUGGAUUCUUCAUGUUUGUAUGUGAAGCACGAAUGAAUUGCCAUGAGGAACAAGAAAAGGCAAAGAUAUACCAAAGUGGAUUCUCGAACAUUCAAGUCUGCUGCCUCACUCAUCCUCAGCCCCACUCAAAUUAUUCUUCUUGUCACACUAAUCAAUUCUUCAUAAGUGAAUAGUAACUCUCAGCUUACUGUACUAAGCAACAAAAAAACUUUUACUAAACAAAAUAUAUCAACUAAGAUGUGAGAACAAUUUACUGGCAUGGUGCUAAUUAAGGGUGUGAGGGUAGGUGUUAUGAUAAAAAAAACUUGGCAACAUCAUACCUAGCACCGAGCAAGUUAUGUAUCACUCGGGACGUGUGUCCGAACUUCAUGAAUUGAAGGUGAAGGAGUGUAAGAACAUAAGAGACACAAAGAACAAGAGGAAAAAAAAACACUAGUCAAACACAUAGAUACAAGUAGAAAUCACUCAAGAAACAUAAGAUCCUCAAACCAACCAUACAUCCCACGACAAAUUCUACUCAAAGAGUUUCAAUUGAUCCAACAACUUCAAGGAAGAAAGGUAAAACGAGGAAACAUAGUUCAUCCCCAAAAUUUAACAGAUGGAAUUCUUGUGCUUCAUGGAAGCCUUCACCCAUGAGGGUAUUGUAGUUGAAUGGACUCUUCUCCCAUGUGAGGUCUUGUACUCCUCACAGAGUUUUCUCCCUCCGAGGUCUUGAUCCCCAUUUUGGGAAGUUAGAUGAGCAAGGCUCUAUCAAGCACUUAGUUUAUAUUUUUACUAACCCUAGACCUGACCAAAGGAAAUGUCUUUAUACUUAAGGGACGAAGGGGGGUUGGUGGGAUACAUGGGCUUCAGACUGUUUUCAGCGUAUGGACAUUCCCCCGAACCGUCUCGAUAAAUCAAUCUGGACUGCCUUGUGGGACCUCCUAUUCAUCGACCUAGACGGCACAAAAAGAGCAAACAUGAACCCCCUAUCCCCACUUCUCGGCUUCUCGCCCAUGCUUUUAGGUUGGCCCAUUUGUUGGGCACGAGAAAAUGUUCAAGAUUUCAAACAAAGUCACAUUUUAAAAUCUUCACAAAAUUUAAAAAUUCUCCUGAAUUCAAAAAAUAUUUUAGUUUGGGAAAAAAUUCAAAAUUUUGAAAAUCUUUCGUGAAUUCCAAAAAAAUGUGAUUCAAAAAAUUGUUUGUGAAUUCAAAAAAAAUCUGAAUUUUAAAAAGUCUAUGAAGCUUAUUAAAAUAUGUUCAUGAAUUUUGGACAAACUUUUUAUGAGUUUCAAACAAUGUUAGUGAAUUUCAAAAAACAUUUGCGAUUUCUCAAAAUGUGCACAAUUUCAAAAAAAAUCAUGGCUUGUAAAAAUGUUCAUGGAUUCAAAAAAUAUUCAUGAUUUCAAAUAUUGUUAGUGAAUUAAAAAAAUGUUCAUGAUUUAAAAAUAUAUUCAUGAAUAGCUAAUACAGAGUUCACAAUUUCGAAAAAUGGCAUGUAUUUUUAAAACAAAUGUUCAUGAAUUUGAAAACUGUUCACAAUUACAGAAAAUGUUCGGGAUUUAAAAAAAUGUUCACAAUUCAAAAAAUAAAUUGCAAGUCAGAAAAAUAUUCAUGAUUUCAAAACAAUAUUCGAGAAUUUGAAAAUACAUACUCAAAAUGAAAAAUAAAAGGGAAAGAAAAAAAUUAAGCAAAAAAGUAAAAGGGGGAAAAAGAAAAGAAAAAAUAAAAUGAGAAAAAAUAAAAGAGGAGCUUGCGCUACUGGGCCAACCCAAAUUCACGCAGCGAGGGAGGGGGAGCUGUUGAGGUCGGAGAGGUCGAGGUUCUCCUUCUCGCCGCCCAUAGUCGCGUCUCCGGUGACGGUGAGGCCUACUUGGACUUCGCCGGGGCAGUGACCGAGCGAUGAGCCACCAGUAGGACGGCUUCAUGUGAGAUGCACAGAGAUAUAGAGAUAGAGAUAGAUAGAUAGAUAGAUAGAUAGAUAGAGAGAGAGAGAGAGAGACCGCGUGCAUGAGGAAGCCACAACUCGGCGAGAGGAGGAGGCGAGAGACGGCUGGGCCCCUACCUCACUUCCUCCUCGUAGCUCCCAAUCAGGAACGGAUCGAGCUGCAACCAACCGUCAGGUCGCGCCCGACCUCAUCGACUCUCAUCUUCCCUGUUUCAUGUAGGUGCCUCACCAGCACGUGCAAGGAGCACCCCAAGAUUUCUAUCGAAGAACAUGGUAUGAGAACGUGCAAUCAACCCCUAUGCAUAGAUUCACAAGGUGUCACGCCCAAGAUGCGACCCUAUCCUCAAUUUGGCACGAGAACCUCGUCAGGGAUAGAAGCGCAUCUCGUCGUGUCGCAAGAAUGGAUAUCGUUACAAAAGUACAUGUACUGAAAAGAAAGGAUAUAUAAAGAGUUGGCUUACACUCGCCACAAGCUACAUCAGAGUCACAUCAGUACAUUACGUAGUCAUCAAGAGUAAGAGCAGGGUCCGACUACGGACGAAAACAAACGAUCAAAGGAGAACGACGCCCAUCCUUGCUAUCCCAGGAUGCCGGCCUAGAACCCAUCCUAGAUCGAUGAAGAAGAAGAAGAAGCAACCCCAAAUGAACAAUCAACGCGCUCGCGUCAAGUAACCUUUACCUGUACCUGCAACUGGUGUUGUAGUAAUCUGUGAGCCACAGGGGACUCGGCAAUCUCAUUUCCAAAGGUAUCAAGACUAGCAAAGCUUAAUGGGUGAGGUAUGGUUAAGUGGUGAGGUUGCAGCAGCGGCUAAGCAUAUAUUUGGUGGCUAAACUUACGAUUACCAGAAAUAAGAGGGGAAGUUCUACGCAUAGCGGACGUGAACUACUGUUGAUCAAAUGAAUGAUCCUGACCACCUACCCAUGUCAGACAUAACCCCACCGUGUCCUCGAUCGGAGAAAGAUCUCACGAAGGAGACAGUCACGGUUACGCACACAGUUGGCAAGUUUUAAUUAAGUUAACUUCAAGUUAUCUAGAACCAGUGUUAAACAAAAUAUCCACGUUGCCACAUAACCGCGGGCACGGCUUUCCGAAAGAUUUAACCCUGCAGGGGUGCUCCAACUAGUCCAUCACAAAUUACCACAAGCCGCAUGGAAAUCCUCAAUCACGAAGCUCGCGAUCUCGUCGGAUUCCCUAGUGGAAAACCUGAACUCUGAGAUUACCCAAAGCAUCACCGGAAUCCCGAUGCACAAGAUAUCUCGUCAAAGGUAAAACNNNNNNNNNNNNNNNNNNNNNNNNNNNNNNNNNNNNNNNNNNNNNNNNNNNNNNNNNNNNNNNNNNNNNNNNNNNNNNNNNNNNNNNNNNNNNNNNNNNNAAAUACUUGACACGCAGAAAACAGUAGCAACAAAAUGACACGAUCAACAUGCUACGUCUAUUAGUUUGGGUCUAGUCCAUCAUGUGAUUCUCCCAAUGACGUGAUCCAGUUAUCAAGCAACAACACCUUCUUCAUAAUCAGAAGACACUGACUAUCAUCGAUCAACUGGCUAGCCAAUUAGAGGCAUGCUAGGGACGGUGUUUUGUCUAUGUAUCCACACAUGUAAAUGAGUCUUCAUUCAAUACAAUUAUAUCAUGGAUAAUAAACUAUUAUCUUGAUACAGGAAUUAUAAUAAUAACUAUACAUUUAUUAUUGCCUCUAGGGCAUAAUUCCAACAGUCUCCCACUUGCACUAGAGUCAAUAGCUAGCCUUCACAUCACCAUGUGAAUUACAUUGUAAUAAAUCUAACACCCAUACAGUUCUGGUGUCGAUCAUGUUUUGGCCGUGGAAGAGGUUUAGUCAGCGGGUCUGCUACAUUCAGAUCCGUGUGCACCUUGCAUAUAUUUACGUCCUCCUCCUCGACGUAGUCGCGGAUGAGGUUGAAGCGUCGUUUGAUGUGUCUGGUCUUCUUGUGAAACCUUGGUUCCUUUGCUAGGGCAAUGGCACCAGUGUUGUCACAGAACAAGGUUAUUGGAUCCAGUGCACUUGGCACCACUCCAAGAUCCGUCAUGAACUGCUUCAUCCAGACACCCUCCUUAGCCGCCUCCGAGGCAGCCAUGUACUCUGCUUCACAUGUAGAAUCUGCUACGACGCUUUGCUUGGAACUGCACCAGCUUACUGCACCCCCAUUAAGAAUAAAUACGUAUCCGGUUUGCGACUUAGAGUCGUCCAGAUCUGUGUCAAAGCUUGCAUCGACGUAACCUUUUACGGCAAGCUCUUCGUCACCUCCAUACACGAGAAACAUCUCCUUAGUCCUUUUCAGGUACUUCAGGAUAUUCUUGACCGCUGUCCAGUGAUCCACUCCUGGAUUACUCUGGAACCUACCUGCCAUACUUAUGGUCAGGCUAACAUCCGGUCUAGUGCACAGCAUCGCAUACAUGAUAGAACCUAUGGCUGAAGCGUAGGGGACGGUGCGCAUAUGCUCUCUAUCCUCAUCAGUUGCUGGGCACUGAGUCUUACUCAAUCUCGUACCUUGUAAAACUGGCAAGAACCCUUUCUUGGACUGUUCCAUUUUGAACCUCUUCAAAACUUUAUCAAGGUACGUGCUUUGUGAAAGUCCUAUCAGGCGUUUUGAUCUAUCCCUAUAGAUCUUAAUGCCUAGAAUGUAAGCAGCUUCUCCUAGGUCCUUCAUAGAGAAACUUUUAUUCAAGUAACCUUUUAUGCUCUCCAAAAGCUCUACGUUGUUUCCAAUCAGUAAUAUGUCAUCCACAUAUAAUAUUAGAAACGCCACAGAGCUCCCACUCACUUUCUUGUAAAUACAAGAUUCUCCAACCACUUGUAUAAACCCAAAUGCUUUGAUCACCUCAUCAAAGCGUUUGUUCCAACUCCGAGAUGCUUGCACCAGUCCAUAAAUGGAUCGCUGGAGCUUGCACACUUUGUCAGCAUUUUUAGGAUCGACAAAACCUUCGGGUUGCAUCAUAUACAACUCUUCCUUAAGGAAACCGUUAAGGAACGCCGUUUUGACAUCCAUCUGCCAGAUUUCAUAAUCGAAAAAUGCAGCUAUUGCUAACAUGAUUCUGACGGACUUAAGCAUCGCUACGGGUGAGAAGGUCUCAUCGUAGUCAACUCCUGGAACUUGUGAAAAACCCUUUGCCACAAGUCGAGCUUUAUAAACGGUCACAUUACCGUCAGCGUCCGUCUUCUUCUUAAAAAUCCAUUUGUUCUGAAUAGCCUUGCGGCCCUCAGGUAGUAUCUCUAAAGUCCACACUUUGUUCUCAUACAUGGAUCCUAUCUCGGAUUUCAUGGCUUCUAGCCAUUUGUUGGAAUCUGGGCCCACCAUUGCUUCUUCAUAAUUUGCAGGUUCAUUGUUGUCUAACAACAUGAUUGAUAAGACGGGAUUACUGUACCACUCUGGAGCAGCGCGUGAUCUCGUCGACCUGCGUGGUUCAACAGAAACCUGAACUGGAGUUUCAUGAUCAUCAUCAUUAACUUCCUCCUCAACCGCCGUCGCAACGACAGAGGUUUCCCCUUGUCCUGCGCCACCAUCUAGAGGGAUGAGAGGUUCGACAACCUCGUCAAGUUCUAUCUUCCUCCCACUCAAUUCUCUCGAGAGAAACUCCUUCUCGAGAAAAGUUCCGUUCUUAGCAACAAACACUUUGCCCUCGGAUUUGAGAUAGAAGGUGUACCCAACUGUCUCUUUUGGGUAACCUAUGAAGACGCAUUUUUCUGCUUUGGGUUCCAGCUUUUCAGGCUGAAGCUUUUUGACAUAAGCAUCACAUCCCCAAACUUUAAGAAACGACAACUUUGGCCUUUUGCCAUACCACAGUUCGUAUGGUGUCGUUUUAAAGGAUUUUGAUGGUGCCCUAUUUAAAGUGAAUGCAGCUGUUUCUAAUGCAUAACCCCAAAAUGAUAACGGCAAAUCAGUAAGAGACAUCAUAGAUCGCACCAUCUCUAACAAAGUACGAUUACGACGUUCGGACACACCAUUACGCUGUGGUGUUCCAGGCGGUGUUAACUGCGAAACAAUUCCACAUUGUCUUAAGUGAGCACCAAACUCGAAACUCAGAAAUUCACCCCCACGAUCAGACCGUAGGAACUUGAUCUUCUUGUUACGAUGAUUUUCCACUUCACUCUGAAAUUGCUUGAACUUUUCAAAUGUUUCAGACUUGUGCUUCAUCAAGUAGACAUAACCAUAUCUACUUAAAUCGUCAGUGAAGGUGAGGAAAUAACGAUAUCCGCCGCGUGCCUCUACGCUCAUUGGACCACACACAUCGGUAUGUAUGAUUUCCAACAAGUCACUUGCACGCUCCAUUGUUCCGGAGAACGGAGUCUUAGUCAUCUUGCCCAUGAGGCAUGGUUCGCACGUGUCAAGUGAAUCAAAGUCAAGUGACUCCAAAAGUCCAUCAGCAUGGAGUUUCUUCACGCGCUUUACACCAAUAUGACCCAAGCGGCAGUGCCACAAAAAUAUGGCGCUAUCAUUGUUUACUCUAACUCUUUUGGUCUCAAUGUUAUGUAUAUGCGUAUCUCUAUCAAGAUUCAAUAUGAACAAUCCUCUCACAUUCGGUGCAUGACCAUAAAAGAUGUUACUCAUAGAAAUAGAACAACCAUUAUUCUCAGACUUAAAAGAGUAACCGUCUCGCAAUAAACAAGAUCCAGAUAUAAUGUUCAUGCUCAACGCAGGCACUAAAUAACAAUGAUUUAAGUUCAUCACUAAUCCCGAUGGUAGCUGAAGUGACACUGUGCCGACGGCGAUUGCAUCAACCUUGGAACCAUUUCCUACGCGCAUCGUCACUUCGUCUUUCGCCAGCCUUCGUCUAUUCCGCAGUUCCUGUUUCGAGUUGCAAAUGUGAGCAACAGAACCGGUAUCGAAUACCCAGGCACUACUACGAGAGCCGGUUAAGUACACAUCAAUAACAUGUAUAUCAAAUAUACCUGAUUUUUCUUUGCCCGCCUUCUUAUCUGCCAGAUACUUGGGGCAAUUGCGCUUCCAGUGACCCAUACCCUUGCAAUAGAAGCACUCUGUUUCAGGCUUAGGUCCAGCCUUGGGUUUCUUCGGCGGAUUGGCAACAGGCUUGCCGCUCUUCCUAGAAUUGCCCUUCUUGCCUUUGGCGUUUCUCUUGAAACUAGUGGUCUUGCUCACCAUCAACACUUGAUGCUCUUUACGGAGUUCAGACUCUGCGACUUUUAGCAUCGCAAACAACUCGCCGGGAGACUUGUUCAUCCCUUGCAUGUUGUAGUUCAACACAAAGCCUUUAUAGCUUGGCGGCAGUGAUUGAAGGAUUCUGUCAGUGAUAGCCUCUUGCGGGAGUUCAAUCCCCAGCUCAGCCAGACGGUUUGAGUACCCAGACAUUUUGAGCACAUGUUCACUGACAGACGAGUUUUCCUCCAUCUUGCAAGCAUAGAAUUUAUCGGAGGUCUCAUACCUCUCGAUCCGUGCGUUCUUCUAAAAGAUAAACUUCAACUCCUGGAACAUCUCAAAUGCUCCAUGACCCUCAAAGCGACGUUGAAGUCCCGGUUCUAAGCCAUACAAGACUGCACAUUGAACUAUUGAGUAGUCCUCCUUACGCGCUAACCAAGCGUUCUUAACAUCCCGAUCAGCCGUAGCGGGUGGUUCAUCUCCUAGCGCAGCAUUAAGGACAUAAUCCUUCUUCCCAGCUUGUAAGAUUAGCUUAAGAUUACGAGCCCAGUCUACAAAGUUGCUUCCAUCAUCUUUCAACUUAGCUUUCUCUAGGAACGUAUUAAAAUUCAGGAUGACACUCGCGUGAGCCAUGAUCUACAACACAAAUAUAUUCAAAGUGGACUUUAGACUAUGUUCAAGAUAAUUAGAGUUUAACUUAAUCAAAUUAUAUGCUAAACUCCCACUCAAAAAGUACAUCUCUCUAGUCAUUUGAGUGGUUCAUGAUCCACUUACACAAUCCCAAGUCCGAUCAUCACGUGAGUUGAGUAUAGUUUCAGUGGUAAGCAUCCCUAUGCUAAUCAUAUCAACUAUAUGAUUCAUGAUCGACCUUUCGGUCUCAUGUGUUCCGAGGCCAUGUCUGCACAUGCUAGGAUCGUCAAGCUUAACCCGAGUGUUCCGCGUGCGCAACUGUUUUGCACCCGUUGUAUGUGAACGUUGAGUCUAUCACACCCGAUCAUCACGUGGUGUCUCGAAACGACGAACUGUAGCAACGGUGCACAGUCGGGGAGAACACAAUUUCGUCUUGAAAUUUUAGUGAGAGAUCACCUCAUAACGCUACCGUCGUUCUAAGCAAAAUAAGGUGCAUAAAAGGAUUAACAUCACAUGCAAUUCAUAAGUGACAUGAUAUGGCCAUCAUCACGUGCUUCUUGAUCUCCAUCACCAAAGCACCGGCACGAUCUUCUAGUCACCGGCGCCACACCAUGAUCAUCCAUCAACGUGUUGCCAUCGGGGUUGUCGUGCUACUUAUGCUAUUACUACUAAAGCUACAUCCUAGCAAAAUAGUAAACGCAUCUGCAAGCACAUAUGUUACUAUAAAGACAACCCUAUGGAUCCUGCCAGUUGCCGUACCAUCGACGUGCAAGUCGAUAUUUCUAUUACAACAUGAUCAUCUCAUACAUCCAAUAUAUCACAUCACAUCGUUGGCCAUAUCACAUCACAAUCAUACCCUGCAAAAACAAGUUAGACGUCCUCUAAUUUUGUUGUUGCAUGUUUUACGUGGUGACCAAGGGUAUCUAGUAGGAUCGCAUCUUACUUACGCAAACACCACAACGGAGAUAUAUGAGUUUCUAUUUAACCUCAUCCAAGGACCUCCUCGGUCAAAUCCGAUUCAACUAAAGUUGGAGAAACCGUCACUUGCCAGUCAUCUUUGAGCAAAGGGGGUUACUCGUAACGAUGAAACCAGUCUCUCGUAAGCGUACGAGUAAUGUCGGUCCAAGCCGCUUCAAUCCAACAAUACCGCGGAAUCAAGAAAAGACUAAGGAGGGCAGCAAAACGCACAUCACCGCCCACAAAACCUUUUGUGUUCUACUCNNNNNNNNNNNNNNNNNNNNNNNNNNNNNNNNNNNNNNNNNNNNNNNNNNNNNNNNNNNNNNNNNNNNNNNNNNNNNNNNNNNNNNNNNNNNNNNNNNNNNNNNNNNNNNNNNNNNNNNNNNNNNNNNNNNNNNNNNNNNNNNNNNNNNNNNNNNNNNNNNNNNNNNNNNNNNNNNNNNNNNNNNCUGUUGGGGAACGUCGCAUGGGAAACAAAAAAUUUCCUACGCGCACGAAGACCUAUCAUGGUGAUGUCCAUCUACGAGAGGGGAUGAGUGAUCUACGUACCCUUGUAGAUCGUACAGCAGAAGCGUUAGUGAACGCGGUUGAUGUAGUGGAACGUCCUCACGUCCCUCGAUCGGCCCCGCGAACAAUCCCGCGAUCAGUCCCACGAUCUAGUACCGAACGGACGACACCUCCGCGUUCAGCACACGUACAGCUCGACGAUGAUCUCGGCCUUCUUGAUCCAGCAAGAGAGACGGAGAGGUAGAAGAGUUCUCCGGCAGCGUGACGGCGCUCCGGAGGUUGGUGAUGACCUUGUCUCAGUAGGGCUCCGCCCGAGCUCCGCAGAAACGCGAUCUAGAGGAAAAACCGUGGAGGUAUGUGGUCGGGCUGCCGUGGAAAAGUCGUCUCAAAUCAGCCCUAAAACCUCCGUAUAUAUAGGUGGGAGGGAGGGGAGGAGGCAGCCUCAAAACCUAAAGGUUUGGCCGAAAUUGGAGGUGGAGGAGUCCUACUCCAAUCCUACUUGGAGUAGGAUUCCACCUUCCCACUUGGAAACUCUUUCCACCUUGUGUUUUUUCCUUCUCAAACCUUAUGGGCCUUAGUGGGAACUUAUUCCAGCCCACUAGGGGCUGGUUUAUCUCUUCCCAUAGCCCAUGAGACCCCUUGGGGCGUGACACCCCUCCCGAUGGUCCCCGGCACCCCUCCCGGCACUCCCGGUACACUACCGAUGAGCCCGAAACUUUUCCGGUAAUGCACGAAAACCUUCCGAUAACCAAAUGAGGUCAUCCUAUAUAUCAAUCUUCGUUUACGGACCAUUCCGGAAACCCUCGUGACGUCCGUGAUCUCAUCCGGGACUCCGAACAACAUUCAGUAACCAACCAUAUAANNNNNNGAAAACCUUCCGGUAAUCAAAUGAGGUCAUCCUAUAUAUCAAUCUUCGUUUCCGGACCAUUCCGGAAACCCUCGUGACGUCCGUGAUCUCAUCCGGGACUCCGAACAACAUUCGGUAACCAACCAUAUAACUCAAAUACGCAUAAAACAACGUCGAACCUUAAGUGUGCAGACCCUGCGGGUUCGAGAACUAUGUAGACAUGACCCGAGAGACUCCUCGGUCAAUAUCCAAUAGCGGGACCUGGAUGCCCAUAUUGGAUCCUACAUAUUCUACGAAGAUCUUAUCGUUUGAACCUCAGUGCCAAGGAUUCAUAUAAUCCCGUAUGUCAUUCCCUUUGUCCUUCGGUAUGUUACUUGCCCGAGAUUCGAUCGUUAGUAUCCGCAUACCUAUUUCAAUCUCGUUUACCGUUAAGUCGCUUUACUUGUUCCGUAAUACAAGANNNNNNNNNNNNNNNNNNNNNNNNNNNNNNNNNNNNNNNNNNNNNNNNNNNNNNNNNNNNNNNNNNNNNNNNNNNNNNNNNNNNNNNNNNNNNNNNNNNNNNNNNNNNNNNNNNNNNNNNNNNNNNNNNNNNNNNNNNNNNNNNNNNNNNNUAAGUUACAUUGCUUGCAAGGCUUGUGUGUGAUGUUGUAUUACCGAGUGGGCCCCGAGAUACCUCUCCGUCACACGGAGUGACAAAUCCCAGUCUUGAUCCAUACUAACUCAACUAACACCUUCGGAGAUACCUGUAGAGCAUCUUUAUAGUCACCCAGUUACGUUGCGACGUUUGAUACACACAAAGCAUUCCUCCGAUGUCCGUGAGUUAUAUGAUCUCAUGGUCAUAGGAACAAAUACUUGACACGCAGAAAACAGUAGCAACAAAAUGACACGAUCAACAUGCUACGUCUAUUAGUUUGGGUCUAGUCCAUCACAUGAUUCUCCUAAUGAUGUGAUCCCGUUAUCAAGUGACAACACUUGCCUAUGGCCAGGAAACCUUGACCAUCUUUGAUCAACGAGCUAGUCAACUAGAGGCUCACUAGGGACAGUGUUUUGUCUAUGUAUCCACACAAGUAUUGUGUUUCCAAUCAAUACAAUUAUAGCAUGGAUAAUAAACGAUUAUCAUGAACUAAGAAAUAUAAUAAUAACUAAUUUAUUAUUGCCUCUAGGGCANNNNNNNNNNNNNNNNNNNNNNNNNNNNNNNNNNNNNNNNNNNNNNNNNNNNNNNNNNNNNNNNNNNNNNNNNNNNNNNNNNNNNNNNNNNNNNNNNNNNCGACGUUCCCCAACAGAAUUUGGAGAGGUCAUAUGCGUUCUCAAAUUUGAAGAAAAAGGAUAGGUUUGACAGUUUGAGGAAUAUAACCAGUGGUUGAGGAAUUUGCUUAAGUAUUCUGUUCUUGGGUUCCAGAGUUGUACAGAUCCGAAAAUUCGCACAAUUGAGGAAUCUCGUGAAAAUCUUAGAUGCUUAGCUAGUUCAUCAAUGAUUGUGGUGAUGGAUAGUGUGUGAGGAAUCAUGUGCGCAUCGUAUCUUGAAGAAAAACAGAUUUCACAAGGGAGAGGUAAAAUUUUAGAUCUAAUCUGUUGUAAAAAUGGGAUAUAUUUACCCUGGAAGGUGCGAACGAAGAACACAAAAAGGUGGCGUUGAAGAGGCUCUUCGGUCAAGUGUCCAAUGUACCCUAACUUGGCAGCAGAGGACGUCUACGGCGGCGGCGGACGUAGAUGUUUCGUCUCCGGCGUGAUCCUGGUGGCGAGAAGGUUGAGGCAGUGAAGCUCUUCCUUGCCGGCGUCAAGACUUCCAGCGGUGGCGCUAGGGUUCGGUGUGCUGUGGCAGGAGAGCGAUGAGGCGAAGAAGAUGAUACCGAGGGGGUUAAGGACAUAUUUCUAACCCAAAAGUUAUUGUUUGGCACGAAAGUUUAGGACCGAAUAGCCCUUGCCUCUACGUCUCCGCAGGAGACGUGUAGCUCCCGUACGAUGCGGUGGAGAUAGUGGAGAUCGUGGCUAUCCAAUCGUGGGAAGUGGGGGUUCAGUUACUGUUCCUUUGAAGAAAACAAUUUUUCGAAGAUUUGAGGAUUUUCGUUACAAAAUCAUCAGCUGACAAGGAUGCAGUGAGGAUUUGGAACAAAGUUUCAAGUAGAACGCAUAUGAAGAAUUGAAUAGACUGGAUAAGUAUAGCAUAGAGGGAAGAUCGGGUCCGAUCACAUUCACUUAGCAGAAACAUCAACUUGAAGAAAUAGCAAUAAGUGAAUGCUGUUGAGGACUAGAAAUCUCAGUCUACCUAGGCAAAUGAAAGUCAUCAAGUGUUUUUGAAGAUUUUGCAAUAGAUCAUCACAAUGAAGAACAACUGUUUUGAAGAAAAAUGCAUUGUGAGGAAUUUGAUCAUUUGAAGAAAAUCAACUUGAGGAAUUUCACAUUGGGCGGUGGCGUUGCCCACCAUAUAAGAAAGUUGAUUACAGACGCCGCGUACAAUUGUCGUAGGGCCCUGAGAAUCAAUUUCUUUGUUAAUUUCUUCACAUUCAGAGUGACUUUCUUCAUCGGUUGAAGAAAAUCGUUUCAUCAUGUGUUGCACAUCUAAGUCAUCAACUUUGCAUAAGUGUUAGGAUGUGUGCAUGUUUUUACAAAACAUUUGAAGAUUCUAAAUAUUUAGCUCACACCGCAACUUGCAAAACCUUUUCUCAUCCAAGGGCUUAGUGAAGAUAUCAGCCAGUUGAUCAUCAGUCUUCACAUGGUCGAUGAGGAUAUUGCCCUUGAGGACAUGGUCCCGAAGAAAAUGAUGACGAAUCUGGAUGUGCUUGGUCUUCGAUUGCUGUACUGGGUUGUAGGCAAUCUUGAUAGCACUCUCAUUGUCACAAUAGAGAGGCACAUUCUUCAUGUUGAUGCCGUAGUCCUUGAGGGUUUGCUUCAUCCAUAGUAAUUGAGCACAGCAAGAACCAGCAGCAAUGUACUCAGCUUCGGCAGUGGAGAGUGAUACGCAGUUCUGCUUCUUUGAGGACCAGCAAAGAAGUGAUCUUCCGAGGAAAUGGCAUGUGCCAGAUGUUGACUUGCGAUCCACACGGUCACCAGCAUAGUCUGAAUCAGAAUACCCUACCAGAUGAAGAUUGGAGCCCUUGGGAUACCAUAAUCCUAGUGUUGGUGUGUGAGCCAAGUAUCGAAGAAUAUGUUUCACAGCCUUAUGGUGUGAUUCCUUCGGUUUUGCUUGAAAACGUGCACACAUGCAAACACUAAGCAUUAUGUCUGGCCUAGAUGCACAUAGAUACAAUAAAGAGCCAAUCAUAGAACGGUAUACCUGCUGAUCGAAAUCUUUACCAUUUUCAUCAGUGCCGAGGUGACCGUUGGUAGGCAUUGGAGUCUUGGCACCUUUGCAUUCAUGCAUGUCGAAUUUCCUCAGAACAUCCUUGAGGUAUUUCUCCUGUGAUAUGAAGAUUCCAUUGUUUUGUUGACGAAUUUGAAGACCUAAGAAGAAUUUCAGCUCCCCCAUCAUAGACAUCUGAUAUUCUUCACUCAUCAUAUAGGCAAAUUCAUCACUGUAUCUUUUGUCAGUACAACCAAAUAUGAUAUCAUCAACAUAAAUUUGACAUACAAACAGUUCAUUAUCAUAAGAUUUUGUGAAAAGAGUUGGAUCGAGUGAACCAGGUUAGAAGCCUUUCUUCAUGAGNNNNNNNNNNNNNNNNNNNNNNNNNNNNNNNNNNNNNNNNNNNNNNNNNNNNNNNNNNNNNNNNNNNNNNNNNNNNNNNNNNNNNNNNNNNNNNNNNNNNUGAGAAAACCCAAAAAUAUUUUUCUUUCUUCUCUUGCUUGUUGGGAGCUUUCCCAUGUAAAUAGUUUUCUUUUUCUUUUGGUCAAGGUAGAAGAUAUUGGUUACAAUGUUUAUUGGUUCUUGCAUGCUUACCUGUUUAGCUUUAAAAGAGCCAUAUUAUUUUGUCUGCUCCUAUGUGUUUGCUUGCAGAUUCAGCUUAGUCCAAUGCACUUACUAUCGUUUUCAUCAUUCGAUCAUGCAAAUGAAAGGCAACAAUGAUGAUAUAUGAUGAAGUGACUAAGACUGAAAAGCUGGUAUGAACUCUAUCUAUUUUGUUUUUCUAAAUAUGACUAGCUUGUCGACCCAAAUUUAGCUUUGUUGUGAGAGAACCAUGUUUGCAAUGACAACUUAGAGAUCAUAGUUUCUGAUGCCAUGCUUAUUUAGCUGAGAGCUUAUAAUGGUUUGUCUUGAAUGCCAACAUAGAUUUUGAGAUGACUAUGAUGUAGUAUGAUAGGAUGGUAUUCUCCUUUGAAUGUUUCAAGUGGAUUGACUUGGCGCAUGUUCAUGCAUGUAGUUGAACCAAAAUCAACAUAGCCUCUAUGAUGUUCGUGUUCAUGGUGAUUUAUAUCUUGUACAUGCUUGCAUUCAAUGUUAGCCAAACUCAUUGCAUCUUGAUGACUGUUGUCGCUCUCUAGUUGGUCGCUUCCGAGUCUUUUGCUAGCCUUCACUUGUACUAAGCGGAAUACUGCUUGUGCAUCCACUUCCAUAAACCCAUAAGUUUUUUCAUGAGAGUCCACCAUACCUACCUAUUUGCGGUAUCUNNNNNNNNNNNNNNNNNNNNNNNNNNNNNNNNNNNNNNNNNNNNNNNNNNNNNNNNNNNNNNNNNNNNNNNNNNNNNNNNNNNNNNNNNNNNNNNNNNNNNNNNNNNNNNNNNNNNNNNNNNNNNNNNNNNNNNNNNNNNNNNNNNNNNNNNNNNNNNCCUGCCGUUCCAAGUAAAUUUGCAUGUGCCAUUCUCUAAACCUUCAAGAAAUAAUCUGUUUUGCAUGCCCGAACCGCUCAUGUGGUGACAGAGGGCUAUUGGUAUCUUCCAUGCUAGGAGUGUUAUCCUCGACAUGUGUUUAUUCACAGUCAUUCACGAGAAAGGGGUCGGUAAUUGGAAUGCCCAGUUCCACGCUUAAAUUGAAAACAUAAUUGUAAAACAAUACUCCCCCGGGAUUGAUGUUAGUAUGGACGGUACCCGAGGAUUCGGCUAGCCGUGGAGUGUGAUUGAUUGGUGGUGGGGGAGUUAAAACUUUACUUUUAUGUUUGAGAACCGCCUUGAGCAUGAGUAGCAUGGAAGAUAUUGAGAACUCUUGGUCAUUGUGUUGACAAUGAAAGCAUGCCACCCAAAAUUAUUAUCUUUGUUUUCAAAGCUUGAGCUCUGGCACCUCUGCAGAUCAAUGCUUCCCUGUGCGAAGGGCCUGUCUAUUUAUUUUCCUGUCGAGUCAUCCUCUUCUUAUAUAAGCACCAAUUAGACAGCACCUCUAUCAUUUUUAUGCUUUGCUUUUGAUUGAUAUUGAGUAUGACUAUGACUGGAUCUUCGUUGCUAUGAAUUACAAUGUUUAGUCAGCCCUUGAUCUUUGAAAGUGCUCUGCAUUUAUGUUUUGCGGUCUCAGAAAGAGCUAGCGAGAUACCACCUAUUCAUAUUGCUUCAUGCUUGUUUUGAUUGAAGUGUUGGUAUGUGAAACUCAUUACUAUUUGCUCGUUAGCUGAUUAUGCCAUUGAUAUUAGUUUACCGUGAGACCUUUGUGUCAUUUGCUUAUGUGGUUAACUUGUGAUCUUGCUGAAAUUCUGAUUAUGAGUUAGACAUAGUCGCAACAACAAGAUCAAACAGAUUUGUCAAAGUUUUUCUUUCUCUCUCAGUUUGUCAACUGAGUUGCUUGAGGACAAGCAAGAUUUUAAGCUUGGGGGANNNNNNNNNNNNNNNNNNNNNNNNNNNNNNNNNNNNNNNNNNNNNNNNNNNNNNNNNNNNNNNNNNNNNNNNNNNNNNNNNNNNNNNNNNNNNNNNNNNNNNNNNNNNNNNNNNNNNNNNNNNNNNNNNNNNNNNNNNNNNNNNNNNNNNNNNNNNNNNNCUACUUUUCCAAACUCUUUUGCCCUUGUUUUGGACUCUAAUUUGCAUGAUUUGAAUGGAACUAACCUCGACUGACGCUGUUUUCAGCAGAAUUGCCUUGGUGUUAUUUUUUCGCACAAAUCAAAGUUCUCCAAACGUCCUGAAAAUUUAGGGAGAUAAGUUUUGGAAAAUAAGAAAAAUAUAUGUGCCAAGUUCCACCUGAGGGGGUGGGCCAGUGGGCUACAAGCCCUUGCUCCACCACCACCCCCUGGUGNNNNNNNNNNNNNNNNNNNNNNNNNNNNNNNNNNNNNNNNNNNNNNNNNNNNNNNNNNNNNNNNNNNNNNNNNNNNNNNNNNNNNNNNNNNNNNNNNNNNNNNNNNNNNNNNNNNNNNNNNNNNNNNNNNNNNNNNNNNNNNNNNNNNNNNNNNNNNNNNNNNNNNNNNNNNNNNNNNNNNNNNNNNGCUUGUGGGGCCCACAAGGCUUUGCCGCCCCCAAUUCCAGCUCUAUAAGAGAAGUAUUCAUCGCGUUUUCGAUAUGGAGGCGCCGCCACCAGCUGUUCUUCAUCUGGAGGGCAGAUCUGGAGUCUGUCUUGGGCUCCGGAGAGGGGAAAUCGUNNNNNNNNNNNNNNNNNNNNNNNNNNNNNNNNNGUAAUCUAUUCGUAGGAUCACUGGACGGUGAUGUGUAGGAUGAGAUCUAUCAUGUAAUCGAGUUAGUUUUGAUGGGGAUUGAUCCCUAGUAUCCACUAUGUUCUGAGAUUGAUGGUGCUACUACUUUGCCAUGCUUAAUGCUUGUCACUAGGGCCCGAGUGCCAUGAUUUCAGAUCUGAAAUUAUUANNNNNNNNNNNNNNNNNNNNNNNNNNNNNNNNNNNNNNNNNNNNNNNNNNNNNNNNNNNNNNNNNNNNNNNNNNNNNNNNNNNNNNNNNNNNNNNNNNNNNNNNNNNNNNNNNNNNNNNNNNNNNNNNNNNNNNNNNNNNNNNNNNNNNNNNNNNNNNNNNNNNNNNNNNNNNNNNNNNNNNNNNNNNNNNNNNNNNNNNNNNNNNNNNNNNNNNNNNNNNNNNNNNNNNNNNNNNNNNNNNNNNNNNNNNNNNNNNNNNNNNNNNNNNNNNNNNNNNNNNNNNNNNNNNNNNNNNNNNNNNNNNNNNNNNNNNNNNNNNNNNNNNNNNNNNNNNNNNNNNNNNNNNNNNNNNNNNNNNNNNNNNNNNNNNNNNNNNNNNNNNNNNNNNNNNNNNNNNNNNNNNNNNAGCACGUAUGACGACAGACGGAAUGCAUGCCUACAUCACAUUGAUGAACGAGAGCUAGCCACAUAUCUCUCCGUGUUAUAGCUGUUGCAUGAUGAAUACCAUCCAAACAAAUCACCGACCCAUUGCCUACGAGUUUGUCCUACUGCUGUUACUUGUCUUGCUCUGCUGCUGCUACUACUGUUGCUACUGUCGUUACUUGUCUUGCUCUGAUGCUGCUACUAUUGUUGCUACUGCUGUUUCUUGUCUUGCUCUCCUGCUACUGUUGCUACUACUGUCGCUUGCUACUGUUGCUACUUGCUACUGCUGUCACUACUGUUGUUCCUUGCCACUGCUAUUGCUCGUUACACUGCUGCUACAUGCUCCACUGUUGGUUCGCUGUACGUUGACGGGAACUGACAAGUUCCAUCAACGCGGCAACGGAGGCGCCAUUGAUACAAUCGUUAGGAAUAGCCUGCCGUCAAGAGAUUGUUUCUGACACCGUUGUUAUCAUAUUACUUUGCUGUUACUACUGUGCUUGCAGAUACUAAUCUUUCAGGUGUGGUUGAAUCUGACAAAUUCAGCUGCUAAUACUCGAGAGUAUUCUCUCACCUCCUGACUGGCUUAUCAACAAAUUGGGUCGAAUACUCUACCCUCGAAAACUGCUGUGAACCCACGUGCUGGUGGGCCAUCAACAACAUUCUUCUAGUUCCGUUGCCGGGGAGUGCUAGCAGCAUUCUUCUGGUGCCGUUGCACGGGAAGUUUUGUUGUCAUCAGCAUUCGUCUAGCUAUCGCCAGAGAUUCCAAUCAACAUUUUUGUGGCGCCGUUGCCAGGGAAGGUUUGUUGUCAUCAGCAUUCGUCUAGCUAUCGCCGGAGAUUGCAAACACUACUCAUGCUAUAGGCGGUUCCCAAACAGAAAAGUAAAGUUUUNNNNNNNNNNNNNNNNNNNNNNNNNNNNNNNNNNNNNNNNNNNNNNNNNNNNNNNNNNNNNNNNNNNNNNNNNNNNNNNNNNNNNNNNNNNNNNNNNNNNUAUAGUUGAUAUGAUUAGCAUAGAGAUGCUUACCACUGAAACUAUUCUCGACUCACGUGAUGAUCGGACUUGAGGUAGUGGAUUUGGAUCAUGUACCACUCAAAUGACUAGAGAGAUGUACUUUUUGAGUGGGAGUUCUUAAGUAAUAUGAUUAAUUGAACUAAUUGUCAUGAACAUAGUCUAAUGGUCUUUGCGAAUUACGAUGUAGCUUGCGCUAUAGCUCUACUGUUUUAUAUGUUCCUAGAGAAAAUUUAGUUGAAAAUUGAUAGUAGCAAACUUUGCAGACUGAGUCUGUAAAACCGAGGAUUGUCCUCGUUGCUACGCAGAAGGCUUAUGUCCUUAAUGCACCACUCGGUGUGCUGCACCUCGAGCGUCGUCUGUGGAUGCUAUGAACAUCCGACAUACACGUUGCUGAUGACUACACAAUAGUUCAGUGCAAAAUACUUAAUGGCUUAGAAGCAAGGCGCCGAAAACGUUGUAAAACGUCACGGAACAUAAGUGAUGUUCUAAAGAGAUGAAAUUUUGAUUUCAUGCUUGUGCCCUUGUUAAGAGGUACGAGACCUCCAACAAGAUUCUUUGUCCACAAAGUAAAGGAGAAAAGCUCAAUCGUUGAGCGUGUGCUCAGAUUGUCUGAGUACGACAAUCACUUGAAUCAAGUGGGAGUUAAUCUUCCAGAUGAGAUAGUGAUGGUUCUCCAAAGUCACUGCCACCAAGCUGUGAGAGCUUCGUGAUGAACUACAACAUAUCAAGGAUAGAUACAAUGAUCCUUGAGCGAUUCGCGAUGUUUGACACUGCGAAAGUAGAAAUCAAGAAGGAGCGUCAAUAGUUGAUGGUUUGUAAAACCACUAAGUUUCAAGAAAGGCAAGGGCUAGAAGGGAUACUUCGUGAAACGACAAAACAGUUGCUGCACUAAUGAAGAGACCCAAGAUUAAACCCGAACCCGAGACUAAGUGCUUCUGUAAUGAGGGGAACAGUCACUGAGGCGGAGCAACUCUAGAUACUUGGUAGAUAAGAAGGCUGGCAAAAGUCGAAAGGAGUGUAUUUGAUAUACAUGAUGUUGAUGUGUACUUUACUAGUACUCCUAGUAGCAUGAGGGUAUUGGAUACCGGUUCGGUUGCUAAGUGAUUAGUAACACGAAAUGUAAGCUACGGCAUAAACGGAGACUAGCUAAAGGCGAGGUGACGAUACGUGUUGGAAGUGUUUCCAAGGUUGAUAUGAUCAAACGUCGCACGCUCCCUCUACCAUCGGGAUUGGUGUUAAACCUAAAUAAUUGUUAUUUGGUGCUUGCGUUAAGCAUGAACAUGAUUGGAUCGUGUUUAUUGCAAUACGAUUAUUCAUUUAAAGAGAAUAAUGGUUACUCUGUUUUCUUGAAUAAUCACCUUCAAUGGUUUAUUGAAUCUCGAUCGUAGUGUUACACAUGUUCAUGAUAUUGGUGCCAAAAGAUACGAGUUGAUGAUGAUAGUACCACUUACUUGUGGCAUUGCCGCUUGAGUCAUGUUAGUAUAAAUUGCAUGAAGAGGCUCCAUGCUGAUGGAUCUUUGUACUCACCUGAUUUCGAAUCACUAGUGACAUGCAAAUCAUACCACAUGAGCAAGGCCUUGUUUUCAUUGAGAUGAAAUAAGAUAGUAACUUGUUGGAAGUGAUACAUUUUGAUGUAUGCAGUCCAAUGGGUGCUGAGGCACGCAGUGGAUAUCAUUAUGUUCUUACUUCACUGACGAUUUGAGUAGAUACUAGAGUAUUUCCUUAAUGAAUCACAAGUCUGAAAUAUUGAAAAGUUCAAUUCUGUUUCGGAGUGAAGUUUGUCGUAACAAGAGGAUAAACUGUCUGCGAUAUGAUCAUAGAAAUGAAUAUCUGAGUUACGAGUUUUGGUACGCAGUUAAGACAAUGUGGAAAUUGUUUCGCAGUUCAUGCCACCUGGAACAUCAUAGUGUGAUGAUGUGUCUGAACUUCAUAUCCACGCACUAUUUGGUAUGGUGCAUACUAUCAUGUCUCUUAUCGAAUUACCACUAUCGUUUAUGGGUUAUGCAUUAGAGACAACCACACUCACUUUAAAUAGGGCACCGCGUAUUUCCGCUGAGAUGACACAGUAUAGACUGAGGUUUAGAGAAAUCUAAACUGUCGUUUCUUGAAAGUUUGGAGCUUCGACACUUAUGUGAAAAAGUUUCAGUCUGAUAAGCUCGAACCCAAAGCGGAUAAAUGCAUCUUCAUAGGAUAUCCAAAACAGUUGGGUACAUCUCCUAUCUCAGAUCCGAAAGCAAAGUGUUUGUUUCUAGAAACGGAUCCUUUCUCGAGGAAAGGUUUCUCUCGAAAGAAUUGAGUGGGAGGGUAGUAGAACUUGAUGAGGUUAUUGAACCAUCACUUCAACCAGUGUGUAGCAGGGCGCAGGAAGUUGUUCAUGUGGCGCCUACACCAAUUGAAGUGGAAGCUGAUGAUGAUGAUCAUUGAGCUUCGAAUCAAGUUACUACAAACCUUGUAGGUCGACAAGGUCGCGUACUGCUGCAGAGUAGUACGGUAACCCUGUCUUGGAGGUCAUGUUGUUGAGCAAUAGUGAACCUACGAGUUAUGGAGAAAGCGAUGGUGGGCCCAGAUUCCGACAAAUGGCUGGAAGCCAUGAAAUCUGAGAGAGGAUCCAUGUGUGAAAACAAAGUGUAGACUUUGGUAGAACUACUUGAUGGUCAUAGGACUAUUGAGUAAAAAUGGAUCUUUAAAAGAAGACAGACGAUGAUGGUGAUAAGUCACUAUUAAGAAAAGCUCGACUUGUCGCAAAGAUGUUUUCGAUAAGAUCAAACAGUUGACUAUGAUGAGACUUUCUCACUCGUAGCGAUGCUACAAGUCUGUUAGAAUUAUGUUAGUUGUUGAUGCAUUAUUUAUGAAAUAUUGCACGUAGGAUGUCAAAACAUUGUUUUCUCGACGGUUUCCUUGAGCAAACAUUGUAUGUGAUACAACCAGAAGGUUUUGUCGAUCCUAAAGAUACUAGCAAGUAUGCAAGCUCCAGUGAUCCUUCAAUGGACUGGUGCAAGCAUCUCGGAGUUGGAAUAUACACUUUGAUGAGAUGAUGAAAGAUUUUGGGUUUGUACAAGGUUUAUGAGAAACUUGUAUUUCCAAAGAAGUGAGUGGGAGCACUAUAGAAUUUCUGAUAGGUAUAUGUGGUUGACAUAUUGUGGAUCAGAAGUAAUGUAGAAUUUCUGUAAAGCAUACAAGGUUGUUUGAAAGAAGUUUUCAAAGGAGUACCUGGAUUACGCUACUUGAACAUUGAGCAUCAAAGAUAUAUGGAGAUAGAUCGAAAGCGCUUAAUAGAAGUUUUCACAAGAUGCAUGCCUUGACAAGUUUUUGAAAGAGUUCAAAAUAGACCAGCAAAGAAGGAGUUCUUGGUUGCGUUGUGAGGUGUGAAUUUGAGUAAGACUCAAAACCCGACCACGGCAGAAUAAAGAGAAUAGACGAAGGUCGUCUUCUAUGCCUUAGCCGUAGAAUCUAAAGUAUGCCAUGUUGUGUACCGCACCUGAAGUGUGCCUUGACUCAAAGUAUGUUGAGAGGUACAGAGAGUGAUCCAUGAUUGAAUCACUAGCAGCGGUCGAAAUUUAUCCUUAGUAACUAAUGGACUAAGGAAUUUUUCUCGAUUAUGGAGGUGGUUAAAGAGUUUGUCGUAAAGGGUUACGUCAAUGCAAGCUUUGACACUAAUCCGGAUAACUAUGAGUAGUGAAACGGAUUCGUAUAGUAGAGUAGAUAUUUGGAGCAUUUCCGAAUAGCACGUAGUAGCAGCAUCUAUAAGAUGACAUAAAGAUUUGUAAAGAACGCACGAAUCUGAAAGUUUCAGAACCGUUGACUAAAACCUCUCUCACGAGCAAGACGUGAUCAGACCCCAUAACUAUAUGGGUGUUGGAUUCGUUGGAAUCACAUGGUGAUGUGAACUAGGUUAUUGACUCUAGUGCAAGUGGGAGACUGUUGGAAAUAUGCCCUAGAGGCAANNNNNNNNNNNNNNNNNNNNNNNNNNNNNNNNNNNNNNNNNNNNNNNNNNNNNNNNNNNNNNNNNNNNNNNNNNNNNNNNNNNNNNNNNNNNNNNNNNNNAUUGCCUCUAGGGCAUUCCUCGCAACUAUACUCUGUUCACAGGUACACACAUGUCAACUGAUGAAUCUCUCGGUUCUCAUCACGUUAACUCAUUUGCAGCGUUUCUGGAAGAAACUCUUCAAGGCUCAUCAGAAUCCUCACGAGUUCAAAAUCCUCAGAAAGUUCCUCGUCUGAAGAAAAUGGAGGAAGAAAGGAAACAGAAGGGAGGAAAGAAACUGGAGCAGAACACAGCUGUGGACAUUCCUGAUGACAUAUACCUAGACUACUGCACGCCUGAUGAUGAACCUGAGACUAUGCCUAAAAGGAAGAUUAGGCUACAGAAAAUUGAACGCAGAUGGGCAAAGGAGUGGAAGGAGUACAGGUUUGUGACUCCAAAAUAUGCGAAGAAAUUCGCCUUAAAGCCUCCUGGCAGAAGGGCCCCGCUUGAGGAUCAUCAAGUUGCUCAUCCCUCAAGUCUUAUGACACUUGAUGACUACCCAGAGGAAAAAGAAAGGCAUCUGGCCAAGCUCAAGAAGCAAGCAGAAACAGCAGUGAAGAAAUUUCAUGAAUCUUGAGCUGCUGCCUCCGGUGCUGCUCAUUCCUCAGCAGCAGAAACCUCAGGCUCCGAGAUUCCUCAACCAAAGUCUGUGCCAGCAAAGGCAAAAGCUUCAAAACCCCAAGAAAAGUUUGCACAGGCUUCAGUCACCAAACCCUCAGCUCCAAAACCCUCGGUUCCAAAACCGUCCACACCAAAACCAUCAGCGCCAAAACCCUCAGCACCAAUCUCAUCUACACCAAAGUCCUCAGCUCCACCUCCAAAGCCAGUACAGAAGAAAGUCGUGAAGACUACGACUGCCAGCUCUAGCUCCUCACUCCCAGCUGCAACUAGCUCGGAGACAAAGUCUUCAACACCCCAUGUGAAGACUUUGGCUACUACUGAACCUGCACCUCUGCCCAGCCCAAGCAAAAUCAUCACAGUCCCGUCUGCAUCAGAGGGAAGUGAAGAAUAUGAUGAUGAAACUCUGGAAGCCAUCAUCAGGAACAAGCAAGAAAGGGUAGCACAAGCAUCAGGCAGUGCUAUUCCUCUGGCAAUGGACCCCAAGGUCCUCCUCGAUUUCAUCAAUGUGUGGUACGAAGACCCAAACACACCUAUUGAUGAUUUGAAACUUCCUCCUGGUGUCAGCCACAUGGUGGCUACUUUCAUAAACGAAGCCAGGUGGAAGGAACAGAAGGCCAAGCAGGCAAAGAUUUCAAAGGCCAGAAAGGAGAAAUUCCUCAGGCAAAAUGUUCUCAAACUGACGCCUGAAGCAUUGGUGUCCACCCAGGCAGAACUGCAAGUUUUGACUGACAAGUGUGAGAAACUGUCAGAUCGCACAAGCAUCAAAAGCAAUUUCAUCAAGCUAGCCACUAGUGUUGUUGAUGACUACAACAGACGUCACCCCCCACCAGCACCAACUCCUCAGCCCCUGGUUGAACAGCCAAAAGAUGCAUCUCCUGUUGAGGAGGAAAUUCCUCAAGCUAAGGAACAAUACCAAGAGUGCCGUGCUGAUGAGCCGGCCAUUGAAGAAAUCAUCACUGAGACUGCUCCUGAUGAAACUGCUACCGAUCCAGCUGCUUCACCAAAGCAGGCUGAUGACCAUGUUCCAGCUGGUUCCUCACUGCCAGCUGAAGAAUCUGUUAAGAAUACACCUUCCCCAAAAACAUCAAAGGUGAAGAAGUUAAUCCCGUCUGCAUCAGACGCGAAAAAUACAAGGGCUGCUGAAAAGGAAGUGAAGAAGAGAAAAGCUUCCUCAGCAGAAGAAACGAUUGAGGCAAAACGCCUCAAGGAAAUUGAAGAAUCUGCCCCACUGGACCCGGUGCCUCUUAAUGUUGCACCCUCAUUUGAAAUGGUCGUCGUUGGUGACCACACUACGAGGGCAGAUGAGAAAAUGAAGGAUGCUGCCUCUGAGGAGCAUACUGAUGAGGAAAUACAGAUUGAUGACAGUCCUCAACCUCAUAUUCCUCAGAAAGAGACUACUGAAGCCUCAGCUGCAGCAGCUGAUGAAUCUGCUUCUGCCACAAAGUCAGCUGAUGAAAAUCAAGCUGAAGAAAAUGUCCAGUCUGAGCAGGCUCCUCCCACUGAACAAGCUGAUCAAACUCCUCAAGCUAAGAAGGAUGAAGAAAUUCCUCAGCCUGAUGCUCAGCUAGAACAAGAAAUUCCUCAUCCUGAGGAAACUGCUGAAGAAAAUGUUCCCGCCCCUGACAAUGAAUUCAUUGUCCUCAACCCAGAAUCUGCCAUGGUUGUUUCCCCUCCCAUUCCUCAGCACAAUCUAAAUCCAGUUCAGCGCCUGCCAUUCUCGAAAAGGCCCAAGUUUCAGAAAGAGAAUUUCUUUGAGGAACGUAUGUAUUUCAUCGGAGAGAAUCCUUAUGACAAGCCUCAAAUGAGGCAUCUGAAGUUUUGGACAAGGACGCAGAUGAACUACUAUGCUUCUGUGCUCUGUGGCCGCAACAAGAUAUUCCAGCACAGGCACAUUCCUCAUGCUGACCUUGAAGAAAUUCCCUGCAUGGAACCAGUCCUCAGUGUACUACAUGAUGCAGGUUUGCUCUCUAUGUGCUCCGACAUAUCAGAUUGUAAUAGUGAGCUAAUUCUUCAGUUCUAUUCAACUCUGCACAUCUCGGGCAAUGUUGAUGACAUCAACACUUGGGUGUUCGACUGGAUGACUCAAAAUACUCACUACAAGGCUCCAUCGUCUGAACUCCUCAGAGAACUGCCCGUACCAAUUCCUUCAGAAGGGGCAGUGAAGCUUUAUGGUGAGCGUGAGAUGCCAAAUGGAAUGAUGGAAGUCCUCAUGAAGCCUUUGGCUGUAGGAAAACCCUCAAGAACCACAUUCCUCGUCCAUGAGCUAAAGUACACACCACGGUCUGUCUACCGCAUUCUCUGCAGUGUGCUAGCACCAAUCAAAGGCCAUGAUGAUGACGAAGAUGUCGUCAGCCUCAUGAAGAACAUCCUCUUCAACAUCAUUCACGGUAUCCCCAUGAAUAUCCAUGAUUUCUUCUUGAGGACUUUGGCUGACAAUGCAAUGUGCCCCUAUGAUCAUAAAAUCUAUGCACCAUGGAUCAUGAGAUUCCUCAGGACAAGGACAGGCAUCAACUUUCACGCAGAUUUCCAGAACCAUGUUGGUUAUAUGCCUCCUAUCCGGGUCAACAAGAAGACUUUCGAGCCCAUUGAGGGAAAAGGAAAGUCUGUGAUUGAUGAAGGAAGCAGGCCCCUUGAUGGCCAGUUCAAAGAACCAGAUGCAUAUUCCUCAUGGGACGACACCGAGUCACGUCCGCCAAGCCCUGUUCCUCCUCGUGUGCUAACCACCAGAGAACUUCUUCUCAGUCUUCAUCAGAAGGUGGAUCACAAUCACAAAUGGGUCAAACGCCAGUUUGGUUCCAUUGUGAAAACCCUCACUGAGACACAGAACAGUGUGAAGCUUAAUCAUCGCUAUCUGCAUGAGGUUUUUGAUCGCACCUGGGCUACCCUUGCACAUCUGAAGACCCAGACUGAGCUUGAAGAAUUGAACUUUGAGCAGGACUUUGACUGGUCGUGGCAUCCCAAGAAGAAGUUCAGGCCCAUUCCUGUGCCAGAUCUUGAAGACAGUUCCUUCUCGUCCUUUCGCACCGCCGAAUCUGAUGAGGAACAACUUGACACCGCGACAGGCCCAAGGAAGAAGACUACACCAAAGAAGCGCCAAUAAUCCACAACCUAANNNNNNNNNNNNNNNNNNNNNNNNNNNNNNNNNNNNNNNNNNNNNNNNNNNNNNNNNNNNNNNNNNNNNNNNNNNNNNNNNNNNNNNNNNNNNNNNNNNNGAAUUUCCUCAGUGAUGAAAUUCUAAAAAUCUCCUAUUCACCCCCCCUCUAGUCGAUAUAACGCACUUUCACUAAGAGAUACGACAAGAAUGACUUCACUUCUAGGAAGCAUGGUAAAGAAAGAGAGCCAUGGGUUCAGAAACCUAUCCCCUUUCCUCCUAAGCCAUCCAGGAAAAAGGAUGAUGAGGAUUUUGAGCGCUUCGUUGAGAUGAUAAGACCCGUCUUUCUGCAGAUGCGGUUAACUGAUAUGCUCAAGAUGUCCCCAUAUGCCAAGUACAUGAAAGAUAUCGUGACUAAUAAACGGAAGAUACCAGAUCUUGAGAUCUCCACCAUGCUUGCCAAUUACACAUUUAAAGGUGGAACUCCUAAGAAACUUGGUGAUCCCGGAGUGCCCACUAUACCUUGCUCCAUUGAAGGAAACUACAUAAGAACUGCCUUAUGUGACCUUGGAGCCGGUGUUAGUGUUAUACCUCUCUCUCUUUAUCGUAGACUUGAAUUGGAUAAGUUGACACCCACUGAAAUUUCUCUGCAAAUGGCCGACAAAUCAACUGCUUUCCCUAUCAGCAUUUGCGAGGAUGUGCCUGUUGUGGUUGCUAACACCACUAUCUUAACAGACUUUGUUAUCUUGGAUAUUCCCGAGGACGAUGCCAUGGCUAUCAUCCUCGGAAGACCCUUUUUAAACACUGCAGGGGCUGUUAUAGAUUGCAACAAAGGAAACGCCACUUUCCAUGUCAACGGUAAUGAGCACACAGUGCACUUUCCGAAGAAACGAUAUCAAGUACAUUGCAUCAAUGCUAUCGAAAAGACUUCAUCAAUUCUCAUUGGGAGCUUUGAAUUCCCUAUUCCUCGUGUCAAGAUGAAGUAUGAUUUGCUUCUUGGGGAGAUACAUAUCCCCAUUGAGGUGACUUAGUGGCUAUUCGAAAAUUCUUCGUUCUCUCUUGUGAUUCGAGAAAGUUUUGUCGUAAGGACUUGAUCAAUCCCAUUGACUGAUUUCUUUCGAUGACCAUUUAACGGAUUAAUCAAACAGUCACAUACCUCUGUUUUAAGCUUUCAUUUUCUUUUGCUUAGAAGAAAAAUGAUAGAAUUAGUUUAGUUUUUCCUAUUUUCUGUUUUAGCGUCCCGGAGAAAAAUACCUCGAAAGCAAAAGUUCUCCGAUGGUCCUGAAAAUUUAGUAUGAUUUUUUCUAGAAUUUUUGAAAAUUUCUAGGCCUCAGAGCUGGCCUGGGGGCCAGACCAGUGGGCCACAAGCCCUGCCACCGCCACCUACCCCCCGGUGGUGGGGUGCAAGCUUGUUGGGCCCACAGGCACCCCCUCCGCUCAUUCCAGCUCUCAGCCUCUUCUUCCACCUCCAGAAAAAAUUGUUUCGCAGCUCAAACCCGUGUUCUUGCUCAUUUGGCUGUGAUUUUCGAUCUCCUUGCUCAAAGCACCAUUCUCCAAACCGUUUUGGGGAAAUUACUCCUUGGUAAGUGACUCCUCCAUUGGUCCAAUUAGUUUUUGCUCUAGUGCUUUAUCCUUCGCGAAUUCUUGCUACCUUGGUGACCCUGUUCUUGAGCUAGAAAUGUUGAUUUUAGCUGGUCCCAAUUAGUUUUAGCGCGUGAUACGGUCUCUAGGCACUAGUAGGAGUAGUUGCUACAAGUUGGAUUAACCUUAUUCCCUUUUCUUUCGAAGUCUCUAAAAAUUUCAGAAUUUUUCAGAGCUAGAAAAAGGAAAAGAUGAGGAGGUUCUUGAGAGGCUCUUCAAGCCGUAACCCCAAGGAGGAUGAGAAGAACCACCCCAAGUACGUAGUCCCUCGAGUCACAGAAGUUCGAGCGUGCGAGUGUCCAAGUGAUGAAUUUUUGCGCACCGCCAGACUUUAUGAAGACUUUUACUACUUGGUGGAGAACGCAGAUCUUACUGCGUUCGUUGAAGAUAAGUGCCCAUAAUAUCUCCUCCUCACCAAUAUUUUCGUUCAAAGCUUCAACUUUUACCCAAGGAAGAAUCCUCCCAUGGUUGAGUUGAUGAUAUACGAUGUUCCCAAGUGCAUGACACUACAGGAUUUUUGCAAUGUAUGCAAAUUACCUUAUGUUGCGGAUAUCCGUGACCCUCGUCCACGGGACUUGGAGGAUUUCAUUGGUUCUAUUGCUAUUGGAGAGGAGAGAGGAGUGUCUCGCGCUAGAAUUGCUAGCAUACAUUUUCCUGUGCUUCGGUACUUCUCACUAUUUGUGGGAAAAUGUUUAAUUGGAUGUGGGGAGGCUGGUUCACUUAGUUCUCCAGACCUAGCGGUUAUGCGCGAAGGCCUUUAUAACGAUAAGACUUAUAGCUUGGACGCUAUAGUAGCUCAACGGUUGAACCUGAACCCUUCCAAGGGUGUCGUCUAUGGAGGUAUCUACGCUACCCGUCUUGCCAGACACUUUGAGAUACCCAUUAGACUGGGAGAGGAAGGAGAGAUGCUUCUCCCUGAGAGAUAUAUCUAAAUUAUGACAACAUGGUUCGCCAUGAUUUUCUGGAUAGAGAUGCUAGUAGACGGAUGAUUUAUAACCUGGUGUUUAGUUAGGGUACUCGAGAGACUAUUACUUUGCCUGCUCCUUCUUUGUUUGAUCUUCAUGGAGGCAGGUACACUAUUAUGCCCUCGGACAUCUACGCAUACUAGGGCUUGGCCCAACCACAGGCGCCCGUGCCCGAGCCGCCAAUCGAGUACCAGACGCCAGUUUAUCAGUGGGAGCCAGAGGAGCUCACACGGCAGUGGCAUCCACAGUCUUCUCCAGAGUAUCCUGGAGCUGGUUAUUUCCNNNNNNNNNNNNNNNNNNNNNNNNNNNNNNNNNNNNNNNNNNNNNNNNNNNNNNNNNNNNNNNNNNNNNNNNNNNNNNNNNNNNNNNNNNNNNNNNNNNNGAAAAGAAAAAAAAAGAGGGAGGAAGUGGGAAGGGAGGGGGACUCCUCCCACCAAACCAAGUCCAACUCGGUUUGGGGGGGGAGUCCUUCCCCCCUUGGCUCGGCCGACUCCUUGGGGGUCCUUGGACCCCAAGGCAAGGUCCCCCCUCCCUCCUCCUAUAUAUAUAUGGAGCAAUUAGAGCUGAUUUGAGACGACUUUCUCAAGGCUGCCCGACCACAUACCUCCAUAGUUUUUCCUCUAGAUCGCGUUUCUGCGGAGCUCGGGCGGAGCCCUGCUGAGACAAGAUCAUCACCAACCUCCGGAGCGCCGUCACGCUGCCGGUGAACUCUUCUACCUCUCCGUCUCUCUUGCUGGAUCAAGAAGGCCGAGAUCAUCGUCGAGCUGUACGUGUGCUGAACGCGGAGGUGCCGUCCGUUCGGUACUAGAUCGUGGGACUGAUCGCGGGAUUGUUCGCGGGGCGGAUCGAGGGACGUGAGGACGUUCCACUACAUCAACUGCGUUCUCUGACGCUUCUGAUGUACGAUCUACAAGGGUACGUAGAUCACACAUCCCCUCUCGUAGAUGGACAUCACCAUGAUAGGUCUUCGUGCGCGUAGGAAAAUUUUUGUUUCCCAUGCGAUGUUCCCCAACACCAUCAGCACUGGCCCCCCCUGUUUAUGUAUAAUUACUCCUCGGGUAGCGCUAACUCCCUAUGCAUUUCAAUAUUAUCAAGUUAUUAUGUUGGGCAAAUGUAGAACCAAUGUUGGGCCUUGCCAGACCAGCUUUAAUCUAAAACGAAUUAUCAAGGGGGUCCCCAUAACAACCCCGAACGUGUUAGGAGCGCUCGAUUAUGGAACAUAACACCGGUAGCCGAAACUAAGGGGGCAAAGGUGGAACAAAACACCAGGCUAGAAAGGCCGAGCCUUCCACCUUUUACCAAGUAUAUAGGUGCAUUAAAUUAAAUAGCAUUAAUAUGGUGAUAUGACAAGGAACCCAUGUAAUCACAUGGAAGCAACUGCACCUGCAACUAGCAACGCUAUCAACAGGGUUAAGCAAGCGGAACAUAGCCAAUCAGUGGUUUGCUAGGUCGAACAGGUUUAAGGUUUCAUGGCAUUGUUGAGAGGCUGAUAUUUAACAUGUGGUAGGCAACGAGACAUAAACAACAGCAACGGUAAAACUAGCAUGGCAAAGAUAGUAAUGGUAUCUGGGGAAAUGAUCAUCUUGCCUGAGAUCCCGCUUGGAAGAAGAAUGCCUCCGUGAAGCAGAUGAACCGACGUAGUCGACGGGUCCUCACAAUCCGGCACGUUGCGGAACUCUAUCGAGACGAAGCAAACCGGAAACACAAAUCAACACACGAAAUUCACCACAUGAUGCACAACACAUAUGAUGCAUGAGCAGUUAAAAACAUGCAAGUCACGGCAUGACAGAUCACACAAUCAAACACUACACAUUAAGUGAAGUUCGAUAUGCACGAGUUGCAUAUUGACGAAACUCCACGUUAAUUAUUUAGUUCACUCCCGGUUAUCUACACGGCAAUAUUAAUGUUGUCAAACAUGCAAGAGGUGAAGCGGAAAUUAACCUACCUAUCUAGACAUUUUAAAUGAGGUCGGAAAUGACAUAUAGCAUCUCCGAGACGACCUCACAUGUUAAUUUAUAAUUCUGUUCCAGAUCUGAACUAAUGCAUUUAAUUAGUCGUUAAACAGAAAAAAAAAAUGGGUUCUCGUGAUUCUACGCGUUAAGGCAAGCAAUCUACACAUAGAGAACUUCUCCAACGGAGCUACGGAUCAAAAGUUACACGCACCGCAAGAUAUGAUGACAUGAAUGCAUUAUGUGUGCAACGAUGGCUACGAGCACUUCAAAACAUACAACUAGCAAGAGAAAAAGAAACUACACAAGAUUCUAAGCAAGUUUCAUGUAGGACACGAUCAAAACGGAGCUACGGUUCGAAAACUACGAGCAAAACAAGAAGUCACUACAAUCUGCCAAAAUCAGCCACAUAGCAUAUUCUACGCCCCACAACUACGGCUACACAACUCCGAUUUGCUCAAGCAAGGCAUGGCACGGAAGAGGGCAAGAAGCAUUACUACAAACAACUAACAACAACUAACAUGGCAGCAAGGAGCACUAGGAAAAGAAGACACAAAAUGACAUCUCACGCACUAUUUCAGACUUAGUGAAAAUUACACCUCAUGAAAGUGCAGUUUUCAGCCUGAAGCUAUAUUGACAGCAGCAAAAUCUAUAGCUACAGGUCUUCAAAUGGAAUGAAACUUAAUAGAAUGCUAGAGAAACACAAGNNNNNNNNNNNNNNNNNNNNNNNNNNNNNNNNNNNNNNNNNNNNNNNNNNNNNNNNNNNNNNNNNNNNNNNNNNNNNNNNNNNNNNNNNNNNNNNNNNNNUGGUGUCUCGAAACGAAGAACUGUCGCAACGGUGCACAGUCGGGGAGAACACAAUUUCGUCUUGAAAUUUUAGUGAGAGAUCACCUCAUAAUGCUACCGUCGUUCUAAGCAAGAUAAGGUGCAAAAAGGAUUAACAUCACAUGCAAUUCAUAAGUGACAUGAUAUGGCCAUCAUCAUGUGCUUCUUGAUCUCCAUCACCAAAGCACCGGCACGAUCUUCUUUUCACCGGCGUCACACCAUGAUCUCCAUCAUCAUGAUCUCCAUCAACGUGUCGCCAUUGGGGUUGUCGUGCUACUCAUGCUAUUACUACUAAAGCUACAUCCUAGCAAAAUAGUAAAUGCAUCUGCAAGCACAAACGUUAGUAUAAAGACAACCCUAUGGCUCCUGCCGGUUGUCGUACCAUCGACGUGCAAGUCGAUAUUAUUUAUUACAACAUGAUCAUAUCAUACAUCCAAUAUAUCACAUCACAUCGUUGGCCAUAUCACAUCACAAGCAUACCCUGCAAAAACAAGUUAGACGUCCUCUAAUUUUGUUGUUGCAUGUUUUACGUGGUGACCAUGGGUAUCUAGUAGGAUCGCAUCUUACUUACGCAAACACCACAACGGAGAUAUAUGAGUUGCUAUUUAACCUCAUCCAAGGACCUCCUCGGUCAAAUCCGAUUCAACUAAAGUUGGAGAAACUGACACCCGCCAGUCAUCUUUGAGCAACGAAGUUACUCGUAGCGAUGAAACCAGUCUCUCGUAAGCGUACGAGUAAUGUCGGUCCGAGCCGCUUCGAUCCAACAAUACCGCGGAAUCAAGAAAAGACUAAGGAGGGCAGCAAAACGCACAUCACCGCCCACAAAAACUUUUGUGUUCUACUCGAGAAGACAUCUACGCAUGAACCUAGCUCAUGAUGCCACUGUUGGGGAACGUCGNNNNNNNNNNNNNNNNNNNNNNNNNNNNNNNNNNNNNNNNNNNNNNNNNNNNNNNNNNNNNNNNNNNNNNNNNNNNNNNNNNNNNNNNNNNNNNNNNNNNUGAGCUCCAGAACCUCCCAAACUUUGCUGUCAGAAGCUGUUUUUGAUGAUCCAAGUCGAUGGUGAUGUUGAGUGAUCAAGGCAGCAAUUGUGAGUGACUAAUCGAGAUUUUGUCGACGCUAGGGACAAGGUGGCCAGGCUGGUGUGGCACCAGGACAGCCACAACCAUGGUGACCAUGGCACUGGCAUGCCACAGAGCGCGCUCUGCGCAGCCCCAGUGACAGUCGAGCUGUCUCGAGCGGUCACACUCUGUCCCCUCCUUGUCCUGAGCGUCAGUGAACCCCCUAGCAGACGCGUGGUACCCAUGGAAGGUGCUGGGCCACCGAAGAGCGCCGCCGCCGCUCCCAGCCAAGCUCCGGCACAGUGCCGAAUUGUCGCCUCCGGCCACUGUGCCCGUCCGCAAGCCAUUUAUGGCGAGGACCCAUCCCAUCGUGUCUCUGCCCUCCUUGGUCACCUCCAUGCGCUCCGCGACGACCAGCUCAGCGCUCCGACGACCGUGCCCGAGCUUAUCUUCGUCGCUUCGGGAGAGAUCGACCGAGCUCGUCGUCGGCCUAUUUAAGGAGGAGCCCGACCCCUCCGAGCUCUCCAUCCCCCUCCUGCUCAUCUAGGUCAAGCCCCCGAAGAGUGAGCCAAGGCCCGGAGGCCCUCUGGCCUCGGAGCAUCAUCGGAGUUCUGCCGCCGCCCCCUCUCCGUCGACAGCCUUCUCCCCUAUCCCCAGAGCCAAAUUGAUCCCUCCGACAGGUCCAUUGAGUCCUGCUCGUGCUCCUCGACCUCUCGCCCGAGCCCAUUCCUCCCUGGAACACCGUCUCCGACGAUCACCCAAAGCUGCCGCCGCCGGAGAAGAAGGGGACGACAUCGUUUGUCCACCUCUAGCCGAGCUACGGGUACGUACGUGAUCGUCGUGGACUACCCGUUCCAUUCUGCCCAUUCCCUGGCGUCGCCGCCGUCUCUAUCACCGGCGACCAUCGCCGGCCGGCCGCCUCGCCUGUGUCUCCCUCCCCUCCUUUGUGUUCAUAUCAGGCAAGUCCCACCUGCCAGGGACUGCGGCCCGCGACCGAAGCGUUAAGUGGAGGCGCCCCUCCACUUUACGCCUUCGAUGUGGCCCUCCCCACGAUUUCCUUUUUCUUUUUUAUAUUUUCAGUUUUUAACAGAAACUUUGAAUGCUUAUAACUUUNNNNNNNNNNUCGAAUCACUUGAUUCUUUUUGCAUUGGGUUGGUAUUGAAAUUCUUUACAACCUGGUAAAUUUUAUUAUUUUUCCCACACACAUAGAAUUUCUGGCUAAUAAAAGGAAAUUAAAUGACUUUUCCUUCCUUUUGCCAUUUUCAAUAUGAUUUCACAAGGAAACUUUGGAGAUCAGGAGUAUUUGAACAACCCCACUGACCAAGGCAAGCCAUUAUUUCCAUAUGGUGCAAGCAUUGCAUAGCAUGGCAUAUAUCUUCAUCUUAAUGAUAAUGAUGAUGGUUAUUCUUUUAAUUAUUAAAGUUUGCUUAUUUAGUUAGUGGUGAUAUAUAUCUAUUACUAUGAUUCUUGAGUUGAUCUCAUCUAGUGGUUGAUCGGAGUCACCNNNNNNNNNNNNNNNNNNNNNNNNNNNNNNNNNNNNNNNNNNNNNNNNNNNNNNNNNNNNNNNNNNNNNNNNNNNNNNNNNNNNNNNNNNNNNNNNNNNNGAAGAAGGGUGUAAUGGAGAACAUCAAGGAUAAGCUCCCCGGUGGUCAUGAUGACCACCAGAAGACUGCUGGCACCUACGGGCAGCAGGGACACGUCGGCACGGGGACACAUGGCACCCCCGCCACUGGCGGCGCCUACGGACAACAUGAACACACCGGAGCGACCGGCACUGGAACGUACGGCACUGGCGAGAAGAAGGGCAUCAUGGAGAACAUCAAGGAGAAGCUCCCUGGUGGCCACGGUGACCAUCAGAAGACCGGCGACACCUACGGGCACCAGGAAGACACCAAAAUGACUGGCAUGGGGAGGCAUAGCGCCCCGGCCACCGGCGGCUCCUAUGGGCAGCAUGCACACACCGGAGAGACCGGCACGGGGACACACGGCACCGGCGAGAAGAAGGGUGUAAUGGAGAACAUCAAGGAAAAGCUCUCUGGUGGCCAUGAUGACCACCAGAAGACUGCUGGCACCUACGGACAGCAGGGACAGGUCGGCACGGGGACACAUGGCACCCCCGCCACUGGCGGCGCNNNNNNNNNNNNNNNNNNNNNNNNNNNNNNNNNNNNNNNNNNNNNNNNNNNNNNNNNNNNNNNNNNNNNNNNNNNNNNNNNNNNNNNNNNNNNNNNNNNNNNNNNNNNNNNNNNNNNNNNNNNNNNNNNNNNNNCCGGCACUGAAACGUACAGCACCGGCGAGAAGAAGGGCGUCAUGGAAAACAUCAAGGAGAAGCUCCCCGGUGGCCACGGAGACCACCAGCAGACAGGUGGCAUCUACGGGCAGCAAGCACACGUCGGCACGGGGACGCAUGACACGCCGGCCACCGGCGGCACCUACGGGCAGCACGGACACACCGGAGUGACCGGCACUGGGACGCACGGCACCGGCGAGAAGAAGGGUGUCAUGGAGAACAUCAAGGAGAAGCUCCCCGGUGGCCACAGUGACCACCAGCAUACCACUGAGACCUACGGGCAGCAUCGGCACACUGGAGUGGCCGGCACGGAGACGCAUGGCACCACGGCCACUGGCGGCACCUACGGGCAGCAGGCACAGACCGGCACGACUGGCGCUGGCACACACGGCACCGACGGCACGGGCGAGAAGAAGAGCCUCAUGGACAAGAUCAAGGACAAGCUGCCUGGACAGCACUAAGCUUGGUCCGCCCGCCCCGGCUACCUCUCAAGAAUAAUAAGAUGGCGAAGUUCCACCGUAUGCACAUUCACCUAGCUCACUUUCGUUGGUGGAGCGAAUGUAUCUUGGCUUAAGUUUUCACGGACAACAGUGUGGCAACAGUUUUCGUUCGUUUACAGUUUGCAUACUGUGAUGUGCAGAUUUCCUUUACUUCAAUCCGUGUAUGUAUGUUAUGGCAUCUAAUAUAUAUAAGUGGGGUAUUACCUUAGAUGAGGCAAAAAGUUAUAUAUCUGCAAGUCUGUUCUUAUCAACUUAUACUGUAUCAUGCAUUACCAACUUCUUGUACCUAGCAGGUAAUUAAUUUGCUUGCAGUUUUCGGGUAGGGUAAUUACUUCGGUACAAAAUGAUUGGGACUGGCUACUGGACUGUCGCCUGAUUAUUUUAGGGAAUGGUCAGUCGAUUCCUAACCAAUCGACUGAACCAAAAUGGUCUCACCCUUCCAGAAAAAUAAAAUGAAAAAACAAACCAAAAUCAAAAUAAUGAACUUUUAUAAAAAAAGAACGAAACCUUUUAAGAACAAAGAAAAGAAAAACAUGUCAAAACUUGCAAACAACUUUGGGAAAUAUGCAAAGAAUAAGCAUACAAUAGUGUAAUAUUCACAUUCUAGUAUUGCUUACACACAUAUUAUUUAGUACUCCCUCCGUCCCAAAAUAAGUGACUGAAAAAUGAGUCAACUUUACACUAACUUUACUAUAAAAUUAAAUCAUUUUUGAGUCAUUUUUUUGGGACGGAGGGAGUACAUGCAUAUAUGCUUAUUCUUUGAUUUUGUACAUGCAUAUAUACCCGUUAUUACACUUUUGCGUAUAUACUAAUUCAUAAUUUUUAAAAUAAUAAUUUUUUCAAAAAAUGUAUUAGUGGUAUUAUUAUUACACUUUAAGAAAAAUGAAAAAAAUAAUAAUAAAGCAAAUAAUGAAAAAAAAUGCACACACAUUACAGAUAAGUUGCGCUUAUAAUGUUCAAGAAUAAGCACAUAAUAGUGGGAUUUCUUAGAAAAGGAUUAAAAAUUAAAAAAUGAUCAAAAUAUUUAAUUUUCUAAUGAAGAAUGAAUUGGUGACAUUGAUAUUUGUCUUUAAGAGAAAAUAAUAUGAAAAGCUUUGAAACAAAUAAUGACAAAAUUUGCACCUAAUAUACACAGAAAUUGCGCCUUCUUAUAAUGUGCAAAAUUAAGCAUAUGAUAGUGAAUUAUCCCAAAAAGGAAAUUUACUAAGAAGGUAUGUUAUAGUGGCAUUGGUAUUACAUUUUAAGGAAAAAUAAACAAAAGAAAAUAAAAAAUCAAAAUAAUAUUUUUUGCUCAGUAAGAAUCGAAGAAUGAAUUAAUGGCUUUGCUAUUACCUUUUAAGAAGAAAGAAAAUGAAACAAAAUCAAAAUAAUGGAUUUUGCUAAGUAAGAAUGAACUAGUGGCAUUGGUAUUACCCUUUAAGAAGAAACAAGAUGAAACAAACUAAAAUAAAAUCAAAAUAAUGAAAGUUUUUCUAAGAAAGAAUGAAUUAGUGGCAUUAAUAUUACCAUUUAAAAAAAGUAAAAUGAAAGAAAAACUAAAAUAAAAUCAAAAUAAUGAAGUUCUUUAAGGAAGAAUGAAUUAGUGGCAUGUGUAUCACCCUUUAAGAAUAAGAAAAUAAAAAGGAUAUUUAGCAAAUAAUGACAAAAAUUGCACAUAGUUUACACAUAAUUUGUGUUUUUAUAAUAUGCAUAUAAUAGUGGGAUUGUAGCAAAAAGAAGUUCCCGAGGAAGAAUGAAUUAGUUCCAUUGACAUUGCCCAUAAAGAAGAAAGAAAAUAAAACAAACUAGAAAAUAAGGAAGUGGAAUUAAUUAGUGGCAUUGGUAUUGCCCUUUAAGAAUAAAGGAAAUGAAACCAAACUAAAAAAAUGAAGAAUUGGAAUUAACUAGUGGCACUCAUAUUAUCCUAAGAAGAUAAAAAAUGAAACCAAUGUAUAAAAUGAAGAAGUGGAAUUAAUGAGUAGCAUUUGCAUUUCCCUUUAAGGAAAAAAGAAAACAAACAAAAAUACUAAGAAAAUAAUGAAAAAAAUUGCACACAAUUUAUACAGAAAUUGCUUUUUUUUAAUAUGCAAGCAUAUACAUAUAAUAGUGCUAUUUAAGAAAUAGGUUUCAUAAGAAAGAAUGAAUUAGUGGCAAUGAUAUUACCCAUAAAGAAGAAAGAAAGUAAAACUAAAACUUAAAAAGAUGAAGAUGUAGAAUGAGUUAGUUAUAUUGGUACUAUCAUUUAGGAAGAAAUAAAAUAAAACAAACUUGCACACAACUUUGCACUUUUUUAAUAUGUAAGAAAUAAACAUAUAGUUGUGUUAUUUUCAGGCACUAGUAUAAUUUAUACACAUAUUAUAUAGUAUUUGCAUGUAUACAUUUUACGCUUAUCCAACAUUCUAAAAGAUGCCCAUAAAAACCUACUAAAAAGAAAAUAAAAUAGCAAAAAAAAUCAAUUUUUACCAAAAAAAAUGCAUACAAACAGAAAAAGGGAAAGCAACGCCGGGCCAUAAACAGGAAACAUAAAAUGGGCUUCAAUCCAAAAAGAAAUUGACUCAGCCAAAACAGUGUCCAUUCGGAAUUUUGGCCGAAAACAUCACACUAGGAACAAACAGAAAAAAAUAGAGAGCAUAAAUCUUGAAGCAGAAAGCAACGCAACAAAAUAUUGAGUCACCGAAAUUUGAGUUUAACGCAACUUACAUAUAGCUAAAUUGAAAAUGAUUUGUACUCUGUUGUAUAUGUUGUUCUUUUUCUUACUUCUUGUAUAGGACGUGUAUAUUUUUUCUUUUUCUUUUUCUUUUUUCUAACCUUACUUUGUAGUAUUUAUUUAAAGUUUAAUAAAUCAUAUUGAUAACUUAUAAGUAUAGCGGAUCGUUUAUAGCCUUUUUUGACAAGUAAAAGUGUCAAACCUAACGAGGAGCUAAAGGUAGAAUUAAUAUUUUCUCAAUCUCUAUCAUCCAUCGAUACAACUCUAGGGGCAACAAUGUUUCCUUUACCUAGUACAAGAAAUAAACUACUUUGCUGAAAUAAAAGUAGCAAUACUUUGUAGGUGUAAUAAGAUAGGUUUGAAAGAUAAUCAAGAACACGGAAAUGAAAGUUAGGGAAUGACCAGGUAAAAUAAUAAUUAAUUCAAUAUAAUUAGUGUGGAAAGUGGUGGAAGGAUUUGUGAUAUUGUCUUAGGCAAAUGAUAACAAGAUCGGUAAUCAUUAUUGCAUUUUUAUAUGAGGAAGAGAUAUGAGCUAACAUACUUUCCAUAUUUGGAUCUUAUCAACUUAUGAUUAGAAUUUUAGUAAGCAUCCGCAUCUAAUAAAGAUCAUUAAGAUAAAACCAAACCAUAUUAGUAAGUAAAAAGUCCCUUUUACUCACAUACGCAACAACCCCUUACUCGGGUAUAAGCUUCUGUCACUAUCGAUGCUCACUAUAAGCGAAUCAUGAACAUAUUGCAACAACCCUACAACGGGAAUACGUCAUGUUUGUGUGGCAUGGAAGACACCAUAGGACAUCACCAAAAUAAAACACGCAACUCAAACCAAUCACGAUCGUCAAUCAACCCAUAGGACAAAAGGAAUCUACUCAAACAACAUAGAAUGGUAACACAUCAUUGGAUAAUAAUAUAAAGCAUAAAGCUCCAUGUUUAAGUAGGGCGUACAACGGGUUGUGGAAGAGUGGAACACUAAUAAUAGAUGAGGGAAGGUGAUAGUUGUGUUGAGGAAGACGACGAAGUUAUUGGUGUAGGUCGUCGUCACGAUGGUUCCCCCCGCGGUGUUCCGACGACACCGGGAGAGAGAGGAGAGAGCCCCCCUUCUUCUUCCUUGGCCUCCCCCUAGAUGAGAGGAGGAUUUGCCCUCUUGGCCCAUGGCUGUGAUGUCUCCCGAAGGGCAGAAGCCCUCCGAUAUUGGAUCUCUCUCUGUUUUGCAUUUCUAAUUUCUGGUAUUUCACUGUUUCUUAUAUUCUCAGAGAUCCAUAACUCUGAUUGGGCUAAAAUUUUGAGGGGAUUUUUUUGUCCACAUAUUAUCUGCCUUGCAAGAGAAGGACAACCCCAACCAACCUCCGAGGAGGCCACAAGAUCAAGG
rnacentral:lncRNA from 1 species